CGGCGGGGCGAGCAAGGUGGGGGGACAUCGGAGGUGGCGAGGAACUUUCAGCCACAGUAGCAAGGUUCAAGAGAGGGGAUGAGAGCGACUCAGAUCUGGUGGCGUGGUUCACUCACCUCGCUACCUCGGCUAUUUAAUACGCUACACGAAGAUACCCCAUCGAGUACUCCGUUAGCAUGAGGAAGAUCUACAGGAUCCCGGUAACAACGUUCAUGUAGCACGAGAGCGACAUUCAAGCGCGGGAAUCGGGGCGUCACUCCACUACCUCCACUACCCACGUCGUCGUUGAUUCCGCUUCCCCACCACGAUCCAUCAAUUCAAAAUAUCGCGGAGAAUUCGCCUCCCUCAUAACCCGAAUAGAUUCCGUAACUGUGAUGCGUAAUGAGGUGAGCCGAAUAUCGUGUCGCUCGUCCUUCCGUGGGACCACAAGCAUUCGAACGACACAAGAAGGCGACCAGAUAGCCUGUACUGUAGCGCGAGUAGGACCCGUCCUACCUCGACGAAUGGACAAUCGGAGCCCCGAGCUCGCGAUCGUCUGAAUCAUUGAGUUUAUCUUCCCGAAAGGUAUUCAACUAUUACCUAUUAGAAGCAGGUCGGCAUGCUCCAGCACUCAGAAUCUUUAGCUCUUGAAUCUGCGGAGGUUUACUCAGAGCCCGAGUGAUGUAGUCCCGGGCUAUAACCUCAGCGUCCCUGAUACGUCGAGGGCACAAAAGAGUGCCUUACACUUGGACAGUAAAACCUCAGAUGACUCAGGGGCUACUGACGGGGUUCUACAUUAGGGGUAGUCCUACGGACCUGCAUCCCUAGGCCUCCCUAAUACCCUACAUGGACAUGAGCGUCCGAAAAGCCACCGGUCCAGUGAUGACCUCACUCGGGCAAGCUUAUCUUCAAUUAGCCUGCACGAGGUCACUCAGAUCGUCUCGUGUCAGUCGGAUGUGCCCCGACACUAGGACUACUACAAGGCACGGGCAAUGAAGGGACUGCAACGGCUACAGACUUAAACUGUCACAUGAAGUGUAGUGAAGUCGUGGGUUACGAGUAACGCUGGAGUUAGAGCUGUCGUUUCUACUAACUUCUGUAGUUAUUAGCAUUAAUUCGCCCUUGUAAUGAGGCCCGACCGAUCAUGGCGCACUCUAUAUAAGCCACCCCCGAGCUCCUGACCGAGGGUUUAACAUCAUGUACUAUCACACAUCCCAUAUGCAAACAUCAGCCUAAGGGCUCGAGACGUAGGGUUGUUACCACUCCCGACUGGGGCCCGAACUCGUAUAUCCGAGUGUAUCCGCUGCGCUCUAGCUAGGCUCCGACCCUCAUUUGUAUCCAUGUUAUUAUUGUUAGGAUCAUUCCCACGACCCAUGACAAAUGACCUAGGAUUCUCUUAUAUAGGGACAAGAGAGGUAGGGGACAAAAUGGUCCGAAGGGGUGUCUCUCCAGGGAUGGGUCCGAUAGGCCCGUGCGCAUGGCCAAAGUUGACCCCAUGUGCAUGAUGGUCCUGUGGGCAUGGUACAAGCCUAUGCGCAUGAGGUCCUUGGCGUCCACGGCUAUGGGCCCGGGUGCACAGGGUCUUUUGGGGGUCGUGCGCACGGGGUACUCACGGAGUCCCUGACGAUCCCGUCGCAUCGGGUCUUUUGGGGGCCGUGCGCAUAGGGUGUGCUAGAGCCUGCCUUCUUGGUGUUCAACUGGGUUCUUCAUCCGUGCACUAUUGUCGCUCUUUCUCUUGGCCUUGACUAUCCUUCCUAGGCUCUGGGUCGAUGUCUUCCUCGUACCUAAGAAUGCAAAGGAUCUCAUGAUGAGGUAGCAUCCAAGUUCCAUUGGUAUUCAUAUCUAGCUCAAAGAGGAGUGAGUUCACCUUAGUUCUAUACCACGUGCGUGAGUUCUUGUCAUAGAUCCACUUGUAGCUUGAUGCGUUGUUGUGGUAACCAUGGGGUUGAUGGUGGGAUGCUCUGUAUGAAGCAUCUAUAGCCGGACCUACCCGUCUCAAACGUGUGGGCAGGCCGCACGGUCACUAAAUGGUCGUAAAAAAUCGACCCAGUCGGGUGAAAGGAUCGAUAUGGUUGACUAGAGGGGGGUGAAUAGGCAACGACCAAUUUUAAUUAAUUCUUAGCAAUUUAGGGUUAGCAACAUAAAGGUUCUCUAAAAUGACAACUCAGUGAUGAAACUAUAUGAUGCUACCAACUAAAAUCACUAAGGCAAGUAAGAGAUAGUCUACAACAAAAACAUACACAAUGUAAAGAUUAGAGAUAACCGCAAGUGGAACCAACGAAGACGAGGAUGUGUUACCAAAGUUCCUUCCCUUUGACAUGAAGUACAUCUCCGUUGGAGCGGUGUGGAGGCACAAUGCUCCCCAAUAAGCCGCUAGGGCCACCGUAUUCUCCUCACGCCCUCACACAAUGCAAGGUGUCGUGAUUCCACUAUAGGUGCUCUUGAAGGCGGUGACCGAACCUUUAUAAACAAGGUUGGGGCAAACUCCGCACAAAGCUUGGAGGCUCCCAACAAGACCAUGGAGCUUCACCACAAUGGAAUGUGGCUCCGAGGUGACCUCAACCAUCUAGGGUGCUCAAACACCCAAGGGUAACAAGAUCCGCAAGGGAUUAGUGGGGGAAUCAAUUUUCUCUUGGUGGAAGUGUAGAUCUAGGCCUUCUCAACCAAUCCCUAGGAAAUCAACAAGUUUGAUUGGCUAGGGAGAGAGAUCGGGCACUUUUGAGCAUAGGGAGGAACAAUGGAGCUUAGGAGGGUCAAAAGGUAGGGUUCUUGACCAAGGAGAACCCUUUAUAUAGUGGGGUGGGAAUCCAACCGUUUUCCCACUCACAGCACGAGCCCAGCGGUACUACCGCUGGCUGUAGCGGUACUACAUCUCGCACUCCAACGGUACUACCGCUGGCUGCAGCGGUACUACCGCUGAGCCCAAGGUAGCGUAAAGAUACUAUCGGGACAACCACCGCCAAGAAAGUCUUUGCAAAAAUUCCGAUGAAGUACAGCCGCAAGGAUGACGGUACUAAAGUCCUGGAGCGGAACUACCGCUGACCAGGGGCGGUACUACCGCUGGGCGAGCAGUACUACCGCCAGCUCUAGCGGUACUACCGCCAGCUCUAGCGGUACUACCGCUAGGGCGAGCGGUACUGCCGCUAGGAGACCUUUUUGCGAGAGGAGAAAAUACUAGAGUUGGGAAAAGCUCCAAAUUGCAGGGGAAAGGGGAUGGAGAUAAAGUGUGUGCGUGCAAGAUUGAUUCCACCCAAACUUUCCCAAUACGGAUCCCCUCUUAAUAGUACGACGUUCCUACGACUCAAAAACCACCAAAGAGAGUCGUAGAAGACACCGUGGUUCUAUUCCAAGGAGGGUGCCAAAUCGUCUUGUGCCUUUGUCAUGUAUUAUCUGAAAUGCUCAAUGCACACAAUUAGUCCAUUAAGGUACUGUCAUCAAUCACCAAAAUUACUUAGGCAUAAAUAUGCCCUAACAAUCUCCCCCUUUUUGGUGGAUUGAUGACAAUACCGGAUUUGCACAGUAGAAACAUUUGAUCAUAAAGAUAAUUUAAUAGAGAGAAUUGAAGAGCAUAUGACUCACACCAUAUGAUAAAAGUAGGUCUCACAAUAACAACAAGUCUCACAUCACACAUAUUAAAGAUAGCAAAUACGAUAAACCAAGUUCAGAGAAAAUACGAUAAAGAUAAAGCAAGCAAAUCCAACUCCUAGACUCUCUCCCCCUUUGGCACCAAGACACCAAAAAGGGGCACACCUAAGACACAGGUCGUCACUCCUCAUCCUCAGAGUCAUCCGUGGCAUCCGGAUCCUGCUCGUCCUCCUCAUCCUCAAUGUCCUCCUGAGAAGCCUCCUCCUCAGCAUCAGACCCAUUCCACUCGUAACCUUGAGCCCUCGUCCAGUCAGUCUCUGGAGUGAUGUCGUCCUCUGAGCUGCUUGAGAUUGGCACAUCAAGGGUCUUUAAGACACGCUUGUGCCUCUGACGGUUCUCCUUCUGGGCCACAUGAGACUGAUACUGUCCCUUGGCCUGCAUACAGAAGAGAGUCUUCAUCUGAUCCUUCAGCUUCACAGCCCAAGAUGGCAUAGCAGAAGAGCGGGUAUGCGAAGUAGGUCCUCCUCCAGCAGCAGUCUCUAUGUUUGUAUCCAUGGGCUGAGAAGAAGUUGAUGGGUUGGCCCAUUUGUCCUUUAUACGCAGCUUGAUAGGAUCAUGCACAAAAUAGUCCGCUUGAAUAGGGAAGGGAACUAUCAGAUACAUAUCGUUCCACUUCUUCUGAAUAUAGGCAAACAGGUAAGGCCCGUAGAUGGGAACCUUACUGUUCAUGAUGCAAUUCCAGAGCUCAUGAAACAUCACAUGAGAUAUGUCGAGAGGCGCAAUGUCCUUAGUCCUUGCCUCCUCACACAGCAGAAGCAUCUCAGCCAGAUGACCAUGCACCUCGUCCUUGUUGCCAAUACGAGGGAAUAGGGAGUUGCGGAAGAUCCGAUGCAUGAUAUCCAUAUGCAUGGGGAGCACACCUUUUUUGAUAUAAAGUGGUUGCAGCCUGUCCUUGGGAGUGGAAGUAGACGAAGCUGGAGCAUGAGGACGCAUCCCAAGAACAUUUUCUUCCCCCUGGAAGUCGACGUUGAGGAACUGCAUGAACUCCAUCUAGGAACGAGUCAGCUUCUAAUUACCGGUCAUCCAGGUCAUGGUGCGCUCGUCAUCAGGUUGAAAGUGAACAGUGACAUAAAACUGAGCCACAAUAUCUGGACCAAAGUCCUUUCUGAAGGUGAUGAUAUUUGUAAGGCCAAGCUUUUCAAUCAAGGAGAGAGCCUCACCAAAGUAGUCCGGAUGCCGCCGAAAGUGAUCGAGGUCGAUCCACUGCACUCGGACGAAGAUCUUCUUGAAGGGCACGAUGAUGUCACGAUAGAUCAUUGCUUGUUCCCAUGACCAAACAUGAUCGACGUUCUUGAGCUGAAUCUUGUCAUCACCAUAGGGAUCACGAGUGUGGAGUGUCAGAAAGUCCUUAGGGGCCAUAGUGCGAACAUUGACCCCUUUGGACUUGGUGGCAGUCUUCUUGAAGGACUUCUUCUUAGGAUUCGGACUGGAAGUUGCGGAACCUUCUCGAGCCUCUGGAGUGCGAUACUGCUUUGGUUGGGUGUUACAUGCAGGAUUCGAGCGACGAGGACCAGCUGUGACACACAAGACACACACACCAAAAAGAGCGACAAAAGUAGUCAUGGCAAUGUUCAAAAAUCAUAAGAAGAAACACAUAUUGCCAAGGGAAUACAAAAUAAAAUAAAAUAAAAAGAUAAAAGAAACUACCCUCCUGGCGUUAGUAUCGCUCGCCCUGGCGGUAGUACCGUUGGGGCCCUGUCGGUAGUACCGCUCCCCCCAAUGGUAGUACCGCUCGGGGUCCUGGCGGUAGUACCGCUAGGGGGUUGACUUUCAGAUCUAGACAUAUUUGAACCAACUAAAAAUACUAGAUUCGUUUCAAGAGAUCCACGGCUAAUAAAUAAACUCAUCGAAUCCCCAUAGCCCUAAAAUAUGUGGAACUCGAGAUCAUCUAGAUGGAGACAAUCCUAGUCAAUGGGAUCCGAGGUUCAGAUCAAAUCCAUGAGAUGUAUGAUAAGAGCUACGAGAUCUAAAACAUGGAGAACUAGGGCAUGUGAAAAUAUUUGCAAUAAAGAACAUUAGACCUAAAAUCCCCUAAGAUAUCUCCCUCGUUCCAUCCAAAAACUAAGCACAAAGCAUAUCCAUGGAUCCAAAUCAACAAGCUCCUAACCCUAGAAACAAACACACCAACCAAGAGAAGAAGGGGAGGAGCUUUACCGGUGUCCAUGGCACUUGACGGAGGAAGUAGGAGGGGAGUAAACCCUCCAACUCAAAGGAGAGGAGGGGCUCCAUAGAGAGAGAUCUAAACGGGGGGAUUUCGGUGUAGAGGGAGAGAGAGCCACGAGGAAGAAGAAGCAGGGCAGGAAAAGACGGCUCCCCCUCCUUUAUAUAGUCCAAGGGGCACGGGCCCAGCGGUAGUACCGCUGGAUCAUGGCGGUAGUACCGCUACCCUGGUGGUAGUACCGCUGGGGUCCUGGCUGUAGUACCGCUACCCCUGACGGUAGUACCGCUGGGGUCCUGGCGGUAGUACCACUACCCCUGGCGGUAGUACCGCUGGGGUCCUCGCGGUAGUACCGCUACCCCUGGCGGUAGUACCUCUCUAAAAGUCACAACAAGACAUAGGACUUCGUGGAAAUGAUGUGGGCAACGACUAGUCAGUGUAUACAAAAAGGUAACACCAGCAAGAUAUACUGACUAGUCAUUUUGUGUCCUUUCUUCAACACGAGAGAAAUGUGGGGGCGGUGUCCGAAGCCACCUAUGUUUGAGACAAAGGUAUGACACCGCGAAGCAUUAUCCUUGGGUUCAUGACCAACGCUCAUCUUUGAAGCACAAGUGCUAUUUAAUAAUGGCCAAAGUGAAAGACUUGAUCGAUUUAUGCAUAAUGGGGGGAGGGAAAGUUCAUUGAGAGAACAACACUCCCCCUAUGUCCAUGCCUACACCUAGAACAAGAUGUAAUGCAGAGUGAGAUGCAAAGUGCCUAGUUUCAAUCCACAUUACUUGAAUCAAUGAUAUUUAGCUCAUGCCUUAACUCCCGGGACCUUGCUUCAUCUAGGGGCUUAGUGAAAAUAUCUGCAAGUUGCUCUUCAGUGUUGAUGAAGUGAACCUUAAUAUCACCUCGCUAUCAGUGUGCUUGGUCUUGCUAUGUUGCACCGGAUUGAGGGAAAUCUUGAUAACACUUUGAUUGUCACACAGAAGAGGCACUUUGUCACAAGUGACACCGUCAUCCUUUAAAGUUUGCCUCAUUCAUAGCAACUGUGCACAACAACUUGCAGCUGCCACAUACUCAGCUUCGGUGGAAGAUAGUGAGACACAAUUCUGCUUCUUUGAAGACCUACUUACCAGUGAACGACCAAGGAAUUGACAUCCUCCAGAAGUUGACUUCCUCUCCACACAGUCUCCCGCCCAAUCUGAGUCGGAAUAGCCCACUAGGUUGAAGUUUGCUCCUUUGGGAUACCAUAGACCAAAGUUUGGGGUAUGAGCCAAAUAUCGAAAGAUUCGCUUAACAGCCAUAAAAUGGCUUUCUUUUGGUGCAGAUUGAAACCAUGCAUAAAUCCCUACACUCAACAUGAUAUCCGUUCUAGAUGGACAAAAGGUAAAGAAGGGAUCCAAUCAUGGAGCGAUAUACCUUUUGAUCCACUACUUUACCAUUGGGAUCACUGUCAAGCUAGCAUCUUGUUGCCAUGGGAAACUUGACCGGCUUGACAUCCUCUAGCUCGAACCUCUUAAGCAUGUAUUGAGUGUACUUGGCUUGUUUGAUGAAGGUCCCUUCUAAGCCUUGUUUAUCUCGAACCCGAGGAAGAACUUCAACUCACCCAUCAUAGACAUCUCAAAUUUCUCGGUCAUUAGUGCAGCAAAUUCUUCAUUGAAAGAUUCGUUAGGGGAACCAAAAAUGAUAUCAUCAACAUAUAGUUGGCAUAUGAACAAAUCCCCUUUGACCUUCUUAGUAAAAAGAGUGGGGUCUAUCUUCCCAAUUUCAAACCCACGAUCUUGUAACAACUCAGUAAGUACUGAUACCACACACGUGGGGCUUGUUAAAGGCCAUAGAGUGCCUUAUUAAGUUUGUACACGUGAUUGGGGAGCUUGGGAUGUUCGAACCUCGGGGGUUGUUUGACAUAGACCGACUCAUUUAAAGGACCAUUAAGAAAAGCACUUUUCACAUCCAUUUGUUGUAGUUUCAAAUUAUGAUGAGAAGCAAAUGCAAGCAGCAUGCGAAUAGAUUCUAGACGAGCAACACGGGCAAAGGUUUCACCGUAGUCGAUACCCUCGACUUGGGAGUAGCCUUGAGCCACCAAUCUUGCCUUGUUUCGAACCACAAUCCCAUUGGCAUCUUGCUUGUUUUUGAAGAUCCAUUUGGUCCCGAUGACAUUAUGUUCCUCCUUUGGUCUUGGCACUAAAUUCCAGACUUGAUUACGCUCGAAGUUGUUGAGUUCCUCAUGCAUGGCCAUAAGCCAAUCCUCAUCAUCGAGCGCUUCCUGUACCUGUUGAGGUUCACAAUACGAAAUAAACGUGUGGUGCUCACAAUAAUUCCAAAUUUGUUGACGAGUGGAUACUCCCAUUUUCAAACUGCCAAGCACAUUCUUCAUAAGACAUGACUUGACUCUCAUCUUGUUCGCAAUCUUGGCUGCUCGACGCUCCAAGAGUUCUGCAUUGGAUAACUGGGGAGCAUCGACUUGAUUACUUUGCUUGCCCUUGCAUUUUGAUCCUCCCUUGGCACCAGUAGCCCUCUUAGGUAGCGUGGAAGGGAAUUGAUUUUUGACUUGAGCAGGCUCACUUGUUUGUCCUUGAUCUUGUGGUUGCUCUUGAUCUUGAUCUUGUGCUUUUAUUUGGUCUAGAUCUUGUAGUUGCAAUUGAUCUUGAUCUUGAGCAGAUUCGGAACCUUGUGUAAGAACUUGGACAUCAUGGGGCACAUCGUCAUCUUUUAGCAAUUGAUCUUGUCCUUGAACUUGUUCAACUGGUUGAGGGUCUUCUCUUUGUUCAUCGGAAGCGUGUGGGGCUUGUGAGGAUGAUGGCUCCACUUGAGUAGAGCAUUGUCCUUCUCCUUCGGCCACAAGGGGUUCCUCAAUGGGGAGUAUUUGACCAAUCCCCAUUCUUCUUAUGGCUUGGGGAGGAAUUUCAUCACCUACAUCACAUAGACCACUUUGCUCCACUUGGGAGUCAUUAUUUUCAUCAAACUCCACGUUACAUGUUUCCUCAAUGAGCCUGGUGGACUUUUUGAGGACACGGUAAGCAUGAGAGUUUGUAGCAUAACCAACAAAGAUGCCCUCUUGUGCUCUAGAAUCAAAUUUAGCUAAACGUGCACCUUUCUUGAGAAUGAAACACGUACACCCGAAUACCCGGAAGUACUUGAGAUUGGGUUUGAUUCUGGUGAGAAUCUCAUAUGGGGUCUUGUUCAAGCCUUUGCGGAUAUAGAGCCGAUUGGACGCAUGACAUGCCGUGUUGAUGUCUUCGGCCCAAAAGUUAUAUGGAGAUUUGAAUUCCGCCAUCAUUGUUCCUGCCGCGUCCAUCAACGAUCGGUUCUUCCUUUCCGCCACACCAUUUUGUUGAGGGGUGUAUGGUGCUGAAUAUUGAUGUUUUAUUCCCUCAUCACCUAGAAAUUAAUCCAAUUUGUAGUUCUUGAACUCGGUGCCGUUGUCACUUCUAAUCAUCAAAAUCUUUGCUUCAUGUUGACGUUGAGCUUCGCUAGCAAAGUUGAUGACAGUUUGUUGAGUCUCACUCUUCCUCUUGAAGAAAUAUACCCAGGUGUAUCUUGAGUAAUCAUCAACAAUCACCAAGCAGUACUUUCUGCCCCCAAGACUAUCAAAUGAUGGAGGACCGAAGAGAUCCAUAUGAAGGAGCUCCAACGGCCUCUUAGUGUAAAUGAGAGUCCUUGGACGAUGAGCAGUUUCAUGAAUCUUCCCUUCAGUGCAGGCACUGCAAGCACGAUCUCUGGCAAAACUCACAUUCGUUAGUCCAUGAAUAUGGUCCCCUUUGAGGAGACUUUGCAAAGAUCUCAUAUUGACAUGAGCUAGUCGGCGAUGCCAAAGCGAGCCCACAUCAACUUUAGCCAUUAGACAAGUCGCGGUCUUAGUGGGUCGCUUUGAAAGGUUCACCACAUAGAGACCAUUUUCGAAAUAUCCAACAUAGGCUACUUUAAGAGUCUUGCUCCACAAAAGGACCACAGUAUCAAGAUUAAAGAAUGUGGAAAAGCCCAUAAUUGCAAGUUGACGAACCAAAAGUAAAUUGUAAGCAAGGGACUCAACAAGCAUGACCUUCUCAAUAGAUAACUCUUGAGAGAUGACCACCUUACCGAAUCCCAAUACCUUUGAUGAUGAUGCAUUGGCGAAUUGGACAUGGGUGGGCAUAGAUGGGGAAGGAUGCACAUCCACCACUAAGUCCUUGCUUCCGGUCAUAUGAUUUGUUGCUCCACUAUCGAGCAACCAUGACACGCCACCGGAAGCAAAUUCCUGCAAUAGAUCAAGGCUUGGUUUUAGAUACCCAUUUUUGAAUGGGUCCUUUAAUGUUAGAGACAAGGGUCUUAGGAACCCAAAUAGCCCAUUCAAUGGACUCAUGGUAAGAACCAACAAAUCUGGCAUAAACAUGCCCAUCACCAGCACGACAUAAAACAUUGGAUGGAUUGAGUUUGUUGGCUGUGUUGGUAGAAAUGGUUUUGCCCUUCUUGACGCUACCAUUCACCACCUUUUUCCUGUUCUCCUCUUGAGUCCCUUCGCCCUCUUUGACAAAGAUGUCCAUGAGGGUAGGGGAUCGUUUGUGCAUGUUCUUCCUUUUUCUUUUGACUUGGAUGUAAGUCCAAGUCCCUCCUUUCCUACAACACCCUUUUGAUUGCUCAAGAGGUCAUUUAGGUUCUUCUCGCCUUGGAUGCAUGACACAAGGCCCUUCUCAACUUGAUCCUUCAACUUGGCAUUUUCCUCCACAAGAUGUACAUGCUCACAACAAGGGUUAGUUGUACAAGCAUUAUCAAUUAUAACAAAAGGAGGACAAGUAGAUAUCUCCUUGGUAAGCUUUGCUUGGAGUUCAUCAUGAGACUCUUUCAGGGAGAAAUGAGCACCUUUCAAGACCUUGUGAGCCUUGUCAAGUGUGUCAAAAUCCACUUUGAGUCUGUCAGGGCCAACCCCAAGUGUAGCUUUUUCAGACUUAAGCGCACGAGUAAGAACAGUAGCAUGAUCUUGUUCCUUUUGCAAUUUAGCGCAGUCAUCGUUGUAUGACUCCUCGAGAGCCAAACGAAGAGUGCACUCCUUUUCUAGGGCAAUAGAUAAUUCAGCAAUCUCAUCAGCAUAGUCACGACUAUGUCCUUGCAGCUCGGAGAUGGUCUCCUCAUGAGACUCGAUGAGGUCAUUAGCCUCACCCAGUUGUUCCAAAAGAUCAACAAAGUGCUUCUUGGGUUCUCCUUUGAUCGUACACAUAAACUUGUCAAGAUCAUGCUCAUUAAGUUCCACAACAUCACUAUCAUCAACAAAAUUCAACAAUGAAGGAGCAGUAGUGAUGUUGGUCUUAAUGUUGGGUGUUACCUGAUCUAUACCUUUGGCCAUGAGGCACUUGGCGAUGUGGUUAUCGUUGGGGGCGUUGAAGAGAGACACAUUCUUGGGAGAAGGGUUGGCAAUGGCGACAGUCGCAGUUGCCACCACAUCAUCAUCGUCAUCAUCAUCGGAGGGGUACUCUUCAAGGUCCACCAUACCCUUUGGGUGGGGUUUCUUGACAAAGUUGUUCUUGUUUGGGAAUGACUUGGUUUUGUCUUUGCGAAUGAGCUUGCCCCGUUGUAUUCCCUCUUCUCAUAGGGACAUUCUGCCACGAAGUGACUCGCAUUACCGCAGUUAUAGCAUGUCCUCACACGUUGCUUGGAUUUGAACCCACUUGAGUUGUUCUUGGUGAAGUGGGGUCUUGAGUUCCUCUUGUUGCCCCAGAAUUGCCUUGACGCAAGAGCCAUGUGCUCGUAAUAAGCAUACUUAGUGUCUUUAUGGCAGCUCUCCUCUUCCUCAUCCUCUUCUUCUUCUUCAGAAGCAGUCUUUGCCUUUAAAGAAAGGUUGGGUGAAGCUGCAUUUGACCGAACGCGAGCAAGUGCAUUGUCAGCGGUCUCAUUCAUGAUUGACAUUGCAAUGAAUUCAUCCAACACCUCGCUGGAAGACAAGGAGUGGAAAUCUGGUCGUUGGCGAAUGACUGAUGACAUGGCUUUGUUGAAAGGCAUGAUGGCCUUGAGAAACUUGCGCUUGAUGCAUGUGUCAUCCACAUCCUUGCUACCAUGAUCCUUGAGAGCAACAACAAUAGGAGUCACCCUUCGAUAGAGAUCACGAGGGUCCUCAUCUUCCUUCAUCACAAACUCAUCGGCCUUAUCAAGUACCACUUCAUAGUUGGACCGUUGAAUGCUUGAGCUUCCCUUGUACAACACCAUAAUGUGCUCCCAACAGUCCUUAGCCAGAGUGAAGGGGCGCAGUGAGGAAGAUCUUCAGGAGGUACUGCGGACUGUAGAAUAAACAACGCGAAGUGAUUAUAUUGAUUGUUCGCUUCUUCUCGUGGAGUGAGGUUGCUUGGAUCAUGAGGAUAGUAGCCUUGCUUGAUGAUUCUCCAUAAAUUUGUUGAGUUGUGAUUCAAAUGAGACUUAAUAGAAAACACCCAGUGAUGGGGUUAUAGUCCCAGGGUAGGGUCAUAGGCCUGUCCUAUAGGUCCUACCCAAGGACUACCUUUCAUAGAGGACAAGGCCCUUAGACGGUUCCGAUUGAACUAAGGACGCCUNACAUCGUAACCUCCCACGAGAGCAACGGUCAUACGUUUUCAUACACCAUUAUUAACAUUUAAGGCUUACGUUACCUGUAACGUAGGCACUUAUUCACCACUAUUCCACGCCUAUCCACCGGGCCAUUAUGAAGGGCAGCGCACUCUAUAUAAGCCGCCCUUCCCCACUGGUGCACGGGUUGGCACUUGUUGUAAUCGUAUAAUCCACUCGACACUAAGCUCCCAAGAGCACUGAGACGUAGGGCUUUUACCUCCACUGUAGAGGGGCCUGAACUCAUACAUCCUCGCCGUAGCUAAGGCUCUGCCCAUCCUUUCGUACCCUACACUUCUACUGUCAGACUUAUACCCAGGACAGUUGGCGCCCACCUUGGGGCAGGCGUCUAAGCGACUUCCGGCGAGUUUGCGAUUUCAUGUUUUCAUCAUGUCGUCCGGCGGAGAUCUGUGCAUGGGUCAUGAGAUCCUCUUCGGUGCACUCUCAUUCACCGUCGACGAUUCAGCAUGGCUUCGGGAUGCGCCCCUCGACGUCGAGGCGCUCCCCAGUCGCGGGGCUACGCACUUCCGUGCCGGUUCUCGCGGCGUUCUUCUUCUCGAGCCAUCGGCCCCGGUGUCGAUCUUCGCCCUCGUCACGCGCCGCAACAAGUGAUCUCGUCGUCCACGGCUCCAGCGUUGGGUGCGACACGCCCAGGCGCGACAGAGCGCGUCCUCUCAAGUGGCGGUGCUUGAAUCGGUUGUGGUCGCGCCGCCAUCCCAGUGCUUGGACUCAGUUCUGACUGAGCUACCUUCCGAGUACCUGGGUCGCGGGCCUGCAGCCGAAGUUCUCAUGGCCGAUUCCCAUGAAAGUCCCCUCCGGACUAGUCGGAACGAGCAUGAGGUCGGAGAAUCAUCCAGUGCUCGUCGUCAACACCAUCGUUCUGCCAGUAGACGCACUCGCCAGAGCAACGUCGAGGUGUUCCCCACACCCAUCCUCAACCUGGGUGCGGCUGCCAGGAUAGCCGAUUCUCUCCAGCCGACUGAUUCAAAGGCCGGUAGGGGGAUCAAGCAGAUUCGUGCCCUGUUGCAUAUGGCGCAGCAGCAAAAUUCGGCGGUCUCCCAGUCGCACAACAGGAUCCACAACAGUUCUGUUCAUGCGAACACGCAUCGGUCGGUUUUCAGUCCCGACUCUCAUCAGCGACACAGAGGGGGCAGCCGUUCCAGGAAUCCCGAAGAUCAUCGCCGAUCGCGUACUCCUCCACGGGGUGGGCCUUACAAGCCCCGGCAUCAUGAUGAUCGUCGUUCGGUCGGUGACGCGCAUGAUCCAAUGCCCGAUGCAAGAGGGUACAUCGCCCAGAAGAAGGUCGACAGAAGUCGAGCCCACCGUGAUGGUCACGACAGAGACCGUCCGAGUGGAAGCAGGACCGUCGUUUCUGGUCCCGAGUGCUUCAGUCGGGCCAUCCGCUCAGCUGACAUCCCUCCCAAUUUCCGAUUGGCGACGGGAAUCAGCAAGCUCACAGGAGAGUCCAAGCCAGAAACUUGGUUGGACGACUAUGGAGUGGCAGUCCAGAUCGGUGACGGAGAUGACCAGGUCGCCAUGAAACAUCUCCCCCUGAUGCUCGACGUCUCGGCACGAGCUUGGCUGAACCAGUUAGCCCCAUCAAGCAUCUACAGCUGGGCAGAUCUGUCCCGAGUCUUCAUCAAGACCUUCGAGGGUACGUGCAAGCGCCCUGCUGGUCUCGUAGAGCUCCAACACUGUGUCCCGAAGCAGAACGAGCCCCUGCGCGAUUUCAUCCAGCGCUGGAGAACCCUCUACCACACGGUGGAGAACGUCACGGAGCACCAAGCAGUUUGCGCCUUCAAGGCAGGCGUGCGGUACAGAGAUCUGUACCUGAAGUUCGGUCGGACAGGCGACAUCUCCAUGAGCAAGAUGAUGGAAAUAGCCGCACGCUAUGAAAAUGGCGAAGAGGAGGACCGCAUACGUAGCGGCAAGCAUAAGUCAGUCGCUGAUGGAGAUGGGAACAACAAUCGGAAGCAGAAGCAGAAAGCUCAACCCACUCCGCAGGCAGAGGCAGCAGCCGUUACAAAUGCCAAGUUCAAAGGAAAGGGGAAAGCUCAGUACACCCCCAAGAAGAAACAGUUCGGGAAUUCCAUCCUGGAUCAGCUGUGUCCAAUCCACACGAAGAUGGACGAAGAAGGCAACGCCAUAUUCCCGAAGCAUACCACUCGGCAGUGUCGCCUCCUGAUCCAAGGAUUCGGUGAAGGGCAGCCGAGUGAAAAAGACACCGAGCUGGAUGAUGAGGACAAGGAGGAUCCGUUCCCCAAGUCCAUGCAACGUUGAUGAUUUUUGCUGAUGUGGAAAGCAAAAGUCGACUGAAGCUGGUUAACACGGAGGUGAACAUGGCAACCCCAACCACCCCCACGUUCCUCAAGUGGUCACAGACUGCGAUCACCUUUGAUCAGUCGGACCAUCCAGCACACGUACCCACCCCAGGGAGGCAAGCUCUGGUCGUCGACCCGGUGGUGGAAGGAUUCAAGCUGCCCAAAGUCCUCAUGGACGGUGGCCGCGGCUUGAACAUCAUGUACGCCGACACUCUCAAGGGGGUGGGCUUUCCGAUGUCCAAACUUAGUGAGAGCAGUAUGCAGUUCCACGGAGUCGUCCCAGGACGAAAGGCCAAAUCACUCGGCCAGAUCGCGUUCGAUGUCGUCUUCGGCUCUGACAAGAACUUCCGCAAGGAGAAGCUGACAUUCGAGGUGGUGGACUUCCAGAGUGCAUACCCUGAGAUUCUGGGCCGUCCGGCAUAUGCGCGUUUCAUGGCCCGUCCAUGUUACGUCUAUUUGAAGCUGAAGAUGCCAGGUCCCGAGGGUGUGAUUAUGGUCACAGGCAAUCGGCAGCGGGCCGACGAGUGUCUGCAGCAGGGGUCGAGGAUUGCCGAUUAGCAGAUGGCUAUUCUCGAGCUGGAUGAGUACAAGAAGACAGCCGACCCUGCUGACCUGAUGUGUUCGAAGAAGCCAGCUUCCGUGUCCGCAUUCCAGUCGGCGGGAGACACGAAGAAAGUCAGCAUCCACCCGACGGACGACGCCGCAGCUCCGACAAACAUCUCCACCACACUUGAUCCAAAAUAGGAAGCCGAGAUCAUCCAAUUCCUCCGUGAGAACUGGGACAUUUUUGCAUGGAAGCCCGCUGACAUGCCAGGUGUACCCAGGGAGUUGGCUGAGCACCGACUGCAUGUGGAUCCUGCUGCUCGGCCCGUCCGAGAACGCCGGCGUCGGUCCGCCGUGCACAAGAGGAUGGCAAUCGGAGAGGAAGGGGCUAAACUUUUGGCAGCCAACUACAUUCGCGAGGUACACCACUCCGAGUGGCUUGCUAAUGUUGUCAUGGUGCCCAAGAAGGACAAGUCUCUCCGUAUGUGCAUCGAUUUCAAGCAUCUCAAUAAGGUCUAUCCGAAAGAUCACUUCCCGCUCCCCCGCAUUGAUAAAAUUGUUGAUUCGACUGCGGGUUGCGAGCGUUUAUCAUUCCUUGAUGCCUAUUCAGGCUAUCAUCAGAUCCGUCUGUAUGGUCUGGAUGAAUUAAAAACAGCCUUCGUCACCCCAUUCGGGUGUUUCUGCUACAUCACUAUGCCAUUCGGUUUGAAGAAUGCAGGAGCAACUUUUAUGCGCAUGAUCCAAAAAUGCCUCCUAGACCACAUCGGUCGAAAUGUGGAGGCAUAUAUGGACGAUGGCGUAGUCAAGUCACGCAAAGGUUCCGACCUGCUGACUGGACUUGGCAGAAACAUUCGCUAACCUACGUAGGUACGAUAUCAAGCUCAACCCAGCCAAGUGUUCAUUCGGCGUUCCCAGCGGCAAGUUACUCGGUUUCAUCGUUUCCGAACGGGGGAUCGAUGUCAACCCCGAAAAGAUCGGGACCAUCGUCCGAAUGGAGCAGCCGGUAAGAAUACAUGAUGUUCAAAGGCUCACAGGUUGCCUAGCGGCUUUGAGCAGGUUUAUCGCUCGACUCGGCGAGAAGGCGUUACCUCUGUACCGACUCAUGAAGAAAUCAGAUACCUUCGAGUGGACAGACGAAGCCCAAGCUGCAUUCGACGACCUCAAAGCCCUGCUUUCCACCCAGCCGGUUCUUCCUGUCCCGCUCAGUAAAGAACCCCUUCUUCUGUACAUCGCGGCUACAAAUCAAGUCGUCAGCACCGUUCUGACAGUCGAACGCGAAUAAGAAGGAAAAGCGUACAAGGUUCAGCGGCCAGUAUAUUAUGUCUCCAAAGUCCUGACUCCUUCCAAGCAGAGAUAUCCUCAUUAUCAGAAGCUUAUUUAUGGGAUCUACAUGACUGCAAAGAAGGUGGCUCAUUAUUUCCAAGACCACUCGGUGUCUGUCAUAUCUGAUGCUCCGUUGUCGGAAAUUCUCCACAAUCGGGAUGCAUCAGGCCGAGUGGCAAAGUGGGCAAUGGAGAUGCUAUACUGCGACAUCAAGUUCGAAUCCAAGAAAGCUAUAAAGUCUCAAGCUCUGGUUGACUUAAUAGAAGAAUGGGUAGAACAAAAGCAACCGACUCACAUCUACUCGGCCCAUUGAACCAUGUUCUUCGAUGGGUCCAAGAUGUUGAAUGGCUCCGGCGCAGGCGUAGUGAUCAUAUCCCCAAAAGGUGAUAAACUUAAGUAUGUGCUGCAGAUACAUUUUGAUUCUUCCAACAACGAAGCAGAGUACGAAUCUCUCCUUUACGGAUUGCGCAUGGCCAUCACAGUAGGCUUCCAUCGCCUGAUGAUCUAUGGCGACUCAGAUCUGGUGGUUAAUCAAGUAAUGAAGGAAUGGGACGUAAGGAACCCCACCAUGACUGCGUACUGCAACACAGUAAGGAAGCUCGAGAAGAAGUUUGAAGGUCUGGAACUUCACCAUGUUCCCCGACUGAAAAAAACCAAGCAGCAGAUGAAUUGGCAAAACUUGGAUCCACUCGGAGACCGGUCCCGAGUGAUGUCUGCCUCGAGCACCUACACCUCCCCUCGGUGAAGGAAGAUCCUUUUACAGAGGAGCCAGUACAACCGAAGAGCUCAACAGAUUUGACUGAAGUCGAGGUCCCCGCUGUGGUUGAUUUGAUCAUGGAGAUUCUUGCUGUCAUCCCCGAGUGGACUGUGUCGUUCAUUGCGUACAUCAUGAGGCAAGAGGUGCCAGAAGACGAAGUCCAAGCUAGGCAGAUCGUCCGCAGGUCUAAGUCCUUCACCGUCAUUGAUGGCCAGUUGUACAGGGAAAGUGUUUCGGGCGUCCUUCAGCGGUGCAUCUCCCGUGAGGAGGGACAGUUAAUCUUGGAAGAAAUUCGCUCGGGAACCUGCGGUCAUCAUGCCUCCUCAAGAGCAAUCGUCGCCAAAGUAUUCAGAGCUAGUUUCUUCUGGUUGCAGGCGAAUGAAAUGGCAAAAGAUAUGGUCGACCGAUGCGAAGGAUGUCAGUUCUAUUCAAACAAGUCCCACAAGCCAACAUCUGCGCUAAAGACAAUUCCUCUUGUUUGGCCAUUCGCCGUGUGGGGAUUAGAUACAGUCGGACCAUUCAGAACAGGCCAAGGAGGAUUCACUCAUCUGCUGGUAGCAGUCGACAAGUUUACCAAGUGGAUUGAAGCAAAGCCCAUCAAGAAGCUUGACGCCCUUACGGCCAUCAAAUUUAUCACAGACAUCAUCGCCAGACAAUGGCACAAACUUUGACUCGGACAGAUUCAAAGGUUUUUUCACAGGCCAAGGUAUCCAGUGGAUUUUGCAUCCGUGGCACACCCCCAAACAAACGGGCAAGUAGAGCAGGCGAAUGGACUUAUUCUUCAAGGGUUGAAGCCUCGACUCCUGCGAUAAGUUGGACAUGCCGUCGGCGCAUGGGUCACCGAGCUGCCUUUGGUGAUGUGGGGCCUCCGCACAACUCCGAAUAGAUCUACAGGGCGAUCCCCGUUCUUCCUCGUUUAUGGAGCAGAGGCAGUCCUUCCGAGUGACUUUCUUCACAACUCUCCACGAGUCGAACUCUUCUCUGAAGCCGAAGCAGAGCAAGCCAGGCAAGACGGAGUGGAUAUUCUAGAAGAAGAGCGCGAGAUGGCACUGACUCGCUCAACAAUUUAUCAACAAGAUCUGCGGCGAUUUCACGCGCGGCACGUCAGGAGUCGCACAUUCCAAGCAGGCGACCUGGUGCUCCGAGUGGAUCAGCAGAGACCACACAAGUUGGCUCCCGCCUGGGAAGGACCCUUCAUCAUCUCUAAGGUGCUAAACAACGGAGCAUAUCGACUCUGCAACCUCGACAGGGAAAUGGACGAACCGCGAGCAUGGAAUGGAGAUCUCCUGAAGCGCUUCUACACAUGACCGCCGACGGAGACAAUGUAAAGAACAAGUAUCAUUGAAGUAAUAUAAAGCAGAUUGAUUUCUUGCCGAUUCAAAAUUCUUCCGCGUUUGCAGACUUCGGUCUGAAAAACUAACUCUGAGUGUACACUAAAAGUCGCACUCGGGGACUUAGGUGCGACCCAGAGUCGCCUAAGUACAAUCUCGCUCUGAGUGUGCACUGAAAGUCGCACUCGGAGNCUCGCUCCGAGUGUGCACUAAAAGACACGCUCGGAGACUUAGCUGCGACCCAGAGUUGCCUAAGUAAAAAGCUUCCUCCGAAUGUAUACUCGAGAUGCACUCGGAGGCUUAGCAGACCCUCAUUGAGGCUCAUGUGGAUGUGAAGACAACUGAAAACUAGAUGAGUAACAACUCGCUCCGAAUGCGCACUAACAGUCACACUCGGGAACUUAGCCGUGACCCAGAGUCACCUAAGUAACAACUCGCUCCGAGUGCGCACUAACAGUCACACUCGGGGACUUAGCUGCGACCCAGAGUCGCCUAAGUAAAAGAUUCCUCCGAAUGUAUACUCGAGAUGCACUCGGAGGCUUAGCAGACCCUCAUUGAGGCUCAUGUGGAUGUGAAGACAACUGACAACUACAUGAGUAACAACUCGCUCCGAGUGCGCACUAACAGUCACACUCGGGAACUUAGCCGCGACACAGGAUCGCCUAAGUAACAACUCGUUCCGAGUGCGCACUAACAGUCACACUCGGGGACUUAGCUGCGACUCAGAGUCGCCUAAGUAAAAAGCUUCCUCCGAGUGUAUACUCCAGAUAUACUCGGAGGCUUAGCAGACCCACAUUGAGACUCAUGUGGAUGUGAAGACAACUGACAACUACAUGAGUAACAACUCGCUUCGAGUGCGCACUAACAGUCACACUCGGGAACUUAGCCGCGACCCAGAGUCGCCUAAGUAACAACUCGCUCCGAGUGCGCACUAACAAUCACACUCGGAGACUUAGCCGCGACCCAGAGUCGCCUAAGUAAAAGCUCGCUCCGAGUGCGCACUCGGAGGAUUGGCAGACCCUCAUUGAGGCUCAUGUGGAUGUGAAGACAACUGACAACUACAUGCUCCGCAUGUUUGCCAUUGGUUCCACCAAGAAACGCCAAACAAAAACCACGAGCCAAAAUCGUGUCAAAAAAAACUUAGCGAAAGAAGAGCAAAAGAUCCGAUUCGAAUUCAAAGUUGGAUCUACGAUCAGUCGGCUCGGUGUGAAUCAAGCUUAUCCACACCGAACCAUGAAUUUGACGGCCAACAGCAGUGGCCAAAGUUUAGUACAGAUACCACUCGGCAUACCGAGGUAAAUGUGCGUUCACCAUAAAGUUUUUUCAAGCAUCACCGGGACUGGCAGGCUCCACAAAGGUGUCAAGGUCGAUUCUGUCUGCAAUACGAGUGGCUCUGUCGAGGAAGGCCUCCAUGAAAUCUUCGAAUCGAAGCUUCUUGGUAUUGGCGACCUGCAACCUCUUCAGCUUUUCUUCGCGGGCUUCCUUGCAGUGCACUCGGACCAGAGAUAGCGCCACGUCCGCACCACAGCGAGCGGCAGACUUCUUCCAUGCCUAUACUCUCCUUGGGACGUCCUCCAACCGAGUCAUCAACCCAUCUAUUUCUUGCCGGGAGUCGUCCUCAGGCCACAGCUCCUUGUCGAUCCGGCCGACAACUUUUCUCAGGCGGCCAAUGAAAGGGACCACCCUGUUAAGGCAAUAAUGCGCUCGGAGCAUGUCCCGGUUAGCUUCGUCGCCGAGUGGAACAUUCAGAACAAUCGACCGCUCAAUUUUGGCUGCUUCAGCCUCAACGUCCCGAUAGAAGUCUGCACAGAAAAGACAAGCAGAAAGUAAGCACGGAGUGAACUCCAAAGUCAAGAAGCACUCGGCAACAACUUACCACCAAGCAGUGCAACCAUCUUCCUCGCCAAGUCGCUGACGUAGUUCUCCUGCGCCAUGCACCGAGUGUUCAUCACCUUCAGCUGGCCCAUCCAUUCAGAUCUCUGACUCUUCAGUUUUUCAACUUCGGCUACCAAUGCCUUGUUGGUCUCGCGAGACUCCUCCAAAGACUUCUCUCGGUCAGCAAGAGCCUCCUUCACACCAGCUAGGUCAUUCACAGCCGCCUCCAAGUCCGCAGCAAGCUGAAUCUUCUUAGCCUUCAGAGCAUUGUACGCAGAUCCCAUUUCGCAAGUCUUCUGCCAAAUAGACACAAAGGGAGGAUCAGACACAUUCAACAAGGAAAAAGUAUCGACACAUAUGACAAAACAAUCAAAGUCCAAAAUUCUUCAGACCCCUGCUGAUGCAAGCAAUCGACAACGGUCUCGGGGACUACACCUAGUGGGUUCACUAAGAGUGACCCCACUGGUAUGAAGCUCGAACAGGUCGGCCCUAUCGAGCUCCAUCGCAAACAAGCAACAUUAUGAGAAUACUAUUACUCGACCCGAGUAACACUACUCUCGGGGACUACACCCAGUGGGUGCACUCGGAGUGCCCCCACUGGUACCAUUCGGGCAGAUCAGCUCUGAUCCGUUCAAAUUACGGAAAAUACAUAUAAAGACAACUGCCGGUGCAAGCACUCGGCAGAAGUCACAGGGACUACACCCACUGGGUUCACUCGGAGUGAACCCACUUCAAAAUCAUCCUACUGUAUCCGAGUAUAUCGCUGAAACCCCCAGUGGGUAACAAGAGGAAAGUAAACACUUACUAGCGCACUUACUCGGAUAUCGUCCCGGAGUUCCAAGCUUUUCUUGUACAAAGACGCGAUGGAGUCAUACGCCCCCUUGGCAUCACCCACCAUCAGCUCCACCUCCACCAUGGCUUCCUUGGCGGCCCCCACCUGGUCUUCCGGGAGGUGUCGGGCGUCAUAUUGAACGGUUGAUGGACCCGGCGCGACAGAAGACUCCCUGGGCAUCCCGAGCUCCGCUCCAGUAGGUUCCGCCGUGAGGGGCACCGUCUCAGUUGGCGGCACCGUCUCAGUCGGCGGCACGUUCGCGGUGGGAGUAGCAGUAGAUGGGACAACCUCAAGGACAGGCGCCAAAACUGGCUGCGACCCCCUUUGGUUGUCGUCCUCCAGAUGGAUCACCUCCGAAGGAAGCCCGACUAAACAAAAUGAAAUUACAGAAAAAGGUCAAGAUCAAGGACAACACUCGUGAAACAGCAAUGCAGCUCUCAGAGUCAUGACAACGUACCUUGCUCGGACGUGGCGGCGUUAUCCGUGUCCAUGGGAUCAUCGUCCUGGCGCGGCAGAGAGGUGGCGGAGGUAGUAGCUCUGUUGAGUAAAAUCCACUCGACGGAUAAGCGUGAGUUCAAUCGGAUACUAAAGAAAGAUGGAAGAACAAGACACUUACGCUGAGGCGACUGGAACAGCGAUCCUCAUCCGAUGCAAAGCUUUCCGAGGAUUAGGCCCACUAGGUUUGGCCAUGUUGGACGGCUGGUUCACGGGCUCGGCAGCAGCGUCCCUGGUCCUCUUCACGCUCCGAGCACUCGGAGCCACGGGAGGGGCUGGCGGAGCACUCGGGGCCGCUGGAGGAGCCGGCGGAGCAGCGGGAUCGUGACGGCGCUUAGUUUGGUGCUCUGGUGGUGAAGGUGGCGAGUUGUGCUCCCCAUCCUCCUCCUCCUCCUCCUCUUCCGUCACCUCCUCCGUCUCCCCACUGUCGGAGACGUACUCGGCGCUAUCCACGUUUCCCUCCUGGCUGCCCUCCUCUUCCUCGGCUGGAUUCCCGUUCGAGACGGCAGAAUACCAGUUGGUCCACUCCUGCACAAAACACAGUCGGCAGCGUCAGUCGGCGGGACAAGAAAAUCAAUAAAUCUAAGAAGAUUAAAAGCACUCGACAAGAUGUGCUCACCUCAUUCGGAGGAGGAUUGUCGGCGCGGAAGGGCUUCACCCGUCGGGCUCCUUCAGGGUUAUCACAUGCGCCUGUGAUGCCGCGAACCAACGCUCUCAUAGUCUCCCCGCUCACGCACUCUGGAUGAGACCGAGUGGAGUCCGAAGGCCCCGCGUAGUGCCACAUGGCGUGGUGUCGGGCCUGCAGCGGCUGGAUGCGCCGACCCAGAAAAGUCUCCAGCAGGUCCGUGUCGGUGACUCCCUUGCGGACGACGGCUAUCAGCGCAUCGACCAAAGGCUGGAUCUGGAUCCUUUCCCCCUUAGAGAGCGCAAGCUUCCUGGGAGGGCCCGGACGGUCUAGGCUAAAAGGUGGCAACUCACUCGAAGCAUUUGGACAAGCAAUGUCCUGGCAAUAGAACCAGGACGAUUGCUAGUUCCUAACUGACUCGGACAACUGGAGGGGGGUAGCUACUCUUUGUUUUCUUCUGGAAGCCUAAACCCCCGCAGAGCUGGAGGAUAUGGUUCUUAUCGUCUGACUGGCUAAGCCUUUUGACGGUUUGGGAUCUAGCAGAGAAGACGUACUUAAAGAGCGCCCAGUGGGGGGACAUCCAAUAAAGCACUCGCAAAGGGUGAUGAAUGCAGCAAGGUGGGCUAUUGCGUUCGGAGGAAAAUGAUGGAGCUGCGCCCCGAAGUAAGUCAUGAUACCUCGGAAGAAAGGAUGGAGAGGCAAGGAGAAGCCUCUGAACACGUGGCUGAGCAGCCGAACGCGCUCCCCCUCUUUCGGCGCCGGCUCCGUCUCGCCUUCCGGUAGCCUCCAGGACUCGUUGACGAUCAUGCGUGCUCCACCAGCUCCAGCAAGUCGUCCUCCGUCACCAAGGAGGGGAGGAAAUCCCCCUGGAUCCAACCCACCGGCAGCGCCCGCUGCCGCCGCUGAGUAGGGGCCGCCCCCUUCUUCUUCUUAUUCUGCGACUCGAGUUUGCUGGUCUGCCCCUUCGUCAUGGCGAAUGCGACGGAUCCGCAGAAGAGGAGGGGAAGGAGGAGGCUUGAGGCGUCCAGAGAGCUGCGGGAGGAGCGGGAUUAAUGCGAGGAAGAUGAGCAGCGCAACAGGAAAUCCCGCCGGAGAGGCUUAAAUAAGCUUCCGACUAGGUCACUAACAGGUGGACCCAAAAUCUUAUCUGCCCAACCAGCCGCUGUGAUGUUAGUGGAGAAGAUAAAGGCGCGGUAAUCGAGGAGGCAAAACCUACUCGAUGGCGAUGUCGUCAUCCCCGCUCAGUGCGCGACAACCGAAAUAUGAGGAUCCCGGAAAAUCCGGCGCUGUCAGUUUGACUAGUCACAUCGAAAGAUUCCGCGGAAGCACUCGGUCCCGGACGGUUCGUUUUGCUGGUAUAUCCACUCGGAUCACUGGAUGAAAGGAUAAAAUGGAUCAAGGGAAACAACGCUAAAGUCACCUCCAUACCAGUCGGUUCCAUACUCUAGACAUCACUUCAUCGUUCCAACCCCGAUCCAUUCGGGGACUAAUGAUGGGGUUAUAGUCCGAGGGUAGGGUCAUAGGCCUGUCCUAUAGGUCCUACCCAAGGACUACCUUUCAUAGAGGACAAGGCCCUUAGACAGUUCCGACUGAACUAAGGACGCCUCCAUCAUCCAGUCGGCGACGAGCACUCGGAGCAUAUUUAACGUACCGACUGGAAUCCACUCUGUACAUCGUAACCUCCCAGGAGAGCAACGGUCAUACGUUUUCAUACACCAUUACUAACAUUUAAGGCUUACGUUACCUGUAACGUAGGCAUUUAUUCGCCACUAUUCCACCCCUGUCCACCGGGCCAUUAUGAAGGGCAGCGCACUCUAUAUAAGCCGCCCUUCCCCACUGGUGCAGGGGUUGGCACUUGCUGUAAUCCUAUAAUCCACUCGACACUAAGCUCCCAAGAGCACUAAGACGUAGGGCUUUUACCUCCACCGUAGAGGGGCGUGAACUCAUACAUCCUCGCCGUAGCUAAGGCUCUGCCCAUCCUAUCGUACCCUACACUUCUACUGUCAGACUUAUACCCACGACACCCAGUUAGCAAAAUCACCCUUAACAAGCUUAGGAGGAGGACCAACAGGGUUAAGACGCGGUGUAGGAACAGGUCCUCCAUAGACCAUGGGAGGUGGAACUGAGGCAUAGGUUCUAGUCCCAUCAUUUUCGAGAGGGGAAGAAGGUCGCAUACCUUUAGCCGCUUCCUUAGAGGAAUUGGCCUCCGAAUCUGUGUUGGCGGGUUUAACCACCAACGUCGGUUCGGGUUAACCUUUAAUUCCCUCAAUUAACUCUUUAAGCAUGGUUUUGACUUCGUUCAUCAAGGACGUCUUGAGGGCGGCCAUAGCCGUAUUCAAGUCAUCCCUUAUGACCGAAGUCAAGCCCAUGGCCUCGGGUUGCCCAUGGGGUACUCCCUCAUCAUCUUCCAUACUCUUCGGGUGGUGAAACCCUUAACAAAGAGACGUGGCUCUGAUACCAAUUGAAAGGAUCGAUAUGGUCGACUAGAGGGGGGGAAUAGGCAACGACCAAUUUUAAUUAAUUCUUAGCAAGUUGGGGUUAGCAACAUAAAGGUUAUCUAAAAUGACAACUCGGUGAUGAACCUAUAUGAUGCUACCAACUAAAAUCACUAAGGCAAGUAAUAGAUAGUCUAAAACAAAAACAUACACAAUCUAAAGAUUAGAGAUAACCGCAAGUGGAACCAAUGAAGACGAGGAUGUGUUACCGAAGUUCCUUCCCUUUGACAGGAAGUACGUCUCUGUUGGAGCGGUGUGGAGGCACAAUGCUCCCCAAUAAGCCACUAGGGCCACCGUAUUCUCCUCACGCCCUCACACAAUGCAAGGUGUCGUGAUUCCACUAUAGGUGCUCUUGAAGGCGGCGACCGAACCUUUACAAACAAGGUUGGGGCAAACUCCACACAAAGCUUGGAAGCUCCCAACAAGACCACGGAGCUUCACCACAAUGGAAUGUGGCUCCGAGGUGACCUCAACCGUCUAGGGUGCUCAAACACCCAAGAGUAACAAGAUCCGCAAGGGAGUAGUGGGGGGAAUCAAUUUUCUCUUGGUGGAAGUGUAGAUCUAGGCCUUCGCAACCAAUCCCUAGGAAAUCAACAAGUUUGAUUGGCUAGGGAGAGAGAUCGGGCACUUUUGAGCUUAGGGAGCAACAAUGGAGCUUAGGAGGGUCAAAAGGUAGGGUUCUUGAGCAAGAAGAACCCUUUAUAUAGCGGGGGGAAUCCAACUGUUUUCUCACUCACAACACGAGCCCAGCGGUACUACCGCUGGCUGUAGCGGUACUACAGCUCGCACUCCAGCGGUACUAAAAUCGAGCCAACCACCGCCAAGAAAGUCUUCGCAAAAAGUCCGACGAAGUACAGCCGCAAGGAUGACGGUACUAAAAUCCUGGAGCGGUACUACCGCUGACCAGGGGCGGUAAUACUGCUGGGCCAACAGUACUACCGCCAGCUCUAGCGGUACUACCGCUAGGACCAGCGGUACUACCGCUAGGAGACCUUUUUGCGAGAGGAGAAAAUACCAGAGGUGGGAAAAGCUCCAAAGUUGCAGGGGAAAGGGGGUGGAGAUAAAAUGUGUGCGUGCAAGAUUUAUUCCACCCAAACUUUCCCAAUACGGAUCCCCUCUUAAUAGUACGGCGUCUCUACGACUCAAAAACACCAAAGAGAGUCAUAGAAGACACCGUGCUUCUAUUCCACGGAGGGUGCCGAAUCGCCGUUUGCCUUUGUCAUGUAUUAUAUGAAAUGCUCAAUGCACACGAUUAGUCCAUUAAGGUAUUUUCAUCAAUCACCAAAAUUACUUAGGCAUAAAUAUGCCCUAACAACGGGCCCUCAAACGGGCCUCAACGCCCGGGGUGAUAGGCACCCAUCAUAUCCAACCAAAAUAUUGGACGGGUAUGGGGGAGGUCCUUAACGCCCGCCACGUCGGCCUGACGGCGUGGCCCCACGAGGAUUCGCCUGGAAACCCGAAGGUCCGACGGGUGCCUCAAUCGUCGCCGCGGUGUGAACGCCACGUGGCACCGCUCUCGCUCGCCACCCGAGGCCAAAACCGACUAUUUAAAUCGGCCGGCGUCCCCUAGCCCUAGCACAGCCACCUUCUCCCUUCCUCCGCCGCCACCCGAGCCCAUCAGCCUCCUCUUCCCCGCUCUCUGGCCUCGGUAUGGUGUGUCGUAGGAUCACCACCUACGUUCAGCUCACGCUAGACCGCCGUAUCAAGAUCGAGGCAGAGAUCCACGCUCGGUGUGCCGCCCCUCAUCGCUAUGAGUCUCCCUCCGGGCUCGCCGAAAACAAGGGAGGCGGAGGAGGAGGAGCCAGAGGCCAUGGAGAAGCAUGAGGUGGAGGAUUAGGAUGACGCGGGGAUCCAUGCUUCGGGGUUGAACAUGGCAGAGGUGGAGGCAGGGUUCGCCGUUGCCCAAGCCGAGGAAAUGGCGGAGCCGCACGCCAUCCUGAAUUUCAUCCGGGAUGAGGUCGAGGUGAGGGCCAACCGCCGGCUCUGUUGGAAUUAUGCCCUAGAGGNNNNNNNNNNNNNNNNNNNNNNNNNNNNNNNNNNNNNNNNNNNNNNNNNNNNNNNNNNNNNNNNNNNNNNNNNNNNNNNNNNNNNNNNNNNNNNNNNNNNNNNNNNNNNNNNNNNNNNNNNNNNNNNNNNNNNNNNNNNNNNNNNNNNNNNNNNNNNNNNNNNNNNNNNNNNNNNNNNNNNNNNNNNNNNNNNNNNNNNNNNNNNNNNNNNNNNNNNNNNNNNNNNNNNNNNNNNNNNNNNNNNNNNNNNNNNNNNNNNNNNNNNNNNNNNNNNNNNNNNNNNNNNNNNNNNNNNNNNNNNNNNNNNNNNNNNNNNNNNNNNNNNNNNNNNNNNNNNNNNNNNNNNNNNNNNNNNNNNNNNNNNNNNNNNNNNNNNNNNNNNNNNNNNNNNNNNNNNNNNNNNNNNNNNNNNNNNNNNNNNNNNNNNNNNNNNNNNNNNNNNNNNNNNNNNNNNNNNNNNNNNNNNNNNNNNNNNNNNNNNNNNNNNNNNNNNNNNNNNNNNNNNNNNNNNNNNNNNNNNNNNNNNNNNNNNNNNNNNNNNNNNNNNNNNNNNNNNNNNNNNNNNNNNNNNNNNNNNNNNNNNNNNNNNNNUACAUCAACCGCGUUCUCUGACGCUUCUGCUGUGCGAUCUACAAGGGUACGUAGAUCACUCAUCCCCUCUCGUAGAUGGACAUCACCAUGAUAGGUCUUCGUGCGCGUAGGAAAAUUUUGUUUCCCAUGCGACGUUCCCCAACAGUGGCAUCAUGAGCUAGGUUCUUGCGUAGAUGUAUUCUCGAGUUGAACACAAAAGGUUUUGUGGGCGGUGAUGUGCGUUUUGCUGCCCUCCUUAGUCUUUUCUUGAUUCCGCGGUAUCGUUGGAUUGAAGCGGCUUGGACCGACAUUACUCGUACGCUUACGAGAGACUGGUUUCAUCGUUACGAGUAACCCCCUUUGCUCAAAGAUGACUGGCAAGUGACGGUUUCUCCAACUUUAGUUGAAUCGGAUUUGACCGAGGAGGUCCUUGGAUGAGGUUAAAUAGCAACUCGUAUAUCUCCGUUGUGGUGUUUGCGUAAGUAAGAUGCGAUCCUACUAGAUACCCUUGGUCACCACGUAAAACAUGCAACAACAAAAUUAGAGGACGUCUAACUUGUUUUUGCAGGGUAUGAUUGUGAUGUGAUAUGGCCAACGAUGUGAUGUGAUAUAUUGGAUGUAUGAGAUGAUCAUGUUGUAAUAGAAAUAUCGACUUGCAUGUCGAUGGUACGACAACCGGCAGGAGCCAUAGGGUUGUCUUUAUACUAACGUUUGUGCUUUGCAGAUGCGUUUACUAUUUUGCUAGGAUGUAGCCUUAGUAGUAAUAGCAUAAGUAGCACGACAACCCCGAUGGCAACACGUUGAUGGAUGAUCAUGGUGUGGCGCCGGUGACAAGAAGAUCGUGCCGGUGCUUUGGUGAUGGAGAUCAAGAAGCACGUGAUGAUGGCCAUAUCAUGUCACUUAUGAAUUGCAUGUGAUGUUAAUCCUUUUAUGCACCUUAUUUUGCUUAGAACGACGGUAGCAUUAUGAGGUGAUCUCUCACUAAAAUUUCAAGACGAAAUUGUGUUCUCCCCGACUGUGCACCGUUGCUACAGUUCGUCGUUUCGAGACACCACGUGAUGAUCGGGUGUGAUAGACUCAACGUUCACAUACAACGGGUGCAAAACAGUUGCACACGCGGAACACUCGGGUUAAGCUUGACGAGCCUAGCAUGUGCAGACAUGGCCUUGGAACACAUGAGACCGAAAGGUCGAGCAUGAAUCGUAUAGUUGAUAUGAUUAGCAUAGGGAUGCUUGCCACUGAAACUAUUCUCGACUCACGUGAUGAUCGGACUUGAGAUAGCGAAUUUGGAUCAUGUACCACUCAAAUGACUAGAGAGAUGUACUUUUUGAGUGGGAGUUCUUAAGUAAUAUGAUUAAUGAACUAAUUGUCAUGAACAUAGUCUAAUGGUCUUUGCGAAUUACGAUGUAGCUUGCGCUAUAGCUCUACUGUUUUUAUAUGUUCCUAGAGAAAAUUUAGUUGAAAAUUGAUAGUAGCAACCUUUGCAGACUAAGUCUAUAAAACCGAGGAUUGUCCUCGUUGCUACGCAGAAGGCUUAUGUCCUUAAUACACCACUUGGUGUGCUGCACCUCGAGCGUCGUCUGUGGAUGCCAUGAACAUCAGACAUACACGUUACUGAUGACUACACGAUAGUUCAGUGCAAGAUACUUAAUGGCUUAGAAGCAAGGCGCCGAAAACGUUGUAAAACGUCACGGAACAUAAGUGAUGUUCCGAAGAGAUGAAAUUGUGAUUUCAUGCUUGUGCCCUUGUUAAAAGGUACGAGACCUCCAAACAAGAAUCUUUGUCCACAAAGUAAAGGAGAAAAGCUCAAUCGUUGAGCGUGUGCUCAGAUUGUCUGAGUACGACAAUCACUUGAAUCAGGUGGGAGUUAAUCUUCCAGAUGAGAUAGUGAUGGUUCUCCAAAGACACUGCCACCAAGCUAUGAGAGCUUCGUGAUGAACUAUAACAUAUCAAGGAUAAAUACAAUGAUCCUUGAGCAAUUCGUGAUGUUUUGACACUGCGAAAGUAGAAAUCAAAAAGGAGCAUCAAUAGUUGAUGGUUAGUAAAACCACUAAGUUUCAAGAAAGGCGAGGGCUAGAAGGGAUACUUCGUGAAACGGCAAAACAGUUGCUGCGCUAAUGAAGAGACCCAAGACUAAACCCAAACCCGAGACUAAGUGCUUCUGUAAUGAGGGGAACAGUCACUGAGGCGGAGCAACUCUAGAUACUUGGUAGAUAAGAAGGCUGGCAAAAGUCGAGAGAAGUAUAUUUGAUAUACAUAAAGUUGAUGUGUACUUUACUAGUACUCCUAGUAGCACGAGGGUAUUGGAUACCAGUUCGGUUGCUAAGUGAUUAGUAACGCGAAAUGAAAGCUACGGCGUAAACAGAGACUAGCUAAAGGCGAGGUGACGAUACGUGUUGGAAGUGUUUCCAAGGUUGAUAUGAUCAGACGUCGCACGCUCCCUCUACCAUCGGGAUUGGUGUUAAACCAAAAUAAUUGUUAUUUGGUGCUUGCGUUAAGCAUGAACAUGAUUGGAUCGUGUUUGUUGCAAUACGAUUAUUCAUUUAAAGAGAAUAAUGGUUACUCUGUUUGCUUGAAUAAUCACCUUUAAUGGUUUAUUGAAUCUCGAUCGUAGUGUUACACAUAUUCAUAAUAUUGGUGCCAAAAGAUACGAGGUAAUGAUGAUAGUACCACUUACUUGUGGCACUGCCGCUUGAGUCGUGUUAGUAUAAAUUGCAUGAAGAGGCUCCAUGCUGAUGGAUCUUUAUACUCACUUGAUCUUGAAUCACUAGUGACAUGCAAAUCAUACCACAUGAGCAAGGCCUUGUUUUCAUUGAGAUGAAACAAGAUAGUAACUUGUUGGAAGUGAUACAUUUGAUGUAUGCAGUCCAAUGAGUGCUGAGGCACGUAGUGGAUAUCAUUAUGUUAUUACUUCACUGACGACUUGAGUAGAUACAAGAGUAUUUACUUAAUGAGUCACAAGUCUGAAAUAUUGAAAAGUUCAAUUCUGUUUCAGAGUGAAGUUCGUCGUAACAAGAGGAUAAACUGUCUACAAUAUGAUCAUAGAAAAGAAUAUCUGAGUUACGAGUUUUGGUACGCAGUUAAGACAAUGUGGAAGUUGUUUCGCAGUACAUGCCACCUGGAACAUCAUAGUGUGAUGAUGUAUCUGAACAUCAUAGCCACGCACUAUUUGGUAUGAUGCAUACUAUGAUGUCUCUUAUCGAUUUACCACUAUCGUUUAUGGGUUAUGCAUUAGAGACAACCGCACUCACUUUGAAUAGGGCACCGCGUAUUUCCGUUGAGAUGACACAGUAUGGACUGAGGUUUAGAGAAAUCUAAACUGUCGUUUCUUGAAAGUUUGGGGCUUCGACACUUAUGUGAAAAAGUUUCAGUCUGAUAAGCUCGAACCCAAAGCGGAUAAAUGCAUCUUCAUAGGAUAUCCAAAACAGUUGGGUACAUCUCCUAUCUUAGAUCCAAAAGCAAAGUGUUUGUUUCUAGAAACGGAUCCUUUCUCGAGGAAAGGUUUCUCUCGAAAGAAUUGAGUGGGAGAGUGGUAAAACUUGAUGAGGUUAUUGAACCAUCACUUCAAACCAGUGUGUAGCAGGGCACAGGAAGUUGUUCCUGUGGCGCCUACACCGAUUGAAGUGGAAGCUGAUGAUGGUGAUCAUCGAGCAUCAGAUCAAGUUACUACAAGCCUCGUAGGUUGACAAGGUCGUGUACUACUACAGAGUGGUACGAUAACCCUGUCUUGGAAAUCAUGUUGUUGAGCAACAGUGAAACUACGAGUUGUGGAGAAAGCGAUGGUGGGCCCGGAUUCCGACAAAUGGCUGGAAGCCAUGAAAUCCGAGAGAGGAUCCAUGUAUGAAACCAAAGUGUAGACUUUGGAAGAACUACUUGAUGGUCAUAGGACUAUUGAGUAAAGAUGGAUCUUUAAAGGAAGACAGACGAUGAUGGUGAUAAGUCACUAUUAAGAAAAGCUCGACUUGUCGCAAAGAUGUUUUCGACAAGAUCAAACAGUUGACUAUGAUGAGACUUUCUCACUCGUAGCGAUGCUAAAGGUCUGUUAGAAUUAUGUUAGUUGUUGAUGCAUUAUUUAUGAAAUAUUGCACGUAGGAUGUCAAAACAUUGUUUCCUCGACGGUUUCCUUGAGCAAACAUUGUAUGUGAUACAACCAGAAGGUUUUGUCGAUCCUAAAAGAUACUAGCAAGUAUGCAAGCUCCAGUGAUCCUUCAAAGGACUGGUGCAAGCAUCUCGGAGUUGGAAUAUACACUUUGAUGAGAUGAUCAAAGAUUUUGGGUUUGUACAAGGUUUAUGAGAAACUUGUAUUUCCAAAGAAGUGAGUGGGAGCACUGUAGAAUUUCUGAUAAGUGUAUGUGGUAGACAUAUUGUUGAUCAGAAGUAAUGUAGAAUUUCUGUAAAGCAUAUAAGGUUGUUUGAAAGGAGUUUUCAAAGGAAUACCUGGAUUGAGCUACUUGAACGUUGAGCAUCAAAGAUCUAUGGAGAUAGAUCGAAAGUGCUUAAUGGAAGUUUCGACAAGAUACAUGCCUUGACAAGUUUUUGAAGGAGUUCAAAAUAGAUCAGCAAAGAAGGAGUUCUUGGUUGCGUUGUGAGGUGUGAAUUUGAGUAAGACUCAAAACCCGACCCCGGCAGAAUAAAGAGAAUAGACGAAGGUCGUCUUCUAUGCCUUAGCCGUAGAAUCUAAAGUAUGCCAUGCUUUGUACCGCACCUGAUGUGUGCCUUGACUCAAAGUAUUUUGAGAGGUACAGAGAGUGAUCCAUGAUUGAAUCACUAGCAGCGGUCAAAAUUUAUCCAUAGUAACUAAUGGACUAAGGAAUUUUUCUCGAUUAUGGAGGUGGUUAAAGAGUUCGUCAUAAAAGGUUACGUCGAUGCAAGCUUUGACACUAAUCUGAUUAACUAUGAGUAGUGAAACAGAUUCAUAUAGUAGAGUAGAUAUUUGGAGCAUUUCCGAAUAGCACGUAGUAGCAACAUCUAUAAGAUGACAUAAAGAUUUGUAAAGAACGCACGGAUCUGAAAGUUUCAGAACCGUUGACUAAAACCUCUCUCACGAGCAAGACGUGACCAGACCCCAGAACUAUAUGGGUGUUGGAUUCGUUGGAAUCACAUGGUGAUGUGAACUAGAUUAUUGACUCUAGUGCAAGUGGGAGACUGUUGGAAAUAUGCCCNNNNNNNNNNNNNNNNNNNNNNNNNNNNNNNNNNNNNNNNNNNNNNNNNNNNNNNNNNNNNNNNNNNNNNNNNNNNNNNNNNNNNNNNNNNNNNNNNNNNNNNNNNNNNNNNNNNNNNNNNNNNNNNNNNNNNNNNNNNNNNNNNNNNNNNNNNNNNNNNNNNNNNNNNNNNNNNNNNNNNNNNNNNNNNNNNNNNNNNNNNNNNNNNNNNNNNNNNNNNNNNNNNNNNNNNNNNNNNNNNNNNNNNNNNNNNNNNNNNNNNNNNNNNNNNNNNNNNNNNNNNNNNNNNNNNNNNNNNNNNNNNNNNNNNNNNNNNNNNNNNNNNNNNNNNNNNNNNNNNNNNNNNNNNNNNNNNNNNNNNNNNNNNNNNNNNNNNNNNNNNNNNNNNNNNNNNNNNNNNNNNNNNNNNNNNNNNNNNNNNNNNNNNNNNNNNNNNNNNNNNNNNNNNNNNNNNNNNNNNNNNNNNNNNNNNNNNNNNNNNNNNNNNNNNNNNNNNNNNNNNNNNNNNNNNNNNNNNNNNNNNNNNNNNNNNNNNNNNNNNNNNNNNNNNNNNNNNNNNNNNNNNNNNNNNNNNNNNNNNNNNNNNNNNNNNNNNNNNNNNNNNNNNNNNNNNNNNNNNNNNNNNNNNNNNNNNNNNNNNNNNNNNNNNNNNNNNNNNNNNNNNNNNNNNNNNNNNNNNNNNNNNNNNNNNNNNNNNNNNNNNNNNNNNNNNNNNNNNNNNNNNNNNNNNNNNNNNNNNNNNNNNNNNNNNNNNNNNNNNNNNNNNNNNNNNNNNNNNNNNNNNNNNNNNNNNNNNNNNNNNNNNNNNNNNNNNNNNNNNNNNNNNNNNNNNNNNNNNNNNNNNNNNNNNNNNNNNNNNNNNNNNNNNNNNNNNNNNNNNNNNNNNNNNNNNNNNNNNNNNNNNNNNNNNNNNNNNNNNNNNNNNNNNNNNNNNNNNNNNNNNNNNNNNNNNNNNNNNNNNNNNNNNNNNNNNNNNNNNNNNNNNNNNNNNNNNNNNNNNNNNNNNNNNNNNNNNNNNNNNNNNNNNNNNNNNNNNNNNNNNNNNNNNNNNNNNNNNNNNNNNNNNNNNNNNNNNNNNNNNNNNNNNNNNNNNNNNNNNNNNNNNNNNNNNNNNNNNNNNNNNNNNNNNNNNNNNNNNNNNNNNNNNNNNNNNNNNNNNNNNNNNNNNNNNNNNNNNNNNNNNNNNNNNNNNNNNNNNNNNNNNNNNNNNNNNNNNNNNNNNNNNNNNNNNNNNNNNNNNNNNNNNNNNNNNNNNNNNNNNNNNNNNNNNNNNNNNNNNNNNNNNNNNNNNNNNNNNNNNNNNNNNNNNNNNNNNNNNNNNNNNNNNNNNNNNNNNNNNNNNNNNNNNNNNNNNNNNNNNNNNNNNNNNNNNNNNNNNNNNNNNNNNNNNNNNNNNNNNNNNNNNNNNNNNNNNNNNNNNNNNNNNNNNNNNNNNNNNNNNNNNNNNNNNNNNNNNNNNNNNNNNNNNNNNNNNNNNNNNNNNNNNNNNNNNNNNNNNNNNNNNNNNNNNNNNNNNNNNNNNNNNNNNNNNNNNNNNNNNNNNNNNNNNNNNNNNNNNNNNNNNNNNNNNNNNNNNNNNNNNNNNNNNNNNNNNNNNNNNNNNNNNNNNNNNNNNNNNNNNNNNNNNNNNNNNNNNNNNNNNNNNNNNNNNNNNNNNNNNNNNNNNNNNNNNNNNNNNNNNNNNNNNNNNNNNNNNNNNNNNGUCUCAGCAGGGCUCCGCCCGAGCUCCGCAGAAACGCGAUCUAGAGGAAAAACUAUGGAGGUAUGUGGUCGGGCAGCCGUGAGAAAGUCGUCUCAAAUCUGCCCUAAAAGCCCCAUAUAUAUAGGAGGAGGGAGGGGGGCCUUGCCUUGGGGUCCAAGGGAACCCCAAGGGGUCGGCCGAGCCAGGGGGGAGGACUCUCCCCCCCCCAAACCGAGUCCUACUUGGUUUGGUGGGAGGGAGUCCUUCCCCCUUCCCACUUCUCCUUUUUUUUCUUUUCCCCUUUGAUUUUUCUCUCUUGGCGCAUAGGGGAUUGGUGGGCUGUCCCACCAGCCCACUAAGGNNNNNNNNCUCGACGAUGAUCUCGGCCUUCUUGAUCCAGCAAGAGAGACGGAGAGGUAGAAGAGUUCUCCGGCAGCGUGACGGCGCUCCGGAGGUUGGUGAUGACCUUGUCUCAGCAGGGCUCCUCCCGAGCUCCGCAGAAACGCGAUCCAUAGGAAAAACCGUGGAGGUAUGUGGUCGGGCUGCCGUGUAAAAGUCGUCUCAAAUCAUCCCUAAAACCUCCGUAUAUAUAGGUGGGAGGGAGGGGACCUUGCCUUGGGGCUGAAGGAGCCCCGAGGGGGUCGGCCGAGUCCAAGGGGGAAGGCUCCCCCCCAAACCGAGUUGUACUUGGUUUGGUGGGUGGGAGUCCUUCCUUCCCUUCUCACCUCCUCUUUUUUUUUAUUUUCUCUUUGAUUUUCUUUCCUAGGCGCAUAGGGCCCUUUUGGGCUGCCCCACCAGCCCACUAAGGGCUGGUGCGCCACCCUCGUGGCCUAUGGGCUUCCCCGGGAUGGGUUGCCCCCCCGGUGAACUCCCAGAACCCAUUCGUCAUUCCCGGUACAUUCCCGGUAACUCCGAAAACCUUCCGGUAAUCAAAUGAGGUCAUCCUAUAUAUCAAUCUUCGUUUCCGGCCAUUCCGGAAACCCUCGUGAUGUACGUGAUCUCAUUCGGGACUCCGAACAACAUUCGGUAACCAACCAUAUAACUCAAAUACGCAUAAAACAACGUCGAACCUUAAGUGUGCAGAUCCUGCGGGUUCGAGAACUAUGUAGACAUGACCCGAGAGACUCCUCGGUCAAUAUCCAAUAGCGGGACCUGGAUGCCCAUAUUGGAUCCUACAUAUUCUACGAAGAUCUUAUCGUUUGAACCUCAGUGCCAAGGAUUCAUAUAAUCCCGUAUGUCAUUCCCUUUGUCCUUCGGUAUGUUACUUGCCCUAGAUUCGAUCGUCAGUAUCCGUAUACCUAUUUCAAUCUCGUUUACCGGCAAGUCUCUUUACUCGUUCCGUAAUACAAGAUCCCGCAACUUACACUAAGUUACAUUGCUUGCAAGGCUUGUGUGUGAUGCUGUAUUACCGAGUGGGCCCCGAGAUACCUCUCCGUCACACGGAGUGACAAAUCCCAGUCUUGAUCCAUACUAACUCAACUAACACCUUCGGAGAUACCUGUAGAGCAUCUUUAUAGUCACCCAGUUACGUUGCGACGUUUGAUACACACAAAGCAUUCCUCCGGUGUCAGUGAGUUAUAUGAUCUCAUGGUCAUAGGAAUAAAUACUUGACACGCAGAAAACAGUAGCAACAAAAUGACACGACCAACAUGCUACGUCUAUUAGUUUGGGUCUAGUCCAUCACGUGAUUCUCCUAAUGACGUGAUCCAGUUAUCAAGCAACAACACUUUGUUCAUAAUCAGAAGACACUGACUAUCUUUGGUCAACUGGCUAGCCAACUAGAGGCUUGCUAGGGACAGUGUUUUGUCUAUGUAUCCACACAUGUAAAUGAGUCUUCAUUCAGUACAAUUAUAGCAUGGAUAAUAAACGAUUAUCUUGAUACAGGAAUUAUAAUAAUAACUAUAUUUAUUAUUGCCUCUAGGGCAUAAUUNNNNNNNNNNNNNNNNNNNNNNNNNNNNNNNNNNNNNNNNNNNNNNNNNNNNNNNNNNNNNNNNNNNNNNNNNNNNNNNNNNNNNNNNNNNNNNNNNNNNUGAUCCAGUUAUCAAGCAACAACACUUUGUUCAUAAUCAGAAGACACUGACUAUCUUUGAUCAACUGGCUAGCCAACUAGAGGCUUGCUAGGGACAGUGUUUUGUCUAUGUAUCCACACAUGUAAAUGAGUCUUCAUUCAAUGCAAUUAUAGCAUGGAUAAUAAACGAUUAUCUUGAUACAGGAAUUAUAAUAAUAACUAUAUUUAUUAUUGCCUCUAGGGCAUAAUUUCAACAGUCUCCCACUUGCACUAGAGUCAAUAAUCUAGCCCUCACAUCAUCAUGUGAAUUACAUUGUAAUAAAUCUAACACCCAUACAGUUCUGGUGUUGAUCAUGCUUUGGCCGUGGAAGAGGUUUAGUCAGCGGGUCUGCUACAUUCAGAUCCGUGUGCACUUUGCAUAUAUUUACGUCCUCUCCCUCGAUGUAGUCGCGGAUGAGGUUGAAGCAUCGUUUGAUGUGUCUGGUCUUCUUGUGAAACCGUGGUUCCUUUGCUAAGGCAAUGGCACCGUGUUGUCACAGAACAAGGUUAUUGGAUUCAGUGCGCUUGGCACCACUCCAAGAUCCGUCAUGAACUGCUUCAUCCAGACACCCUCCUUAGCCGCCUCCGAGUCAGCCAUGUACUCCGCUUCACAUGUAGAAUCUGCUACGACGCUUUGCUUGGAACUGCACCAGCUUACCGCACCCCCAUUAAGAAUAAAUACGUAUCCGGUUUGCGACUUAGAGUCAUCCGGAUCUGUGUCAAAGCUUGCAUCGACGUAACCUUUUACGGCGAGCUCUUCGUCACCUCCAUACACGAGAAACAUCUCCUUAGUCCUUUUCAGGUACUUCAGGAUAUUCUUGACUGCUGUCCAGUGAUCCACUCCUGGAUUACUCUGGAACCUACCUGCCAUACUUAUGGCCAGGCUAACAUCCGGUCUAGUGCACAACAUUGCAUACAUGAUAGAACCUAUGGCUGAAGCAUAGGGGACGGAGCGCAUAUGCUCUCUAUCUUCAUCAGUUGUUGGGCACUGAGUCUUACUCAAUCUCGUACCUUGUAAAACUGGCAAGAACCCUUUCUUGGACUGUUCCAUUUUGAACCUCUUCAAAACUUUAUCAAGGUACGUGCUUUGUGAAAGUCCUAUCAGGCGUUUUGAUCUAUCCCUAUAGAUCUUAAUGCCUAGAAUGUAAGAAGCUUCUCCUAGGUCCUUCAUAGAGAAACUUUUAUUCAAGUAAUCCUUUAUGCUCUCUAAAAACUCCACAUUGUUUCCAAUCAGCAAUAUGUCAUCCACAUAUAAUAUUAGAAACGCCACAGAGCUCCCACUCACUUUGUUGUAAAUACAAGAUUCUCCAACCACUAGUAUAAACCCAAAUGCUUUGAUCACCUCAUCAAAGCGUUUGUUCCAACUCCGAGAUGCUUGCACCAGUCCAUAAAUGGAUCGCUGGAGCUUGCACACCUUGUUAGCAUUCUUAGGAUCGACAAAACCUUCGGGUUGUAUCAUAUACAACUCUUCCUUAAGGAAUCCGUUAAGGAACACCGUUUUGACAUCCAUCUGCCAGAUUUCAUAAUCGAAAAAUGCAGCUAUUGCUAACAUGAUUCUGACGGACUUAAGCAUCGCUACGGGUGAGAAUGUCUCAUCGUAGUCAACUCCUUGAACUUGUGAAAAACCCUUUGCCACAAGUCGAGCUUUAUAAACGGUCACAUUGCCGUCAGCGUCCGUCUUCCUCUUAAAGAUCCAUUUGUUCUGAAUAGCCUUGCGGCCUUCAGGUAGUACCUCCAAAGUCCACACUUUGUUCUCAUACAUGGAUCCUAUCUCGGACUUCAUGGCUUCUAGCCAUUUGUUGGAAUCUGGGCCCACCAUCGCUUCUUCAUAAUUUGCAGGUUCAUUGUUGUCUAACAACAUGAUUGAUAAGACGGGAUUACCGUACCACUCUGGAGCAGCACGUGGUCUCGUCGACCUGCGUGGUUCGACAGAAACUUGAACCGGAGUUUCAUGAUCAUCAUCAUUAACUUCCUCCUCAACCAGCGUCGCAACGACAGAGGUUUCCCCCUUGCCCUGCGCCACCAUCCAGAGGGAUGAGAGGUUCGACAACCUCGUCAAGUUCUAUCUUCCUCCCACUCAAUUCUCUCGAGAGAAACUCCUUCUCGAGAAAAGCUCCAUUUUUAGCAACAAACACUUUGCCCUCGGAUUUGAGAUAGAAGGUGUACCCAACUGUCUCUUUUGGGUAACCUAUGAAGACGCACUUUUCCGCUUUGGGUUCCAGCUUUUCAGGCUGAAGCUUUUUGACAUAAGCAUCACAUCCCCAAACUUUAAGAAACGACAACUUUGGCCUUUUGCCAUACCACAGUUCGUAUGGUGUCGUCUCAACGGAUUUUGAUGGUGCCCUAUUUAAAGUGAAUGCAGUUGUUUCUAAUGCAUAACCCCAAAACGAUAACGGCAAAUCGGUAAGAGACAUCAUAGAUCGCACCAUCUCUAAUAAAGUACGAUUACGACGUUCGGACACACCAUUACGCUGUGGUGUUCCAGGCGGUGUCAACUGUGAAACAAUUCCACAUUGUCUUAAGUGAGCACCAAACUCGAAACUCAGAUAUUCACCCCCACGAUCAGACCGUAGGAACUUGAUCUUCUUGUUACGAUGAUUUUCCACUUCACUCUGAAAUUGCUUGAACUUUUCAAAUGUUUCAGACUUGUGCUUCAUCAAGUAGACAUAACCACAUCUACUCAAAUCGUCAGUGAAAGUGAGAAAAUAACGAUAUCCGCCGCGUGCCUCCACGCUCAUUGGGCCACACACAUCGGUAUGUAUGAUUUCCAACAAGUCACUUGCACGCUCCAUUGUUCCGGAGAACAGAGUCUUAGUCAUCUUGCCCAUGAGGCAUUGUUCGCACGUGUCAAGUGAAUCAAAGUCAAGUGACUCCAAAAGUCCAUCAGCAUGGAGUUUCUUCAUGCGUUUUACACCAAUAUGACCUAAGCGGCAGUGCCACAAAAAUAUGGUGCUAUCAUUGUUAACACUAACUCUUUUGGUCUCAGUGUUAUGUAUAUGCGUAUCGCUAUCAAGAUUCAAUAUGAACAAUCCUCUCACAUUAGGUGCAUGACCAUAAAAGAUGUUACUCAUAGAAAUAGAACAACCAUUAUUCUCUGACUUAAAAGAGUAACCGUCUCGCAAUAAACAAGAUCCAGAUAUAGUGUUCAUGCUCAACGCAGGCACUAAAUAACAAUGAUUUAAGUUCAUCACUAAUCCUGAUGGUAACUGAAGUGAAACUGUGCCGACGGCGAUUGCAUCAACUUUGGAACCAUUUCCUACGCGCAUCGUCACUUCAUCCUUCGCGAGCCUUCGUCUAUUCCGCAGUUCCUGUUUCGAGUUGCAAAUAUGAGCAACAGAACCGGUAUCGAAUACCCAUGCACUACUACGAGAGCCGGUUAAGUACACAUCAAUAACAUGUAUAUCAAAUAUACCUGAUUUUUCUUUGGCCGCCUUCUUAUCUGCCAGAUACUUGGGGCAAUUGCGCUUCCAGUGAACCAUACCAUUGCAAUAGUAACACUCCGUUUCAGGCUUAGGUCCAGCUUUGGGUUUCUUCGUCGGAUUGGCAACAGGCUUGCCGCUCUUCUUCGAAUUACCCUUCUUGCCUUUGUCGUUUCUCUUGAAACUAGUGGUCUUAUUCACCGUCAACACUUGAUGCUCUUUACGGAGUUCAGACUCUGCGACUUUCAGCAUCGCAAACAACUCGCCGGGAGACUUGUUCAUCCCUUGCAUGUUGUAGUUCAACACAAAGCCUUUAUAGCUUGGCGGCAGUGAUUGAAGGAUUCUGUCAGUGAUAGCCUCUUGCGGGAGUUCAAUACCCAGCUCAGCUAGACGGUUUGAGUACCCAGACAUUUUGAGCACAUGUUCACUGACAGACGAGUUCUCCACCAUCUUGCAAGCAUAGAAUUUAUCGGAGGUCUCAUACCUCUCGAUCCGGGCGUUCUUCUGAAAGAUAAACUUCAACUCCUGGAACAUCUCAAAUGCUCCAUGACGCUCAAAGCGACGUUGAAGUCCCAGUUCUAAGCCAUACAAGACUGCACAUUGAACUAUUGAGUAGUCCUCCUUACGUGCUAACCAAGCGUUCUUAACAUCUUGAUCAGCCGUAGCGGGUGGUUCAUUUCCUAGCGCAGCAUUAAGGACAUAAUCCUUCUUCCCAGCUUGUAAGAUUAGCUUAAGAUUACGAGCCCAGUCUACAAAGUUGCUUCCAUCAUCUUUCAACUUAGCUUUCUCUAGGAACGUAUUAAAAUUCAGGGUGACACUCGCGUGAGCCAUGAUCUACAACACAAAUAUAUUCAAAGUGGACUUAGACUAUGAUCAAGAUAAUUAGAGUUUAACUUAAUCAAAUUAUUCGCUAAACUCCCACUCAAAAAAGUACAUCUCUCUAGUCAUUUGAGUGGUUCAUGAUCCACUUACACUAGCUCAAGUCCGAUCAUCACGUGAGUUGAGUAUACUUUCAGUGGUAAGCAUCCCUAUGCUAAUCAUAUCAUCUAUAUGAUUCAUGAUCGACCUUUCGGUCUCAUGUGUUCCGAGGCCAUGGCUGCACAUGCUAGGCUCGUCAAGCUUAACCCGAGUGUUCCACGUGCGCAACUGUUUUGUUGGAAAUAUGCCNNNNNNNNNNNNNNNNNNNNNNNNNNNNNNNNNNNNNNNNNNNNNNNNNNNNNNNNNNNNNNNNNNNNNNNNNNNNNNNNNNNNNNNNNNNNNNNNNNNNNNNNNNNNNNNNNNNNNNNNNNNNNNNNNNNNNNNNNNNNNNNNNNNNNNNNNNNNNNNNNNNNNNNNNNNNNNNNNNNNNNNNNNNNNNNNNNNNNNNNNNNNNNNNNNNNNNNNNNNNNNNNNNNNNNNNNNNNNNNNNNNNNNNNNNNNNNNNNNNNNNNNNNNNNNNNNNNNNNNNNNNNNNNNNNNNNNNNNNNNNNNNNNNNNNNNNNNNNNNNNNNNNNNNNNNNNNNNNNNNNNNNNNNNNNNNNNNNNNNNNNNNNNNNNNNNNNNNNNNNNNNNNNNNNNNNNNNNNNNNNNNNNNNNNNNNNNNNNNNNNNNNNNNNNNNNNNNNNNNNNNNNNNNNNNNNNNNNNNNNNNNNNNNNNNNNNNNNNNNNNNNNNNNNNNNNNNNNNNNNNNNNNNNNNNNNNNNNNNNNNNNNNNNNNNNNNNNNNNNNNNNNNNNNNNNNNNNNNNNNNNNNNNNNNNNNNNNNNNNNNNNNNNNNNNNNNNNNNNNNNNNNNNNNNNNNNNNNNNNNNNNNNNNNNNNNNNNNNNNNNNNNNNNNNNNNNNNNNNNNNNNNNNNNNNNNNNNNNNNNNNNNNNNNNNNNNNNNNNNNNNNNNNNNNNNNNNNNNNNNNNNNNNNNNNNNNNNNNNNNNNNNNNNNNNNNNNNNNNNNNNNNNNNNNNNNNNNNNNNNNNNNNNNNNNNNNNNNNNNNNNNNNNNNNNNNNNNNNNNNNNNNNNNNNNNNNNNNNNNNNNNNNNNNNNNNNNNNNNNNNNNNNNNNNNNNNNNNNNNNNNNNNNNNNNNNNNNNNNNNNNNNNNNNNNNNNNNNNNNNNNNNNNNNNNNNNNNNNNNNNNNNNNNNNNNNNNNNNNNNNNNNNNNNNNNNNNNNNNNNNNNNNNNNNNNNNNNNNNNNNNNNNNNNNNNNNNNNNNNNNNNNNNNNNNNNNNNNNNNNNNNNNNNNNNNNNNNNNNNNNNNNNNNNNNNNNNNNNNNNNNNNNNNNNNNNNNNNNNNNNNNNNNNNNNNNNNNNNNNNNNNNNNNNNNNNNNNNNNNNNNNNNNNNNNNNNNNNNNNNNNNNNNNNNNNNNNNNNNNNNNNNNNNNNNNNNNNNNNNNNNNNNNNNNNNNNNNNNNNNNNNNNNNNNNNNNNNNNNNNNNNNNNNNNNNNNNNNNNNNNNNNNNNNNNNNNNNNNNNNNNNNNNNNNNNNNNNNNNNNNNNNNNNNNNNNNNNNNNNNNNNNNNNNNNNNNNNNNNNNNNNNNNNNNNNNNNNNNNNNNNNNNNNNNNNNNNNNNNNNNNNNNNNNNNNNNNNNNNNNNNNNNNNNNNNNNNNNNNNNNNNNNNNNNNNNNNNNNNNNNNNNNNNNNNNNNNNNNNNNNNNNNNNNNNNNNNNNNNNNNNNNNNNNNNNNNNNNNNNNNNNNNNNNNNNNNNNNNNNNNNNNNNNNNNNNNNNNNNNNNNNNNNNNNNNNNNNNNNNNNNNNNNNNNNNNNNNNNNNNNNNNNNNNNNNNNNNNNNNNNNNNNNNNNNNNNNNNNNNNNNNNNNNNNNNNNNNNNNNNNNNNNNNNNNNNNNNNNNNNNNNNNNNNNNNNNNNNNNNNNNNNNNNNNNNNNNNNNNNNNNNNNNNNNNNNNNNNNNNNNNNNNNNNNNNNNNNNNNNNNNNNNNNNNNNNNNNNNNNNNNNNNNNNNNNNNNNNNNNNNNNNNNNNNNNNNNNNNNNNNNNNNNNNNNNNNNNNNNNNNNNNNNNNNNNNNNNNNNNNNNNNNNNNNNNNNNNNNNNNNNNNNNNNNNNNNNNNNNNNNNNNNNNNNNNNNNNNNNNNNNNNNNNNNNNNNNNNNNNNNNNNNNNNNNNNNNNNNNNNNNNNNNNNNNNNNNNNNNNNNNNNNNNNNNNNNNNNNUACAUCAACCGCGUUCACUAAUGCUUCUGCUCUACGGUCUACAAGGGUACGUAGAUCACUCAUCCCCUCUCGUAGAUGGACAUCACCAUGAUAGGUCUUCGUGCGCGUAGGAAAUUUUUUGUUUCCCAUGCGACGUUCCCCAACAGUGGCAUCAUGAGCUAGGUUCAUGCGUAGAUGUCUUCUCGAGUAGAACACAAAAGUUUUUGUGGGCGGUGAUGUGCGUUUUGCUGCCCUCCUUAGUCUUUUCUUGAUUCCGCGGUAUUGUUGGAUUGAAGCGGCUUGGACCGACAUUACUCGUACGCUUACGAGAGACUGGUUUCAUCGCUACGAGUAACCCCGUUGCUCAAAGAUGACUGGCAAGUGUCGGUUUCUCCAACUUUAGUUGAAUCGGAUUUGACCGAGGAGGUCCUUGGAUGAGGUUAAAUAGCAACUCAUAUAUCUCCGUUGUGGUGUUUGCGUAAGUAAGAUGCGAUCCUACUAGAUACCCAUGGACACCACGUAAAACAUGCAACAACAAAAUUAGAGGACGUCUAACUUGUUUUUGCAGGGUAUGCUUGUGAUGUGAUAUGGCCAACGAUGUGAUGUGAUAUAUUGGAUGUAUGAGAUGAUCAUGUUGUAAUAGAAAAUAUCGACUUGCACGUCGAUGGUACGGCAACCGGCAAGAGCCAUAGGGUUGUCUUUAUACUAACGUUUGUGCUUGCAGAUGCGUUUACUAUUUUGCUAGGAUGUAGCUCUAGUAGUAAUAGCAUGAGUAGCACGACAACCCCGAUGGCAACACGUUGAUGGAGAUCAUGGUGUGGCGCCAGUGACAAGAAGAUCGUGUCGGUGCUUUGGUGAUGGAGAUCAAGAAGCACAUGAUGAUGGCCAUAUCAUGUCACUUAUGAAUUGCAUGUGAUGUUAAUCCUUUUAUGCACCUUAUUUUUCUUAGAACGACGGUAGCAUUAUGUGGUGAUCUCUCACUAAAAUUUCAAGACGAAAUUGUGUUCUCCCCGACUGUGCACCAUUGCUACAGUUCGUCGUUUCGAGACACCACGUGAUGAUCGGGUGUGAUAGACUCAACGUUCACAUACAACGGGUGCAAAACAUGUUGGGGAACGUCNNNNNNNNNNNNNNNNNNNNNNNNNNNNNNNNNNNNNNNNNNNNNNNNNNNNNNNNNNNNNNNNNNNNNNNNNNNNNNNNNNNNNNNNNNNNNNNNNNNNAGAUUGAAAUAGGUAUACGGAUACUGACGAUCGAAUCUCGGGCAAGUAACAUACCGAAGGACAAAGGGAAUGACAUACGGGAUUAUAUGAAUCCUUGGCACUGAGGUUCAAACGAUAAGAUCUUCGUAGAAUAUGUAGGAUCCAAUAUGGGCAUCCAGGUCCCGCUAUUGGAUAUUGACCGAGGAGUCUCUCGGGUCAUGUCUACAUAGUUCUCGAACCCGCGGGGUCUGCACACUUAAGGUUCGACGUUGUUUUAUGCGUAUUUGAGUUAUAUGCUUGGUUACCAAAUGUUGUUCGGAGUCCCGGAUGAGAUCACGGAUGACACGAGGGUUUCCGGAAUGGUCGGAAACGAAGAUUGAUAUAUAGGAUGACCUCAUUUGAUUAUCGGAAGGUUUUCGGAGUUACCGGGAAUGUACCGGGAAUGACGAAUGGGUUCCGGGAGUUCACCGGGGGGGCAACCCACCCCGGGGAAGCCCAUAGGCCAUGAGGGUGGCGCACCAGCCCUUAGUGGGCUGGUGGGGCAGCCCAAAAGGGCCCUAUUCGCCUAGGAAAGAAAAUCAAAGAGAAAAGAAAAAAAAAGAGGAGGUGGGAAGGGAAGGAAGGACUCCCACCCACCAAACCAAGUCCAACUCGGUUUGGGGGGGAGUCUUCCCCCUUGGACUUGGCCGACCCCCUUGGGGCUCCUUGAGCCCCAAGGCAAGGUCCCCUCAGUCCCACCUAUAUAUACGGAGGUUUUAGGGCUGAUUUGAGACGACUUUUCCAUGGCAGCCCGACCACAUACCUCACAGUUUUUCCUCUAGAUCGCGUUUCUGCGGAGCUCGGGCGGAGCCCUGCUGAGACAAGGUCAUCACCAACCUCCGGAGCGCCGUCACGCUGCCGGAGAACUCUUCUACCUCUCCGUCUCUCUUGCUGGAUCAAGAAGGCCGAGAUCAUCGUCGAGAUGUACGUGUGCUGAACGCGGAGGUGUCGUCCGUUCGGUACUAGAUCGUGGGACUGAUCGCGGGAUUGUUCACGGGGCGGAUCGAGGGACGUGAGGACGUCCCACUACAUCAACCGCGUUUACUAACGCUUCUGCUGUACGGUCUACAAGGGUACGUAGAUCACUCAUCCCCUCUCGUAGAUGGACAUCACCAUGAUAGGUCUUCGUGCGCGUAGGAAAAUUUUUGUUUCCCAUGCGACGUUCCCCAACAGGCUCAUCCGACAGAGGCAGGCGGAGCCCGCACCUUCUAUGACGAGGUCAAGGUAAACAUAGCGGUGGAGGAAGCUGCAUCGGAGCAGCCGGAGGCGUCGCAGCAGAGGCGCUGGAGGUGGCGGAGUUGCAUCUACCAUACAUCUACCCGUCGGAGGGCACUGAGGCAACUCCAACAGGGCGCCCCAUUUCUUCCGCCUCCGUCCGUUUGGGUCUGCACGGACAAAACUCAUGGCCCAACGCGCGGAUCCAUGGCCAAAACGCGUCUGCUUUGUGUCUGGGUCGAUCCAUUUUCGACUCAAAUUUGAGACUGAAAUGCGUCGUCGCGGGCGCAAAGCAGACGCGUGCACGCUUUCGGUGUCCGCAUGUGUCCGGCCUGACCACUUGUCACACAGCCAUCCACCCACCCGUGCGUGUUUAUUUAAUUCACUAGCCCACCCCAUCCACAUUUCUCCUAUUUUUUUUAUUGACAGGGUGUUGUUGUCCCCUUAUUUUUCAUUGGUUGCAUGUGUUGAUCCGUUUUUAUUUUUGAAACGAACAUGGACAAGCCGGCAGACGAUCCAAAUGAAUAAAAAACGGACAAAAACGUUGUCCGUUUCAAUUGCCCGUUGGAGUUGCUCUCAGAUUAUCAAUUUCUUCAACACCGAGUAGAUAAUUUUAAACUAAUAUAUAUCUUUUAUAUGUUGCAUGUAUUUCGUAUGGAUUUAAGAAAUCAAUAUCCUGAUGCAGUGGUUUGUUUUAGUUGCAAUGACCAUCCGAACGGUCAACCUGCUUAUUUGUUUAUAAUUCCUUCAUUCUAAAAUAAAUGACUCUGAAAUAAGUGACUUAAAAGUGAUUGAAUUUUACACUAACUUAAUGCAAAGUUGAAUCAUUUUUAAGUCAUUUAUUUUUUAUAGUAUUAAAGUCGAGCUGAAGCUGCCGCUCCAUUGAGCCAUCCACGGGCACCUCCAAGCAGGGUUUAUAUGGAUUAUUUUUACUUCCUUCGUUUCUUUUUACUCCGUGUAUAAGAUUUGAUCAAAGUCAAACAACAUAAAGUUUGACUAAAUUCAUAUCAAAAAAUGUGAAUAUCUACUAUAUUAAAAUUAUAUAUAGUAUAAAAAUACAUCUUGUGGUGCAUCUGAUAAUAUUAAUUUCAUGUUGUGAAUGUUUAUAUUUUUUAAUACAAAGUUAGUCAAAAUUUAUAAAGCUUGACUUUGACCAAACCUUAUAUGCAGACUAAAAUGAAACGAAGGAAGUACAAACUCGAUUGAGUCAUACAAAGUUUCAUCAUUAUGUACAACCUGCCUUGCCACAACCUCAACAUCAGGUUGGUUGGUGUAUAGUAUACUACACCAAACCUGGCCAAACGGACCGGCCCGGCACGGCCUGGCCCACCAUAAUCGUGCCAGGCAUGGCACGGCACGUCUGGGCCCGAUUAUUAGCCGGGCCGGGUCGUGCCGGCCCACCGACGCAGCCUCCCGGCCCAGGCACGAAGGCUAUACGGGCCGGCCCGUAGGCAUGCCAGGCCCGAUAGCCUAUUAGUUUUUUUUUUAUUUUUAGGUUAUUAUUGGGCUGAUUUUGGCUUGUUAGGCUGUUUAUUGGGCCUAUUUUAAUAUAUUGAACUGUGUUUUGGGUCGAUUUUGAUUUAUUAGGUUUUUUUAUCCUAUAUAUAUAAAAAAAUAAACCGUUUAAAUCGUGCCGGCGUNNNNNNNNNNNNNNNNNNNNNNNNNNNNNNNNNNNNNNNNNNNNNNNNNNNNNNNNNNNNNNNNNNNNNNNNNNNNNNNNNNNNNNNNNNNNNNNNNNNNCAAGGGAGGCAAGUGGUGGGCACCGCUGGUCGGGUGGUCCGGGCGGGCGGACUACAUGGAGGCCGCGGUGCCCACGCCGGUGGUCGAGGAGGAGGGGAAGACGUUCAUGGGCCUGACGGAGGAGAAGGCGCGGCAGCUGCGGGCGAGGAUGUCGGAGAUGGACAGCUUCCACGACGCCAUGUACCACUCCGCCAUCGCAUCCCGCCUCGCCCGCUCAACCUAGGAGAACAACUGCUGCUCUGUGCGUUUGUACAUAGUCAUGUUUCUCGUCGUGCUGUUAUCAUGGAGGAGAUGCUAGAUGUGAAUACGGGUGGGAUCUGGUUUUAGGAUUGGUCCCUCCCCGAUCUUCUCUUUUACUCUUUUGUAAUUACACACCAUGUGCAAAUGUUUCCAUGUAGCCCAUCUGAAGAUCUAAAAAAGAAGUAUGUCGUCAUCACCAUAUGUGUGUGCGUUGUGAGAGAGUGUUUACAGAAUUCGGUUUCAGAUGAUGCGCGUCAAUUGAGUAUUAGAUCUUCAAAGAAAAAGGGAUAUCCAUGUAAUGCUACAAUGAUUCCCUUUCUUUUUCAGGAUACUGCUAUUACAAUGAUCCUGAACAUCAAACCUCUGGUGUAGUGCAAACCUGGCCAAUCAGGCCGGGUUAAACAGGCCGGCCCNNNNNNNNNNNNNNNNNNNNNNNNNNNNNNNNNNNNNNNNNNNNNNNNNNNNNNNNNNNNNNNNNNNNNNNNNNNNNNNNNNNNNNNNNNNNNNNNNNNNACAUACACACUGCUAAUAAUUUCAAUUAUUGUUCUAAUUCUUUUCUUUUUACAUGGAAUUAUUGUGCUAAUUCCUGCCUCAUCACCUUCAUCAGCCUUGACGUAUGCUAACGAAUACGAAUAAAGGUGCGUGUACGAGUCCCGGUCGGAAAAAUUCAUCACGGACGACACCCCCGAAGAUCGUGGCAAUGAAAGCACCACACCCGAACGGCCAGUCCACGCGGUCACACGUCACGCGCAACGGGAAAGCGCACCCUCCUAGCGGACGCCGUCCCGGCCCACACGCGCCCACGCGGCGUCCCUAUCCACCCCUCCCCUCUCCCGCCGCGCGCCGCUAUAAAAUCCCCCACCCCUCGCACCAACAACUUAUCUCACCCCCUCACAAAGCGCAACACGGACCUCAGAAGCACAUCUCAUCUCCUCUUGUCUCGUCUCACCGUUCAGUGAACUCCGAGCAAGCCAGCGGAAGCUCACGAGCGUCUAGCGAAGCGACAGGCAGAGCAAAUCAAUGGCGAUGGCACCGUCAGCAUCGGUCGUCUCCUUCUCCGCCCGCCCGUCCGCCGCGCUCCGGCCGCGCGCCGCCUCCGCCUCGGCGGGGGCCGGUGGGCGGNNNNNNNNNNNNNNNNNNNNNNNNNNNNNNNNNNNNNNNNNNNNNNNNNNNNNNNNNNNNNNNNNNNNNNNNNNNNNNNNNNNNNNNNNNNNNNNNNNNNUGCUACAAAAGGGAUUGGGCCACUUGCUGCACCGUUUCUACUACUUGUUACUUGUUACUUUUUGCUCGCUACGUUUCACCUGCUAGACAAUCACUUGUUACCGCUACUUUCAGUGCUUGCAGUUAUUACCUUGCUGAAAUCCGUUCAUCAGAGCCUUCUGCUCCUCGUUGGGUUCGACACUCUUACUUAUCGAAAGGGCUAUGAUUGAUCCCCUAUACUUGUGGGUCAUCAGUGUCUUCAAGUCAACAAGUGGUGCGAAGUUCUCCGCAUCCGUCUCCGAUGUCGUCUCCUUCCUCAGGUAAACACCUUUCCCAAUUAGGGUAAGACCAAGAAACGCCAUUGCCAUUGCCCCCGCAAGCUAGCUUUGAACCACAACGAACGUCCCUUCCUGCUUUAGACCUGCUUCAUAUCCUUACGUUAUAUUUUGCAGUAGCAAACCACGGUCACCUUAUUGCAUCUCUCUCUUACCUUAAGUUCUUGUGCCGUAGAUCCAGGCAAUAGUACCGUCGCUUCGUUACGUUCACAGCCUUCAUCAUUUUAUCAAGCAUUAUUCCUUUUAUUUGUUCCUCUCGUAGAUCCGCAAUUUACUGCUUUUUUUUGAGAAACAUGUUUGUCCAUCUUUCGGAAAUAUCCCUAAGGAAAAAAGACCUCUGAGUGUUGCCGCUCGGCUCCUUCCACCACAACGACUUAGACUUAUCAUCAUAGCUACGCCCUCUCUUUUUCGUUUGAAGGGAGAGUCGCAAUACUUUUAAAGAUGUUUCCAUGAAUCGCCCAACUAGCGAGUUAGAAUGCCCUUACAUCCAUAUUUUGUUACCUACCGGCGAGUCACCAAAUCCUUCUCAAACACAUUGUAGACCCGUACUGGCGAGUUAUCACGCCUCAUGGUCCUCACUGAACCGCCUUGUUUUCCUCUUUUUUGUAGUCAUGUUCGUUAUUUCGAAGUGCAAUUGGUUACCAACCAAAAUCGAUGAUGCUACUCUCGAGAUAUUUGUUUAGUCAGAUCAUCUCGACAGUAAGGAAGUCAUUGGUUGGCGAACCGCUCCGGGCGAGUUGAUCCCCAAUCCUUCCGAUGGAGAAGUAGUCAUUUUCACCGAUUACCUCGAACGAGGUUUUAAGCCACCCGGGUCAACGUUUUUCCGAGACUUUCUGCAUUUUCUUAACGUCCAUCCUCAGGACCUGGGACCCAACUCCAUCAACAAUCUUUGCUAGUUCCAAGUGUUUUGUGAGGUAUACCUGCAAAGAGAUCCCAAAGUUCGUUUGUUUUGGAACUUCUUUCACUUGAAUCACCAGACUGAAUUUACCAACGGACCCAAUCAUGAACUUGGAGGAGUCAACAUCCAGAGACGCCAUGAGCGCGGAUUUCCAUCAGUCCUUCUGCCCAGCCAUCCCAAAGGCUGGGCCGAGUCAUGGUUUUAUUGCCGCAACACGUCUCCACCUGGCAAGAACCCACUUCUGGGUUUCAGAGAGGAUCGCCUUCCCAUGGAUUUCAAACUGUCCUAGAAGCUCACAGAAGAAGAAGGAUCUGAAUUUAUUCCCAUCUUCUCCGAGUUACGGUCUCUGACCAAUAACGGGCUCAUUGGGAUUGAUCUGUUCCGCUGCUAGGUGGAAUGGAACAUUCUUCCCUUGAGUCGCCGAGACGGGUUAAUGUGUGAACAUGAUGGUAAGGUGAACCAUCCGCAAUGCUUCCACCACAAAAAACUUGUAGAGAGUGACAUUGUUGGAAUAAUCAAGAAGCUAACCGGCGAGUCUUUGGAAGAAUGUGCCAAAAUCGGGCUUAAGGCCUUCUGCGCUACAACCCGGCUCCGCCAGUAAGAAUCUAAGCCGCCUUCCUUUUCCUUAUAAAUAUACUUGCCAAUGCUCUGGGUUUGAAGUUUACUUCUAUUCAUUAGAAAGACGACCCCUUUUCGCAAAGGGGUCUGAAAGUGAUAACCCAGAAGAACACCAAACCACCGCUAAAGAAGAAGAGGAAAGCAGGCAAAGGUAAAGCCGCCGCCAAGGAUUCAUCUGUCGUCGGCGAGUCACGAGCUGUUGAAGAGCAGUCAGAGGUAAAACUUCCCCUUUACUUAUCACGUGUAUAUUCCGACUCAUGCUUAAACCAUGCGCCUUUAUGUGUAGGGCGAGGACAACGAGAGCCAAGAUGAUGCGGUUGAGGUAAUUUCUAUUUCUUCCGACUCAUCUUCCCCUUCUCCUAGACCAGCCAGAUGGAUCUGUGGGAAAGUCCCCAUGUCACACCCAUAUGCUUAUAUGGACCCUGAUUUCCUUUGGAAGAAGGCAAGAUAUACUCCCAAGCGCAAAACCCGGAGUCACUCUGGCGACUUAAUUUUCGGACUGCAUGAGAAGACAACCGGUCGGAAGCGCACAAGUGAGGUAUACUUUUUAAAAUAUAAUCUUCUUUGUAGAAAAUACGAUUCUCAACUUCCUUAGCCUUCAAACUUUUAUUCUGUCAAACUUCUCCCCCUUCAUCUGGCGACUGAGUAAUGUCAGCUCUCCCGCCAAUGAUUCGUGUGCAAGGGUGAGUCCCUUUGUUAACUCUCUUUCUUCCAAAUAACGAUAUGUGCCUUAAUCUUGGUGCCCUUAUCUCAGAGCACAGGCGAACAAAAGACAAACUAGCGACUUAUCUUCUGCUCCUAAGAUGACUGAGGCCUUAGGCACGACCACCUCUGUCCCAGAUCUUGAUGAGGACCAAGCGGCAGCUCAUGACAUUCCUGUGGACGAUAUCCCCAAUGUCCGAGAUGACUCGCCCAUUAUUUUGAAGAAACUGCUGACAAGGUUAACCCGCCGAACCCUCUCGAGGUGACUGAAGAUCCAGAUGCCGUCAUAAUCACCAACACUGGCUACUCCACACCUUCAGCGACGGUGAUAUCCAAGCACACAUCAAAGGAAUCUCAACCUUCCACCGAUCAAGACGUAAGUAAGUUCAAGCUCCCGCAGUAUGAGAAGCUGGAAUUUGACCAACUCUGCUCUAGCUUUGCAAGUCGCCUAGAGAUGAGUUAUGAAAUGAACAAAAUCUUGAUUCACCUGAUGAAAGUUAAGCAUGAGGUAUGUUUAUUUAAGUAUUCUCUUCCACCCAUUAGCCUUCCAAGGGCCGGGUCAUCUUGUAAAAGAUGUGUCGGGUCUUGUGUAUAAUUAAAAUCUUCAACGUGUUGCCCCCAAGGGUGAGGUCAUCUUUUGAAAGAUGAGCCGGGUCUUGUGUAUAAUUAAAAUCUUCAACCUGUAUCCCCCAAGGGCCGGGUCAUCUUUUGGAAGAUGAGUCGUGUCUUGUGUAUAAUUAAAAUCUUCAACAUGUAGCACCCAAGGGUCGGGUCAUCUUUUGAAAGAUGAGCCGGGUCUUGACUUUUAGAUAAAAAUCUUCAGCCUGUAGCCCCGAAGGGUCGGGUCAUCUUUUGGAAGAUGAGCCGGGUCUUGUGUAUAAUUAAAAUCUUCAACCUAUAGCCCCCAAGGGUCGGGUCAUCUUUUGAAAGAUGAGUCGGGUCUUGACUUUUAGGUAAAAAUCUUCAGCCUAUAGCCCCCAAGGGUCGGGUCAUCUUUUGAAAGAUGAGUCGGGUCUUGUAUUUUGUAUGACUUUGAAUAAAAUAAUACAUUAGACCCCAAGUGUGAGGAAUAUUGCUUGCAAUAAUUUUGAAACUUGUCUCCCCGAAUGUUGUUUUGCAGGAAUCUGUUACCCAGACUGAGUCAUCUUUAGCCGACUUAAGGAAGAACCUAGCCGAACAACAAAAUGCCCAAUCUGAGUCAGAGAGGGAAUAUCACUUGGUUCUAGCUGAACUGGAUAGAAUGAAAACUGAUCAUCAAAAACUGGAGAAGAAAGCCAAAGCUGACCAAGCCGCCAUCCUGAAGUGCACUGAGCAAGCCGAAGGAAAACUAGAAGCUGCCCAGCAAAAGCUUUCCGGCUUGAAAAAGCACAUCUCCAACAUGACUGUAGCCAUGUUUGGUAAGUAUUAACCCUUGCUUAUUGAAGAAAUAAGUCUAAUCUCCCAAAGCUAUCAAACACUGAUGUGUCCUUUGUAGGUUCACGAGCCGCCAACCUCCCAGAUGACUGUAUGCUGAAGCUAAAGGCUAUGUAUACCUUCACCGAGCAGUUAUACACAGGGGGUGUGCUGACAAUUAAAGCGGUGACGGGCAGCAAAGAGCUAGUUAAAUCCAUCAAGAACAUGCUCAGCUGUCUAUCCACAUUGCCUCCUGAGAUACAGGAACUGAAAAGAUCAGCCGCCCGGAAGGGAGUCCUGAAUACCCUAAGCCGGUGUUUAGCCUAUGCUCCGGAGCUAAAACCAGAAGAAAUAGCCGCUGGCUAUCCUGAACUGAAGGACGAUGGGUCGGAGUUCACCGAGGAGGACUACCACCGAGUGAUCAAGGAAUCCCGCUUCUCGGCGACUCAGCUGGCAGCCGGCUUGGAUUUGAAUAAAUACCAAGCCGCAUAUGAUGAGAAGAACAAGAAGGUGACUCCUCCCUCGUACGAAAUUACUAGCUUGGCUCCUCGCCGGCCCAAGAAUCCUUUUGACCUUGACAUGGAUCUAUCCCUCUUCCUUGAUGAUGAAGAUGAGUUCGUCGCCUUAUCCAAGUGUAACUGGAAACUGGGCGACUUACAAACUGAAGUUGGAGAGAGCUCAAGGCAAGGUGAUCCGGAGGCGGAUUGAGUCUUCUCAAGAUGUAAUUUUUGCUUUAAAAAAACAAUCUGAUCCUUUCUUCAUUGGGGGAUGACGCCCGACUUGGCCAUGCGAGCCAUGUAAUAGCUUGUUUAGAUUUUGCAGGGAAACAAUUGGUCACUAGUGCCUUUUGAUUCACCUUCCUGAACCACUUAUUCCUUCCAUCUAUUCAUGAAUCACCUUUAAUUUUGAUAAAAAAGGGAGUGUCACAGUUUGACUAAAAACCCUUCAUCCUGUGUGUCAGGAAAACGUAAGCCGACUUAGUGAGCUAUGGCAAAGAAAAGACCAACCCCUGGGUUAUGGCAAAAAAUAAACCAGCCCCCUCGGCUAUGGCAAAUAAUAGUUAAAAACUGGCCCAAUGAGUCGUGGUGAAUUAUAAACAAAGCAGACUCAAAGAUAUUAUGAAACCUUGUGGUUGUGCCAUCAAGAAAUAAAAUUCGUCGGCUCAAUGAGCUGCGACAGGACAAGACGAGUUUGCAAAACUCUAGUGUUACCCUUAGAAGGCUUUUGCAACAGCCUUGUUUUUUUAGACCGGCUGAUCACGCGCUAGUCAAGCUUCAGUGAAGCAGGUUCAAUGAACCAAUGGUUUCUCUAUUCUCCAUGUGUGGCUCCGGCCAGUACCUUUUAUGUUUCAACCAAGGCGAGUUCAGGGUCCAGAUGACGGAUUGACUCGCCCAGAGUACAUAGGUCCAUGUGGCGACUUGUCCAACACAUAGUCCAGUAUAACCAUUUGUAAUGCGGUAAUUUUUCGAUAGCCAAGAGGGUAUUCAGGCUGAACUCAGUUAGUGGAAGCCCCCAAGUGACGUAUGAUUUAGGAAAAGUCGGGCAUAGGAUCGCAGAAGCGUUUAAGCUCUUACUGCAAAACGACUUGGGAAAUGGUAGCCCCCAAGUAAGCCGGCUUAAUUCUCAAAAUCAUAUAAGGCGCCUAUGUUUGAACCGUGCACGUGGCGACUUGUCCUCUUUGGCUUUAUCAAGGCCCAGUUUUGAAAUAAGUGAAGCAUGGCGACUUACGCUCUUUGGGUUUGAUAGCGUCCAUGUUUGGACGACUUAUAGAACAAUAAAGACUCAGGCUUUCAAAAGAUGAAACGGCAAAAGACCUCGAAGUUCGUGGGUGCCGGCUUUAUUGCUUUCAUAAAUAAUGAAAUACAAUUUUAUGCAUUUUGGAAAAAGGAGCCCAUGGUUCUAAGUGUAGUAAGGCCGCAGGUGGGCUAUGUUCUAGGGGCGAGUUGUCUCAACCUUUGUAGUUGGCCGAUCUGGGAGAAGAUCCACCAAGUAGUAUGAGCCAUUUCGAAGAUUCUUGCUGAUGACAAACGGUCCUUCCCACGGAGGUGAUAGCUUGUGCAUACCAGUGUGAUCUUGACUCAAACGGAGCACCAAGUCGCCCUCUUGAAAAGUCCAGCUCUUGACCCGGCGGCUGUGGUAGCGUCGCAAGUCUUGUUGGUAGAUCGCCGAUCGUGACGCGACCAAGACACGUUCUUCCUCCAAAGCAUCCAACGAGUCUUGUCGUGCCAGCUCGUUGUCCUGUUCCACAUAGGCGGCGACUCACGGUGAAUCGUGUAUCAUGUCACUUCGUAACACCGUUUCUUCCCUGUAGACCAGAAAGAAAGGAGUAAAACCCGUGGAGCGAUUUGGAGUUGUCCUGAUGCUCUAUAAUACUGAGGGAAAUUCUUCCACCCAACACCCUGGAGUGCGUUCCAAAGGUACCAUGAGCCGAGGCUUAAUUCCCUGCAAUAUUUUCUGAUUCGCCCUUUUCGCCUGCCCAUUAGACUGGGGAUGUGCAACCGCGGAGAUGUCAAGCCGGAUAUGCUCUCGUGAACAAAACUCUUGCAUUGCACCUUUGGAUAGAUUAGUACCAUUGUCAGUAAUGAUACUAUGAGGGUAUCCAAAUCUGAAAAUCAAUUUUUUCAAGAAUUUGACAGCCAUGUCUACAUCACAGCUACUAACGGGCUCUGCCUCAACCCAUUUGGUAAACUUGUCAACCGCCACCAAUAGGUGGUUUUUUUAUUGGAUGACAUCUUGAAAGGGCCAACCAUGUCAAGCCCCCAGACUGCAAACGACCAAGUGAUUGGUAUCAUUCGCAAUUCCUGAGCCGGCAUGGGCAUCUGACGUCCAAAUUUUUGGCAGCCAUCACAUCGGCGAAUGAUCUCCUCUGCGUGUGCAUGAGCAGUCAGCCAAUAGAACCCAUGUAUAAAGGCUUAAGAAACCAAGGAUCGUGACACAGCAUGAUGACCACAGUCGCCUGCGUGAAUCUCAAUAAGGAUCAUGCAUCCUUCUUCAGGAGAGACGCACCUUUGAAAUACCCCUGAGGUGCUUCGUUUGUGCAACUCGCCAUUGUGUAUGACCAUGGAUUUACACCGAUGGACGAUUUGGCAAGCCGAUAAUUCAUUGGCAGGUAACUCGCCUCUAGUGAGAUAUGCCACAUAAGGAGCUUCCUAAUUCGGAGUAGCAUGAAGAGACGCCACAAGUUGAGACUCGGGGUCCGACACCGCCAAGUCUUCCUCUGAAGGCAGUCUCACCAAGGGGUUAUGUAAUACAUCCAAAAAGACAUUGGGAGGAACCGGCUUACGUUGUGAACAGAGACUGGAAAGAGCGUCCGCUGCUUCAUUAAGUCGCUGGUCGAUGUGAUUCACCUGAUAGCCAUGGAAAUGACCAGCCACAUAUGACACAGCUCGUGUGUAAGAUGCCAUCAAGAGGUCUCUUGAAUCCCAGGUGCCAUAAACCUGCUGUGCCACCAAAUCUUAGUCGUCCAGACAUCUGACUCGCGUGAGGUUCAUCUCUUUGGCGAGUUGCAACCCAUGGAGCAAGGCUUCAUUUCUACUGCAUUAUUGGUACAUGGGAACAUGAGCCGAAGGACAUAGCAAAACUUGUCACCUUGAGGCAAAGUUAUCACCACGCAAGCCCCCGAGCCUUCCAAUUGCCUGGAUCCAUCGAAACAGAUGGUCCAAUAAGUAUGAUUGGGCCUAUCCUAUGGGAUUUGCAACUCGGUCCAAUCAUUGAUGAAGUCCACAAAUGCUUGAGAUUUGAUGGCCGUCCGAGGCGUAUACCGCACAUGAUGGGGCCCUAACUCGAUGGCCCAUUUAGCAAUCCUUCCAGUUGCCUCUCCAUUCUGUAUGAUGUCACCAAGGGGGGGCAGAACUGACGACCAUGAUUGGAUGUUCUUGGAGGUAGUGCUUCAGCUCCCGACUUGCCAUAAACACCCCAAAAACCAUCUUGUGCCAAUGUGGGUAACGUUGCUUGGAGAGGGUUAGGACCUCGCUGAUAAAAUACACCAGUCAUUGGACCGGAUACUCCUUUCCUUUUUCCUUCCGCUCGACAACCAAUGCCACGCUAACCGCCUUGGAAUUGGCGGCGAUGUACAGGAGCAUAGGUUCCUUGUCCGUCGGAGCCGCCAAUACUGGCGGGUUAACUAAUUGUCACUUCAAGGCUUCAAAGGCUUCGUUGGCUUCGUCCGUCCAUACGAAUCUAUCAAUUUUCUUGAGAAGAUGAUAGAGAGGGAUGGACUUCUCCCCGAGGCGACUUAUAAAGCGGCUCAGAGCUGCGAUUCGACCCGCCAUGCAUUGGACUUGGUUAAUGUUAGCCGGUUUCCCAACGAAGUAAUUGCUUCAAUUUUGUCCGGGUUAGCUUCAAUGCCACAUUUCGACACCAAAAAGCCCAAUAAUUUCCCUGCACGAACACCAAACACACACUUGGAGGGAUUAAGCCUCAUCUGCUAAACGCACAGGUUGUCAAAAGUUUUCUUGAGAUCCUCCAAGAGCGACUCCUUCUGUCGAGAUCUGACCAUGAUGUCGUCCACAUCAGUGUGGACAUUACGACCGAUCUGGUUGUGCAAACAAUUUUGGAUGCAACGCUGAUAAGUCGCCCCGGCACUUUUGAGCCCGAACGGCAUAGACACGUAACAGAAAGCUCCGAAACCAUCUACCAUCUAGAUCUAGUGGUAUCCUGAAUAAGCAUCCAAGAAACACAAACGCUCACAACCCGCCAGCGAAUCAAUAAUUUGAUCAAUGCGGGGAAGGGCGAAGGGGUCCUUCAGACAGGCUCUGUUGAGGUCAGUGUAGUCGAUGCACAUGCGGAAAUUGCCCUUCUUUUUGAGCACCAUGACUGGGUUAGACAUCCAUUCAGGAUGGAAAACCUCGAUGAUAAACCCGGCGGCCAAAAGCCAGGCGACUUCCUCUCCGAUCGUCUUACAACACUCUUCAUUAAACCUGCGAAGCUAUUGCCGGACUGGCUUAACUUUGGGGUCAGUAUUAAUAUGGUGCUCAGUNNNNNNNNNNNNNNNNNNNNNNNNNNNNNNNNNNNNNNNNNNNNNNNNNNNNNNNNNNNNNNNNNNNNNNNNNNNNNNNNNNNNNNNNNNNNNNNNNNNNCUGCCUAGCCUAGCGCCACCACUUGUCGCCACCAGCGAGCCACCUAGCCACCAUGUGCAGCCAAUCCGGAGCCACCACGUCGCCAGUAGCUCUUCCCCGCCGCUGCAGACCAACGGGGCCCGAAGCUGGCUCACCCUGGGCCGAAGUGGGCCUCAGCCAGGCCCAGCGUGCCCCCUCCUCCUCUCGGGUAGGAGCAGCAGCCCCGCUGCGCGAGGAAGCUCCACCCGAGCCGCCCAUGCCCUGUGCCCCACCCCACUAGUCGAUGAGCGCCGCCAUCAGCGCGCCACCGCAUCCCGUCGGCCGGAGCGCCCGUUCCCGCCGCCAGCAGCCUUCCACCGGGCCGCUCCGUCGUCCUGCCCGAGCCAUCGCAUAGCCAGGACGUCUGCCAUCCUUCUCCGCUCCGUCGCCGGCCAAAUUCGAGCCACCUGGCCUAGAUCCGCCGGUCCCCAUUGCCGCCCGUCUCGUUCUCGGCCGGCACGAGUCCCUCCGCCGGUCGCCGCCCUUCGAGCCUGUAGCCCUGCGCUGAAAUGUGCCUCUGCUCGCGUGAGCACGGGGCGAGCCGCUCGUCCAGCGAGCGAGGCGCUCGCAUGGGCGUGCAGCCUUCGCGCGGCUGAGGAUCACCCUGUGGGCCGGCCUCCUCCAGCCGAAGCUAAGGCCCGAGGCCCAGCCAGCGCCCCCAUUCGGCCUCACUCUUCUCCGCCGAUCUGGGCCGCAGACCGCGAGGUGAGCCCUGCAGCCCCCCUAUAUUGCGCCAUGGGCGACAUUUAGUUAACGUGCGCUCGGUUUUAUGGGACCAAUUGUAAACAGAUUCGGCCCGUAGNNNNNNNNNNNNNNNNNNNNNNNNNNNNNNNNNNNNNNNNNNNNNNNNNNNNNNNNNNNNNNNNNNNNNNNNNNNNNNNNNNNNNNNNNNNNNNNNNNNNUGUUGGAAAUAUGCCCUAGAGGCAAUAAUAAAAUGGUUAUUAUCAUAUUUCCUUGUUCAUGAUAAUCGUCUAUUGUUCAUGCUAUAAUUGUAUUAACAGGAAACAGUAAUACAUGUGUGAAUAAAUAGAUCACAAUGUGUCCCUAGCAAGCCUCUAGUUGGCUAGCUCGUUGAUCAAUAGAUGAUAAGGGACAUUAGAUGUCAUUGAUAACGGGAUCAUAUCUUUGGGAGAAUGAUGUGAUGGACAAGACCCAAUCCUAAGCAUAGCACUAGAUUGUAUUGUUCGUAUGCUAAAGCUUUUCUAUUGUCAAGUGUCUUUUCCUACGACCGUGAGAUUGUGCAACUCCCGGAUACCGUAGGAGUGCUUUGGGUGUAUCAAACGUCACAACGUAACUGGGUGACUAUAAAGGUGCACUUCGGGUACCUGUGAAAGUGUCUGUUGGAUUGGUACGAAUCGAGAUCGGGAAGGUGCACUACGGAACGAGUAAAGAGACUUACCGGUAACGAGAUUGAACAAGGUAUAGGUAUACCGAUGAUCGAAUCUCGGGCAAGUUCUAUACCGACAGACAAAGGGAAUUGUAUACGGGAUUGAUUGAAUCCUUGACAUCGUGGUUCAUCCAAUGAGAUCAUCGUGGAACGUGUGGGAUCCACCAUGGGUAUCCAGAUCCUGGUGAUGGUUAAUAGCCGGAGAGCGUCUCGGUCAUGUCUGCACAAUUCCCAAACUCGUAGGGUCUACACACUUAAGGUUCGAUGACGCUAGGGUUAUAGGGAAAUGUUAUAUGAGGUUACCGAAAGUUGUUCGGAGUCCCGGAUGAGAUCUCGGACGUCACGAGGAGCUCUGGAAUGGUCCAGAGGUAAAGAUUGAUAUAUAGGAUGGAUGGUUUUGGACACCCGAAAUGUUUCGGGCAUCACUGGUAGCGUACCGGGACCACCGGGACCACCGGAAAUGGUCCCGGCGGUCCACCAGGAGGGGCCACCCACAAGAGGCCCAGGGCGCGGGAGGGAGAGAAGGGGGGGAAACCCUGGCGCUGGUGGGCCUAAGUCCCACCUAAGGGGUGCGCCACCCCCUCCCCCUGCCCUAGCCGCCACACCUCCCAUCUAGGGAGGCUGCCGCACCACCUAGAGGGGAAACCCUAGGGGUGGCAUGAUACGUCUCAUUCGUAUCUACUUUUCUGAACUCUUUUGCCCUUGUUUUGGACUCUAAUUUGCAUGAUUUGAAUAGAACUAACCCGGACUGACGCUGUUUUCAGCACAAUUGCCAUGGUGUUGUUUUUGUGCAGAAAUAAAAGUUCUCGGAAUGUCUUGAAAAUUUACGGAGAAUUUUUCCGGAAUAAAAGAAAAUUACCUAAGCAAAGAUGCACCGGAGGAGGUGGACCAGUGGGCCAAAAGACCACAGGCCGCGGCCACCCCCCUGGUCGCGCCGUGAGGGCUUGUGGGGCCCACGUGGCUCCACCGCCCCCAAACUCAGCUCAAUAUCUUCCGUUUCUCCAGGAAAAAAAUCAGAGAGAAGGUUUCAUCGCGUUUUGCGAUACGGAGGCGCCGCCACAUCCUGUUCUUCAUCUGGAGGGCAGAUCUGGAGUCCGUUUCGGGCUCCGGAGAGGGGAAAUUGUCGCCAUCGUCAUCAUCAACCUUUCUCCAUCGUUCGUGAGUAAUCUUAUCAUAGGCUUGCUGGACGGUUAUAAGUUGGAUGAGAUCUAUCAUAUAAUCGAGUUAGUUCUUGACGGGGAUUGAUCCCUAGUAUCCACUAUGUUCUAGAUUGAUGUUGCUACUACUUGGCUAUGCUUAAUGCUUGUCACUAGGGCCCGAGUGCCAUGAUUUCAGAUUUAAACCUAUUAUGUUGUUGCCAAUAUAUGUGUGUUUUACAUCCUAUCUUGCAAGUUGUAGUCACCUACUAUUGGUUAUGACCCGGCAACCCCGGAGUGACAAUAGCCGGAACCACUCCUGGAGAUGACCAUAGUAUGAGGAGUUCAUGUAUUCACCGCGUGUUAAUGCAUUGGUAUGGUUCUUUAUUAAAAGGAGAACCUUAAUAUCCCGUAGUUUCCAUUAGGACCCCGCUGCCACGGGAGGGAUGGACAAUAGAUGUCAUGCAAGUUCUUUUCCCUAAGCACGUAUGACUACAUACAGAAUACAUGCCUAUAUUAGAUUGACGAACGGGAGCUAGUUACAUAUCUCUCCGUGUUAUAGCUGUUACAUGAUGAAUCACAUCCGUCAUACUCAUCCAUCACCGAUCUACUACCUACGAGUCUUUUACUACUGGUUCUCGCUACACUACUUUGUCUAGGCUUGUCCCUUGCUACCAAAGGGAUUGGCCACUUUGCUGCUGUUGUUGCUACUGUUGUUACUUGUUACUCUACUGCUGCUGUUCCUUGCUACUCCGUUGUUACUUGUUGCAAGACUUUGUUGGAGCCGUAGCCGGGGAAGCAUUCUUCUCAAGAAUAAUCGCCCGUCCACGUGCUGGCGCCUUUGAUACAACUGUUAGGAAUAGUCUGCCGUGUCAACAGAUUGUUUUUGGCACCGUUGCUAUCAUACUACCUUGCUACUCAUACUUUGCUAUCAGACACUAAUCUUUCAGGUGUGGUUGAACCUGACACAUUCAGCUGCUAAUACUUGAGAAUAUUCUUUCGCUUCCCGUCUUAGCGAAUCAAUAAAUUUGGGUUGAAUACUCUACCCUCGAAAACUGCUGCGAUCCCAUCACUUGUGGGACAUCAGAGCCGCCGCCACACGAGGCCCCGUCGAGCAGCCGGAGUGCCACCUUGGCGCCUACAACCAUGGUGCGCCUGAGGCCAACGGGAGUCGCCGCCCCAAGCUUUGCCGUGCCCACCGGAUUCAUCCGCUGCCACCCCAGAACCACCGGCCCCGCGCCUCCACUCGCUAGCGCGCCGCCAGCCGAGUUCCCCGUCGCCGCAUCGCCAGCCUCGCCCAUGGCGAUCCAGAUCGGAUCGAGGGGUCGGGCGCCUCCCCGCUUCGGCCUUGGGCUGCGCCGCCGCGCUCGUGGGCCGCCUCGCGCGCUUGGGCCGCGUCGCCCAGGCCGGCCUCCUCCAACCGCCUCCUCAGCCCUUCGGCCUGCCUCCCCCCUCCUUCACCAGGCUGAGCCCAUGGGUAAGCAGCCUUAUCCUUCGCCCAUGCGAUGUAUAGUUAAGUUGUGCAACAGAUCGGGCCCGAAUAUUUUUUUAGGCCUGCGAAUUAAUUCUUUUUCAGAAAGAUGCUAGAUAUUAAAACACCCGUAGUUUUUAAACCGUGCAUCGGUUGCAAUGAUUUAGAUAUGUAACUUGGCUAGAAUUUCUCGUAGAAUAUUAAUUUACAACUUGCAUGCAUGUUUGAAGUGGUUUGGCCUAUCAUUUGCAUAGAUUUGCGUGUUGUCCUAAUAGGUUAGAUAUUCCGUAGAGAUUUUUGUGCGCGUCCGGAUUGUUCAAAUCCCAUAGAUAAAGUGUUCACAUUGUUCGGGACCCUUUGCCAUGAAUUUUAGGUAAUGUCUCUCUAUUUUGCAUGUAGGUGCCGUUAAUAGAUUGCUAUGUCCUGUUUAUGACAUAUUCUCGCAUAUAUGUGUGGCGUUAGUUUUAUUUUGCAACCCCUCAUAUUAUAUAUGUUUUCGGGGUAGAAAAAUCCAUAGAAUUUGAUUGUGCAUUUAGUUUUGCCUUCCGAGUAAGUUUGCGUCCAUGAUAUUUUGCCAUGUUGCUCUUUUUUUAUUUUGUGAGAUUUAUUCCGUGCGUGAUAUGCAUGAGUUGUGUACUAGAGAUAUGCUCUUGGAUUUGUAUGCUAGCCCCUGGUAAUUUUGGUUCCAAUAGAAAUCUAAGUUUAUGUGUUGUUUGCUUGUUGUCAACAUGCUAGAAAAUAGUGUUAAUUUGGAGAUGCUGAAAUAUUUCAAAGUCUGAAAUCUGUUAUGUUUUUUUGUUGUCUUGCCAUGAGUUUUUCUAGUGAUCUACAGUACCUUUGGGGUGUGUGCAAUGGAGUUAGUUGUAGUCCUUAAGGUUCUCUAGCAUGUUGUAAAUUUUCAUGUCAUUCAGAGCCCUGUAGCAUAUAGUUUUGCUGCUGUCAAUAUGCCUUCAGAUCGAAUACCGCACUCUCAAUAUUGUUAUUUUCACUAAGUCUGAAACUGUGUGUGAGAUGUCAUUUUGUAAGUUCUUUUCCUAGUGAUCCAUGCUGCCAUGCUAUAUGUUAUUAGUAGGAUGUUGUAGUGCAUCUUUGACUACUUCUGUCUCAUGCCUUGUAUGAGUAUUUUAGAUUUAUGUAGCUUGUUGUUUUGUGGUGUAGGAAAUGCCACAUUGCUGUUUUUUGGCAGAUUAUGACUAUUUCUUGUGUAGCUUGUAUUUGUUGAACCGUUGCUCCGUUAUGGUCGUGUACUAUAUGAAACUUGUUUAGAAUCUCGUGUAGUUUCAUAUUAUAUUGCUGCCUUCUUGGUUUGGAAUGUUUGUGGCUGUUAUUCGCAUACAUAUUGCAUUCAUGGCAUCAUAUCUUGCGGUGAUCAUAUCUUUUGAACCGUUGCUCCGUUUGCAUUGACCUCUAUGUGUAAAUUGAUUGGAAUGUAGCGUAGAAUUACGUGAACCUAUUCUUUUUUUUUUAACAAACAUUAAAACGUGUUAGUUCAGAUCUGGACAGAAUUAUAAAUUAACAUAUGAGGUCAGUUCGGAGAUGUGAUUUGCCGUUUUCGACGUCAUUUAAAAUGCCUAGAUAGGUAGCUUAAUUACGCUUCACCUCCUGCCAUGUUUAACCAACAUUUAAUAUUUCCUUGUAAAUAAUCGGAAGUGAACUAAAUGAUUAAAGGUGGAGUUUCGUUGAUAUGCAACUCAUUGCAUAUUGAACUUCACUUAACGUGUAGUGUUUGAUUGUGUGAAUUGCCAUGUCAUACCGUGUAUAAAUGAAACCGCUCAUGCAUCAUAUGUGUUGUGCAUCGUGUGGUGAAUAUCGUGUGUUGAUUCUUGUUUCCGGUUUGCUUCGUCUCGAUAGAGUUCCGCAAGCGUGUCGGAAUGUGAGGAUCCGUUCAACUACGUUGGCUCGUCUACUUCACGGAGUCAUUCGUCUUCCAAGCGGGAUCUCAGUGAAGAUGACCAUUUCCCUAGAUACCAUUACUAUCAUUGCCAUGCUAGUUUUAUUGUUUCUAUCAUUAUGUCUCGCUGCCUACCACCUGUUAAAUAGCAGCCUCUCAGCAUUGCCAUGAAAACCUUCAACCUGAUCACAACCUAGCAAACCACUGAUUGGCUAUGUCACUGCUUGCUUAACCACAUGUUAGCGUUGCUUGUUGCAGGUGCAGUUGCUUCCAUGUGAUAAAAUGAGUUCCUUGUUAUAUCACCAUAUUGAUGUUAUUUAAAUUAAUGCACCUAUAUACUUGGUAAAAGGUGGAAGGCUCGGCCUUUCUAUCCUGGUGUUUGGUUCCACCUUUGCCCCCUUAGUUUCGUCUACCGGUGUUAUAUUCCAUAACUGAGCGCUCCUAACAUGAUCGGGGUUGGUAUGGGGACGCCCUUGAUAAUUUUUUUUAGAUUAAGACUGGUCUGGCAAGGCUCAACUUUGGUACUACAUUUGCCUAAAUAACUACUGAACCACAUAGGGAGUAAUUAACUCGAGGAAACUUAAUCAACCCCCGGGUCAGAGCUCCUCAUGAGUGUUGGUCCAACCCAGAGCGCUGUGCGGGGCCAACCCAGGGCAACAUGGAUGACGCGUAACUUAUCCGUCAUGUCCUGAGAACGAGAUAUGUGGCUCCUAUCGGGAUCAUCGACACGUCGGGUGGCCUUGCUGGAUUAGUUUUACCUUUGACGAAAUAUCUUGUGCAUCGGGAUUCCAGUGAGACUUUGGGUAAUCUCAGAGUUGAGGUUUUCUACUAAGUAAUCCGAGGAGAUCACGAGUUUCGUGAUCGAGGAUUUCUAUGCGGCUUGUGGUAAUUUGUGAUGGACUAGUUGGAGCACCCCUGCAGGGUUAAAUCUUUCGGAAAGUCGUGCCCGCGGUUAUGUGGCAACGUGGAAACUUUGUUUAACAUUCGGUUCUAGAUAAAUUGAAGUAAGCUUAAUUAAAACUUGCCAACUGAGUGCGUACCCUUGAUUGUCUCUUUCGUGAGCUCCUUCUCCGAUCGAGGACACAGUGGGGUUAUGUUUGACUUAAGUAGGUGUUCAGGAUCAUUCAUUUGAUCAUCAGUAGUUCACGUCAGCUAUGCGUAUAUCAUCCGCCUCUUAUUCUUGUUCUCAUAAGUUAGCCACCUCUAAUAAAUGCUUAGUCGCUUGCUGCAGCCUCACCACUUAACCAUACCUCACCUAUUAAGCUUUGCCGGUCUUGAUACCUUUGGAAAUGAGAUUGUUGAGUCCGUUGUGGCUCAUAGAUUACUACAACACCAGUUGCAGGUACAGGUAAAGGAUAGUUAGACGUGAGCGCGAUGAUUGUGCUAUUUGGAGUUUCUUCUUCUUCCUCUUCAUCGAACUAGGACGGGUUCCAGGCCGGCCGCCUAGGAUAGCAAGGAUGGACGUCGUUAUUUUAUCGUUUUUUUUCGUCCAUAGUCGGGCCCUGCUAUUGUACUGAUGAUUGUAUUUAUUGUACUGAUGUGACUCUGAUGUAGCUUGUGGCGAGUGUAAGCCAACUCCUUAUACUCAUCUUUUCAGUACAUGUACUUAUAACGAUAUCCUUUCUUGUGAAACGACAAGAUGCGUUUCCAUCCCUGCCGAGGCCCUCGCGCUAAAAAUAAGGAUAGGAUAGCAUCUUGGGUGUUAAAAUAUGGUAUCAGAGCAGUACCGACCUAGGAGCCCCCUUGAUUGAUGGAACUUGGACGAGUCGAGUCUAGUGAAAAACUACUUUGAGUCUAGUUAUAUAUCGGAGGGUAGGCUUCUUUUUUCUCCUCUUCUAUGCUCUGGUGAGGAAUCUUGACGUAAUAAUUUAAUUCUACUCCUCUUCUCACGCAUUUUUUUUUCAGGAUCACGCGGAUAUUUUUGGAAUCUAUAUGAUGUCGAUGUGACCGAGUUCUGUCUUCGUGCCUCCUGUCUGACUUGAUUUAUUCUGGGGAUUUGAGCUCCAGGGGAUUUUUGAGCACAUCGUUAUCAUUCAGAUUUCUUAGUAUCCCAGGACGAAGGAUGUUGGAAGUUGUUUCAAUACUAGUAGUGGCAAGAGGAGUCCCGCUUCCCAGUAUUGGUGCGAAUAGAUCCGGGUGUAUCGCCAUACUUAGUAUCGUUGUGAUUACGGGGGUCUGAGAUAGAUGAAGUUCCGAGAUUCUCGUUAUGUGUUGACGGAUGUGAUAUACUGGACGGGUUAGUAUAGGAGUUGAGUGAUAUAUUACUCCUUGUAUCCGUGGACUGGAUUGCAUGACCAAAAAUUUCGGAAGUUCUUAUAUGAGAAUGCAAGUAGUUACUUAUAGAACAAUCUUCCAACAAAUGCAUGAUGUUAGGUUGGGGUUCGACAUCUACUGGAUUCGUUUGUUCACGGUCAUUUUACAGUGGUUCUCGUUGUGUCUUAAAGAGUACUUGUAGCUUGCUACGACUCGGAGACGCUUCGUAUGUCGUGUGCACUCCCUUGUACAUGAUGGCUAUUGUAGGAUAGCGCCCGUGCGAGCCUCAUCCACGAAAAUAUCAAACGAAAUCUCUGUUAUGAAUUUGUUCUCGCUGUCUCAUAAGCCUCAUCCUUGUUUUUGUUGGAGUACGGUAUUUCGAGUUGCUUCGAUGUCAAAUGGUGAUUUCAUAUCUUUUCCAAGAGGUGUUCUCAUAUUUUUAUGUGAGUGCAUAUUCUUUUGCUCAAUCAAAGUGUCUUAUCCAUUUUUUUGAACCGGAGUCAUCAUGUUAAUUCCUUUUCAACCGGUGUGCUUCUCUUCAAGUCAAUUCUAUCAUUUUCAAGAUUUGUAAGAUCAAUCUCUCAUUUCUUUCCGGAGUUCAUCUCAUUUGUACCAAGUUGUCUUUGUUUUCCCCGCCCUCCCACCCUUUCCUUCUCUGAUUCAGUUAUCAUCCAAUUGCCUUUCUUUUCAUUGAUGCUUCCACUAUCUUUUCUUUCGUGUCCUAUCCGGUGAUUCAUUGAGAAGAUUAUCAGGAGUUUUGUGUUCAUCAUUUUUCAUUCCUGUUCUCUUUUCCGGUGGAUUCAAUUCAGUCUCUCAGUGUUCAUCAAAUCCUUUUUCAUUCGUUCAAUGCUCUCUCAUGUUGUAAAUUCUUAUUCAAGUCUCUCUUGUUUAUUCAUCAAUCUCUUUCUACCCGGAGUGUUCAAGAUAUCUCAGAAGUUUCUUGUUUUCAAACCUUUCAAUUAUUUCGAGGUUCCCAACCUCAUCAAGUUUUUCUUUAUAAUGGUGCAAUCAAUAUUUCUUAUCAAUUGUUUCAACGGUGUUUCUUUUCAGUGGGCCCAUAACCCACAGGUUUUUCCCAGGAUCUUAUUUGUCUCUUCUAAUCUUUUGCGGAGAUCGCUAAUUAAUUUUCAAAUAUGACGUAAGAAUGAUUUUCAUCAGUCUUAUCCCUUUUCCAAUAUCUAUGCGAUGUGUGCUCAUCAUUGGCUCAACCUUGCAUAUUCUGUAUUCCGGAGUGUCUUAGUUAUUCUGGUGUUCUUCUCCUCAUCAUUUUGAGCUUGGAAGACCGAUGGGUGUUUCUUUCAAAUCUUGGUCCAUUCUCCUGAACAUUCAUCAUUUUAGUUUUGUGUUAUCAUCUUGAAUUGUUCUCGAUCAUGAGUAAUCCCUUUCUUUCUAUCUAGUGCAUUUCUGAGUUGUUUUCAUUCUUGAUCCUCCGAAGGCCAUCAUUUCAGAAUAUUUCUUCGUUCUCAGCUUACAGCUUUCGUUCUCAAAUUCUUCUCAAUUGUUGUCUCUUAGUUCGCCUCUCAAUUAUUCGGGUGCCUUGUUCAGUGUUCUGUUAGGCGGCUCAAGAUCUCUUCUUUCUCAAGGUGUUUUCCAAGAUUCCUUGGUAGUAGUUGUCAUUUUCUUCUUCGUUCUUUCUUUCUAAGAUCUAGUUUCUAUUCUUUGUAACGGAGGCUUUGUGAUGUUGCUCUCUUCAAUCUAUAAUUUUAUCUUUUCAAGAUCAUUUUGUUCCCUUGUUCAAUUUAGUUAGUUUGUUGCGGAUCUUUUCAAGGUCUUUCCAUUCUAUCAAAUUUUGAUCCCCCUUUUCCUGCCGAAGUGCUGCCGAAAUUUCGUUUGAAUUCUUGCUUGUUCUCAAAUCAUUCUUCAUCUCUUCGCAAGCUUCAAGGAUCGUUGGUUUCACUCGUUUGUCAGAAGGAACUAAGUUUUACCUCUUGCUCUUUCUCUUCCUCUUCCCCUUUCAUUCUUGGAUCUCGGGUCGAGAUCCUCUUGUAGUGUAGGAGAGUUGUGACAACCCGAGACCGACGCUCUAGAAGAUUCCCCUUUUAUUUCGUUGCCACCGUAUUAUUAUUUUGUUUCUUGCAUUCAUCAUCGCAUCAUGUGCAUCAUCAGCAUCGCAUCGGCACUCCAUUGCCGCCAGUUUUCAAACUUGCAUCGGUUAUUAGUAGCCGGUUCUCUCCGUUAUAGACGUUGACCAUUUUGAGUCCGACCACACAUGCACGCGUCCGCGACAUCGUUUAAAUCUUGUUUUUAAAACUAUGUUUAAAAUAUUCUUGGAUUGGGAUGAAACUUUGCGUGCGGUCUUAUUUUAAUAUAGGUAGGACGCAUGCUAAUUUUCGUCGCAAUGGGAGUCCGUCUGGUACCUGAAAGGUCGACCGUAGCGGCACCGUCUUUGGUUAUUCGUCGGAUGUUUUUUGACAUUUUAAAUCCCGUUGCCGCGCCGCACUACUUCCCUCUCAUCUUCGCCAAAGCAACUCUACAUGGCCUAACCUAACCCUAGGGCAUUUCCGGAGCGUCCAAUCGAGAUCGGAGGGUCCGAAAACGCCCGAAAUGGAUAACCCUAGCCUGUUUUCUAUAAAUAGGCAGCUAGACACAUAAUACCCCUCAUUUUCUACGCCACCUCGAAACCCUAGCCGCCAUUGCCUCUGUCUCCUUCCACCUCCAGCCCCGCGGGCCUGCCGAGCCCAUCUGAGGCCCGCCCGGGCCCGAAGCCGCCGCCAGCCCCGAGGGGAGCAGCAACCCGAGCUGCCCAAGCUUGCCCGCGCACCCCUGCCUCGCUCUGCAUGCAGCCCCGCAGCCGCGUCCACGUGCACCGGAGCUCCACCAUAGCACCGACCACCGGCCCUCGCAGCGCCACCGUCGGAGCUCCAAAGGAGGUGCCGCCGCCACAGGAGGGCCCCGUCAAGCAACCGCAUUGCCACCUUGUCACCUACAACCAUGGCGCGCCCGAGGCCGAAGGGAGCUGCCAUGAUCUACGCUGCCACCCCAAGCUCCGCCGUGCCCGCCGGAUUCAUCCGCUGGCGCCCCAGAACCGCCGGCCCCGCACCUCCCCUCGCUAGCGUGCCGCCGGCCGAGCUCCUCGUCACCGCAUCGCCAGCCUCACCCGUGGUGAUCCAGAUCGGAUCGAGGGGUCGGGCGCCUCCCCGCUUCGGUCGUGGACCGCGUCGCCGCGCUCUUGGGCCGGGCCGCCCAGGCCGGCCUCCUCCAACCGCCUCCUCAGCCCUUCAGCCUGCCUCCCCCCUCCUUCACCAGGAUGAGCCCAUGGGUGAGUAGCCCUAUCCUUCGCCCAUGCGCUGUGUAGUUAUGUUGCGCAACAGAUUGGGCCCGAAUAGAUUUUUUAGGAGUGCAAAUUAAUUCUUUUUGAGAAAGAUGCUAGAUAUUAAAAUACCCGUAUUUUUUAAACCGUGCAUCGGAUGGCGAUGAUUUAGAUAUGUAACUUGGCUAGAAUUUCGCGCAGAAUAUUAAAUUACAACUUGCAUGCAUGUUUGAAGUGGUUUGGUCUGGCAUUUGCGUGUUGUCCUAAUAGGUUAGAUAUUUCGUAGAGAUUUUUUGUGCGCGUCCGGAUUGUUCAAAUCCCGUAGAUAAAAUAUUCGUGUUGUUCGGGACCCUUUGCAAUGAAUUUUAGGUAGUGUAUCGCUAUUUUGCAUGUAGGUGCCGUUAAUAGAUUGCUAUAUCGUGUUUAGGACAUAUUCUCGCAUAUAUGUGUGGCGUUAGUUUUAUUUUGAAACCCCUCAUAUUAUAUAUGUUUUCGCGGUAGAAAAAUCCAUAAAAUUUCACUGUGCAUUUAGUUUUGCCUUCCGAGUAAGUUUGCGUGCAUGAUAUUUUGCCAUGUUGCCCUCUUGUUUAUUUUGUGGGAUUUAUUCCGUGUGUGAUAUGCAUGAGUUGUGAACUAGAGAUAUGCUCUUGGAUAUGUAUGCUAGCCCCUGGUAAUUUUGGUUGCAAUAGAAAUCCAUGUUUAUGUGUUGUUUCUUGUUUUCAACAUGCUAGAAAAUAGUGCUGAUUUGGAGAUGCUGAAAUAUUUCUAAGUCUGAAUCUUAUAUGUUUCUUGCUGUCUUGCCAUGAGUUUUGCUAGUGAUCUACAACACCUUUGGGGUUGGUGCAAUAGAGUUAGUUGUAGUCCUUAAGGUUCUCUAGCAUGCUAUAAAUUUUCAUGUCAUUCGGACCCCUGUAGCAUAUAGUUUUGCUGCCGUCAAUAUGCCUUCAGAUCGAAAACUGCACUGUCUACAUUGUUAUUUUCACUAAGUGUGAAACUUUGUGUGAGAUGCCAUUUUGUGUUGUUCUUUCCAUAGUGAUCCAUGCUGCCAUGCUAGAUGUUAUUAGUAGGAUGUUGUAGUGCAUCUUGACUACUUCUGUCUCGUGCCUUGUUUGAGCAUUUUAGAUUUAUGUAGCUUAUUGUUUUGGGGUGUAGGACAUGUCAUGUUGCUGUUUUUGGCAGAUUAUGACUAUUUCUUGUGUAGCUUGUAUGUGGUUGAACCGUUGCUCCGUUUGGUCGUGUCCUAUAUGAAACUUGCUUAGAAUCUCGUGUAGUUUCAUAUUAUGUUGCUGCCUUCUUGGUUUGGAAUGUUUGUGGUUGUUAUUCGCAUACAUAUUGCAUUCAUGGCAUCAUAAAUUGCGGUGAUCAUAUCUUUUGAACCGUAGCUCCGUUUGCAUUGACCUCUAUGUGUAAGUUGAUUGGAACGUUGCGUAGAAUCACGUGAACCCUUUUAUUUUGCUGUUUAACAAACAUUAAAACGUGUUAGUUCAGAUCUGGACAGAAUUAUAAAUUGACGUAUGAGGUCAGUUCGGAGAUGCUAUAUGUCGUUUCCGACCUCAAUUAAAAUGCCUAGAUAGGUAGCUUAAUUACGCUUCACAUCGUGCCAUGUUUAACCAACAUUUAAUAUUGCCGUGUAAAUAAUCAGAAGUGGACUAAAUAAUUAAAGGUGGAGUUUCGUUGAUGUGCAACUUUUUGCAUAUUGAACUUCACUUAAUGUGUAGUGUUUGAUCGUGUGAAAUGCCAUGUCAUACCGUGCAUAAAUGAAACUGCUCAUGCAUCAUAUGUGUUGUGCAUCGUGGAGUGAAUAUCGUGUGUUGAUUCUUGUUUCCGGUUUGCUUCGUCUCGAUAGAGUUCCGCAAGCGUGUCAGAAUGUGAGGAUCCGUUUGACUACAUCGGCUCGUGUGCUUCACGGAGUCAUUCUUCUUCGAAGCGGGAUCUCAGGCAAGAUGACCAUUUCCCUAGAUACCAUUACUAUCAUUGCCAUGCUAGUUUACCAUUUCUAUCAUUAUGUAUCGCUGCCUACCAUCUAUUAAAUAUCAACCUCUCAACAUUGCCAUGAAAACCAUUAACUUGAUCACAACCUAGCAAACCACUGAUUGGCUAUGUUACCGCUUUCUUAACCAAGUGUUAGUGUUGCUUGUUGCAGGUGUAGUUGCUUCCAUGUGAUAACAUGAGUUCCUUGUUAUAUCACCAUAUUGAUGUUAUUUAAAUUAACGCACCGAUAUACUUGGUAAAACGUGGAAGGCUCGGCCUUUCUACCUGGUGUUUUGUUCCACCUUUGCCCCCUUAGUUUCGUCUACUGGUGUUAUAUUCCAUAAUUGAGCGCUCCUAACACGAUCGGGGUUGUUAUGGGGACCCCCUUGAUAAUUCGUUUUAGAUUAAGACUGGUCUGGCAAGGCCCAACUUUGGUUCUACAUUUUCCUAAUUAACUAAUGAACCACAUAGGGAGUAAUUAACCAGAGGAAACUUAUUCAACCCCCGGGGCCAGUGCUCCUCAUGAGUGUUAGUCCAACCUAGAGCAUAGUGCGGGGCCAACCCAGGGCAACUUGGUGAUUUCUAUUAGGCCACCAUACGCGUAACGUAUCCGUCGUGUCCUGAGAACGAGAUACGCGGCUCCUAUCGGAAUCGUCAACACGUCGGGUGGCCUUGCUGGAUUAGUUUUACCUUCGAUGAAAUAUAUUGUGCAUCGGGAUUCCGGUGAGACUUUGGGUAAUCUCAGAGUUGAGGUUUUCCACUAAGGAAUCCGAGGAGAUCACGAGUUUCAUGAUCGAGGAUUUUUAUGCGGCUUGUGGUAAUUUGUGAUGGACUAGUUGGAGAACCCCUGCAGGUUUAAAUAUUUCAGAAAGUCGUGCCCACGGUUAUGUGGCAACGUGGAAACUUUGUUUAACAUCCGGUUCUAGAUAACUUGAAGUAAACUUAAUUAAAACUUGCCAACUGAAUGUGUAACUGUGACUUUCUCUUUCGUGAGGUCCUUCUUCGGUCGAGGACACGGUGGGGUUAUGUUUGACUUAAGUAGUUGUUCAGGAUCAUUCAUUUGAUCAGUAGUUCACGUCCCCUAUGCGUAGAUCAUCCCCCUCUUAUUCUUGUACUCGUAAGUUAGCCACCUCCAAUAAAUGCUUAGUCGCUUGCUGCAGCCUCACCACUUAACCAUACCUCACCUAUUAAGAUUUGCUGGUCUUGAUGCCUUUGGAAAUGAGAUUGGUGAGUCCCCUGUGGCUCAGAAUUACUAUAACACCAGUUGCAGGUACAUGUAAAGGAUAGUAAGACGUGCGCGCGAUGAUUGUGCUAUUUGGAGUUUCUUAUUCUUCCUCUUUAUCGAUCUAGGAUGGGUUCUAGGCCGGCAGCCUGGGAUAGCAAGGAUGGAUGUCAUUAUUUAAUCGUUUGUUUUCGUUCGUAGUCGGACCCUCCUCUUCUUCAUGAUGAUUGUAUUUAUUAUGCUGAUGUGACUGUGAUGUAACUUGUGGCGAGUGUAAGCCAACUCCUUAUACUCAUCUUUUCAAUACAUGUACUUGUAACGAUAUCAAUUGUUGCGAAACAACGAGAUGCGUUUCUAUCCCUGUCGAGGCCCUCGCGCCAAAAAUAAGGAUAGGAUCGCAUCUUGGGCGUUACAAGUAGGCUCAGAAUGAUCAAAGCAAUGGCAAGGAAAUAUACAACAAUGUCGUCGAGGUUACUGUCGUGGUUUUAUCAUGGCAGAUGUCCUCGUGAAAGGACUUAAAGAUGGAGCCAUCGCACCUUGGUGGCGACUCGAAGGGGGUGAGCGAAAGUGGGACUCAGAUUUACCCAGGUUCGGCCCCUCGUGUAGACGUAAAAGCCUACGUCCUGCUUUGUGUGGAUUGAUGAUGGUUUCAAUUACAAGAAGGGCGUAACUCGUAUGACCCAGCUCUCCAUAAUUUCUAACUUGCCUGAUCUUUCCCCGGGACUCGCCUUUAUAUAUUGGUCGAGAACCUAGGGUUUACAAGAGUCCUGGCUAUGCUACCCAUCAUAGCUUUCCCUAUCUCUAAGUCGCCGUGUCCUCCAAGAUUGGGAACUCCUUUGGUAGUCUAUCACCUGCAUAGCUUCUCGAACCGCCAUCCGGCUUCUGGGCCAAGGGCCGCACUUCUAAUGUUGAGUCGCCCCUUUGAUUACCCGGCCCACCAAGGGCGGGUUACCCGCAGGUAAAAUCCCCAACAUUAGGCCCCAAAUUGUCUUGAAUUCAUUCACGUCAGUAAACCUUCACCCGCUUAGGGCGACUCAUACCAUCCUUGCCUUUCGACGAAUGAUAAGACGCCAUUCGUUGUGAAUUUAUUUGACCCGCCGGGUAAUCUUUGAUGACAUCACCUUAUCCCCUUAAUUUCGGGUUUUUUAAUGCCAUAGCCACCCAACGGAUUUUUGCUUUGUAUUUACUUAUCCCAAAAACCUAGGCACCAUCAUUGCAGAUUCUGACUUGUCGCCUUGAUCUCCGCUCUGACCACCUCGAUUCCCGCUCUGGCCGCCUCGACUCCUGUUCUGGCCCUUUAAAUAACCGCAGGGGGAAUGGGGGGGCACCGUCACCUACCCCCACUUCGUCCUUCUCUUCGACCUUCGUCUUCCCUGCGCACUUCGUCUUCCUCGUGCCAGUGCCUCGGCUUCCUCACCGGCCCGCGGAGCUUCAUCGUCCACGGCGGGUUCGUGGGCGUCUGAUACGUCCAUUUUGCAUCAUUCUUUCACGUUUAUAUGUAUUGCUUUUUGGGCUGUUAUAUUACUUGUGGUACCAUAUUGAUGACUUUUCUCUCUUAUUUUGCAAGGAUUAUUUGAAGAGGGAGAAUUCUGGCAGCUGGAAUUCUGGACCGGAAAAGGAGCAAAUCCUAGUCCACUAUUCUGCACAUCUCCAAAUGCCCUGAAAAUUUACGUGGAUUUUUUCUGGAAUAUAUAAAAAUAUUGGGCGAAAGAACUACCGAAGGGGGGCCACCAGGGCUCCACAAGCCCCCACUCCGCCACCACCCCCCUAUUGGCGUAGGGCAAGCUUGUGGGCUUCCUGACGGCCCACUAGCCCCCUCUUUUGCUAUAUGAAGGGUUUUGGUCGGGAAAAAAAUCAAUAGGGAGCUUUUUCGUGGUUUCGCCGCCGCCAUGAGGCGGAACUUGAGCAGAUCCAAUCUAGAGCUCCAGCAGGACGAUCCUGCUGGGGAAACUUCCCUCCCGGAGGGGGAAAUCAUCGCCAUCGUCAUCACCAACACUACUCUCGUCGGAGUGGAGGCAUCUUCAUCAACAUCUUCAUCAGCACCAUCUCCUCUCCAAUCCCUAGUUCAUCUCUUGUAACCAAUCUUCGUCUCGCAACUCUGAUUGGUACUUGUAAGGUUGCUAGUAGUGUUGAUUACUCUUUGUAGUUGAUGCUAGUUGGAUUACUUGGUGGAAGAGUUUAUUUUCAGAUCCUUGAUGCUAUUCAUUACACCUCUGGUCAUGAUUAUGAUUAUGUCUUGUGAGUAGUUACUCUUGUUCCUAAGGACAUGGGAUAAGUCAUGCUGAUAAUAGUCAUGUGAAUUUGAUAUUCGUUCGGUAUUUUGAUAUGAUGUAUGUUGUUUUUCCUCUAGUGGUGUUAUGUGAACGUCGACUACAUAGCACUUCACCAUAUUUGGGCCUCGAGGAAGGCAUUGGGAAGUAGUAAGUAGAUGAUGGGCUGCUGGAGUGACAGAAGCUUAAACCCCAGUCUAUGUGUUGCUUCGUGAGGGGCUGAUUUGAAUCCGCUAGUUUAAUGCUAUGGUNNNNNNNNNNNNNNNNNNNNNNNNNNNNNNNNNNNNNNNNNNNNNNNNNNNNNNNNNNNNNNNNNNNNNNNNNNNNNNNNNNNNNNNNNNNNNNNNNNNNCCAAUCCCUUUUGUAGCAAGGGACAAGCCUGAACAAAGUCUUAUAGGAGGAAAAACGCUCCCGAGGACACACGGGAAUUUCUGUCAUGCUAGUUUCAUCAUGUUCAUAUGAUUCGCGUUCGUUACUUUUGAUAGUUUGAUAUGUGGGUGGAUCGGCGCUUGGGUACUGCCCUUACUUGGACAAGCAUCCCACUUAUGAUUAACCUCUCUCGCAAGCAUCCGCAACUACAAAAGAAGAACUAAGACAAAGUCUAACCAUAGCAUUAAACUAGUGGAUCCAAAUCAGCCCCUCACGAAGCAACGCAUAGACUGGGGUUUAAGCUUCUGUCACUCCAGCAACCCAUCAUCUACUUACUAUUUCCCAAUGCCUUCCUCUAGGCCCAAAUAUGGUGAAGUGUUAUGCAGUCGACCUUCACAUAACACCACUAGAGGAAAAACAACAUACAACAUAUCAAAAUACCGAACGAAUAUCAAAUUCACAUGACCAUUAUCAGCAUGACUUAUCCCAUGUCCUCGGGAACAAAAGUAACUACUCACAAGACAUAAUCAUAAUCAUGACCAGAGGUGUNNNNNNNNNNNNNNNNNNNNNNNNNNNNNNNNNNNNNNNNNNNNNNNNNNNNNNNNNNNNNNNNNNNNNNNNNNNNNNNNNNNNNNNNNNNNNNNNNNNNUCUCUCUUAUUUUGCAAGGUUUAUUUGAAGAGGAAGAAUUCAGGCAGCUGGAAUUCUGGACUAGAAAAGGAGCAAAUCCUAGUCCACUAUUCUGCACAUCUCCAAAUGCCCUGAAAAUUUACGUGGAUUUUUUCUGGAAUAUAUUAAAAAUACUGGGCGAAAGAACUACCAGAGGGGGCCCACCAGGGUCCCACAAGCCCCCACUCCGCCACCACCCCUCGUGGCGGUGGGCAAGCUUGUGGGCUGCCUGAAGGCCCACUAGCCCCCCUCUUUUGCUAUAUGAAGCGUCGUGGUCUGGAAAAAAAAUCAAUGGGGAGCUUUUUCGUGGUUUCGCCGCCGCCACGAGGAGGAACUUGAGCAGAUCCAAUCUAGAGCUCCGGCAGGACGAUCCUACCGGGGAAACUUCCCUCCCGGAGGGGCGAAUCGUCGCCAUCGUCAUUACCAGCACUCCUCUCGUUGGAGAGGAGGCAUCUUCAUCAACAUCUUCAUCAGCACCAUCUCCUCUCCAAUCCCUAGUUCAUGUCUUGUAACCAAUCUUCGUCUCGCAACUCCGAUUGGUACUUGUAAGGUUGCUAGUAGUGUUGAUUACUCUUUGUAGUUGAUGCUAGUUGGAUGAUUUGGUGGAAGAGUUUAUGUUCAGAUCCUUGAUGCUAUUCAUUACACCUCUGGUCAUGAUUAUGAUUAUGUCUUGUGAGUAGUUACUUUUGUUCCUCAGGACAUGGGAUAAGUCGUGCUGAUAAUAGUCAUGUGAAUUUGAUAUUCGUUCGGUAUUUUGAUAUGCUGUAUGUUGUCUUUUCCUCUAGUGGUGUUAUGUGAACGUCGACUACAUAAAACUUCACCAUAUUUGGGCCUAGAGGAAGGCAUUGGGAAGUAGUAAGUAGAUGAUGGNNNNNNNNNNNNNNNNNNNNNNNNNNNNNNNNNNNNNNNNNNNNNNNNNNNNNNNNNNNNNNNNNNNNNNNNNNNNNNNNNNNNNNNNNNNNNNNNNNNNGUCUUGAUCCAUACUAACUCAACGAACACCUUCGGAGAUACCUGUAGAGCAUCUUUAUAGUCAUCCAGUUACGUUGCAACGUUUGAUACACACAAAGCAUUCCUCCGGUGUCAGUGAGUUAUAUGAUCUCAUGGUCAUAGGAACAAAUAUUUGACACGCAGAAAACAGUAGCAACAAAAUGACACGAUCAACAUGCUACGUCUAUUAGUUUGGGUCUAGUCCAUCACGUGAUUCUCCUAAUGACGUGAUCCAGUUGUCAAGCAACAACACCUUGUUCAUAAUCAGAAGACCCUGACUAUCUUUGAUCAACUGGCUAGCCAACUAGAGGCUUGCUAGGGACUGUGUUUUGUCUAUGUAUCCACACAUGUAUAUAAGUCUUCAUUCAAUACAAUUAUAGCAUGGAUAAUAAACGAUUAUCUUGAUACAGGAAUUAUAAUAAUAACUAUAUUUAUUAUUGCCUCUAGGGCAUAAUUCCAACAGUCUCCCACUUGCACUAGAGUCAAUAAUCUAGCCCUCACAUCAUCAUGCGAAUUACAUUAUAACAAAUCUAACACCCAUACAGUUCUGGUGUUGAUCAUGCUUUGCCCGUGGAAGAGGUUUAGUCAGCGGGUCUGCUACAUUCAGAUCCGUGUGCACUUUGCAUAUAUUUACGUCCUCCCCUUCGACGUAGUUGCGGAUGAGGUUGAAGCGUCGCUUGAUGUGUCUGGUCUUCUUGUGAAACCGUGGUUCCUUUGCUAAGGCAAUGGCACCCGUGUUGUCGCAGAACAAGGUUAUUGGAUUUAGUGCGCUUGGGACCACUCCAAGAUCCGUCAUGAACUACUUCAUCCAGACACCCUCCUUAGCCGCCUCCGAGGCAGCCAUGUACUCCGCUUCACAUGUAGAAUCUGCUACGACGCUUUGCUUGGAACUGCACCAGCUUAGCGCACCCCCAUUAAGAAUAAAUACAUAUCCGGUCUGCGACUUAGAGUCGUCCGGAUCUGUGUCAAAGCUUGCAUCGACGUAACCCUUUACGACGAGCUCUUCGUCACCUCCAUACACGAGAAACAUCUCCUUAGUCCUUUUCAGGUACUUCAGGAUAUUCUUGACCGCCGUCCAGUGAUCCACUCGUGGAUUACUCUGGAACCUGCCUGCCAUACUUAUGACCAGGCUAACGUCCGGUCUAGUGCACAACAUUGCAUACAUGAUAGAACCUAUGGCUGAAGCAUAGGGGACGGUGCUCAUAUGCUCUCUAUCCUUAUCAGUUGCUGGGCACUGAGUCUUACUCAAUCUCGUACCUUGUAAAACUGGCAAGAACCCUUUCUUGGACUGCUCCAUUUUGAACCUCUUCAAAACUUUAUCAAGGUAUGUGCUUCGUGAAAGUCCUAUCAGGCGUUUUGAUCUAUCCCUGUAGAUCUUAAUGCCUAGAAUGUAAGCAACUUCUCCUAGGUCCUUCAUAGAGAUACUUUUAUUCAAGUAAUCCUUUAUGCUCUCCAAAAACUCUAGUUGUUUCCAAUCAGCAAUAUGUCAUCCACAUAUAAUAUUAGAAACGCCACAGAGUUCCCACUCACUUUCUUGUAAAUACAAGAUUCUCCAACCACUUGUAUAAACCCAAAUGCUUUGAUCACCUCAUCAAAACGUUUGUUCCAACUCCGAGAUGCUUGCACCAGUCCAUAAAUGGAUCGCUGGAGCUUGCACACCUUGUUAGCAUUCUUAGGAUCGACAAAACCUUCGGGUUGCAUCAUAUACAACUCUUCCUUAAGGAAACCGUUAAGGAACGCCGUUUUGACAUCCAUCUGCCAGAUUUCAUAAUCGAAAAAUGCAGCUAUUGCUAACAUGAUUCUGACGGACUUAAGCAUCACUACGGGUGAGAAUGUCUCAUCGUAGUCAACUCCUUGAACUUGUGAAAAACCCUUUGCCACAAGUCGAGCUUUAUAAACGGUCACAUUGCCGUCAGCGUCCGUCUUCUUCUUAAAGAUCCAUUUGUUCUGAAUAGCCUUGCGACCCUCAGGUAGUACUUCCAAAGUCCACACUUUGUUUUCAUACAUAGAUCCUAUCUCGGACUUCAUGGCCUCUAGCCAUUUGUUGGAAUCUGGGCCCACCAUUGCUUCUUCAUAAUUUGCAGGUUCAUUGUUGUCUAACAACAUGAUUGACAAAACGGGAUUACCGUACCACUCUAGAGGAGCACGUGGUCUCGUCGACCUGCGUGGUUCGACAGGAACUUGAACCGGAGUUUCAUGAUCAUCAUCAUUAACUUCCUCCUCAACCGGCGUCGCAAUGACAGAGGUUUCCCCUUGCCCUGCGCCACCAUCUAGAGGGAUGAGAGGUUCGACAACCUCAUCAAGUUCUAUCUUCCUCCCACUCAAUUCUCUCGAGAGAAACUCCUUCUCGAGAAAAGCUCCGUUUUUAGCAACAAACACUUUGCCCUCGGAUUUGAGAUAGAAGGUGUACCCAACUGUCUCUUUUGGGUAACCUAUGAAGAUGCACUUUUCCGCUUUGGGUUCCAGCUUUUCAGGCUGAAGCUUUUUGACAUAAGCAUCACAUCCCCAAACUUUAAGAAACGACAACUUUGGCCUUUUGCCAUACCACAGUUCGUAUGGUGUCGUCUCAACGGAUUUUGAUGGUGCCCUAUUUAAAGUGAAUGCAGCUGUGUCUAAUGCAUAACCCCAAAACGAUAACGGCAAAUCGGUAAGAGACAUCAUAGAUCGCACCAUUUCUAAUAAAGUACGAUUACGACGUUCGGACACACCAUUACGCUGUGGUGUUCCAUACGGUGUCAACUGUGAAACAAUUCCACAUUGUCUUAAGUGAGCACCAAACUCGAAACUCAGAUAUUCACCCCCACGAUCAGACCGUAGGAACUUGAUCUUCUUGUUACGAUGAUUUUCAACUUCACUCUGAAAUUGCUUGAACUUUUCAAAUGUUUCAGACUUGUGCUUCAUUAAGUAGACAUAACCAUAUCUACUCAAAUCGUCAGUGAAGGUGAGAAAAUAACGAUAUCCGCCGCGUGCCUCUACGCUCAUCGGACCGCACACAUCGGUAUGUAUGAUUUCCAACAAGUCACUGGCACGCUCCAUUGUUCCGGAGAACGGAGUUUUAGUCAUCUUUCCCAUGAGGCAUGGUUCGCACGUGUCAAGUGAAUCAAAGUCAAGUGACUCCAAAAGUCCAUCGGCAUGGAGUUUCUUCAUGCGCUUUACACCAAUAUGACCUAAGCGGCAGUGCCACAAAAAUAUGGCGCUAUCAUUAUUAACUCUAACUCUUUUGGUCUCAAUGUUAUGUAUAUGUGUAUCACUAUCAAGAUUCAAUAUGAACAAUCCUCUCACAUUGGGUGCAUGACCAAAUAAGAUGUUACUCAUAGAAAUAGAACAACCAUUAUUCUCUGACUUAAAAGAAUAACCGUCUCGCAAUAAACAAGAUCCAGAUAUAAUGUUCAUGCUCAACGCAGGCACUAAAUAACAAUUAUUCAAGUUCAUAACUAAUCCUGAUGGUAACUGAAGUGAAACUGUGCCGACGACGAUUGCAUCAACCUUGGAACCAUUUCCUAUGCGCAUCGUCACUUCAUCUUUCGCCAGCCUUCACUUAUUCCGCAGUUCCUGUUUCGAGUUGCAAAUAUGAGCAACAGAACCGGUAUCGAAUACCCAGGCACUACUACGAGAGCCGGUUAAGUACACAUCAAUAACAUGUAUAUCAAAUAUACCUGAUUUUUCUUUGGCCGCCUUCUUAUCAGCCAGAUACUUGGGGCAGUUGCGCUUCCAGUGACCCAUACCCUUGCAAUAGUAGCACUCUGUUUCAGGCUUAGGUCCAGCUUUGGGUUUCUUCGUCGGAUUGGCAACAGGCUUGCCGCUCUUCUUUGAAUUACCCUUCUUGCCUUUGCCGUUUCUCUUGAAACUAGUGGUCUUAUUCACCAUCAACACUUGAUGCUCUUUACGGAGUUUAGACUCUGCGACUUUCAGCAUCGCAAACAACUUGCCGGGUGACUUGUUCAUCCCUUGCAUGUUGUAGUUCAACACAAAGCCCUUAUAGCUUGGCGGCAGUGAUUGAAGGAUUCUGUCAGUGAUAGCCUCUUGUGGGAGUUCAAUCCCCAGCUCAGCUAGACGGUUUGAGUACCCAAACAUUUUGAGCACAUGUUCACUGACAGACGAAUUCUCCUCCAUCUUGCAAGCAUAGAAUUUAUCGGAGGUCUCAUACCUCUCGAUCCGGGCGUUCUUCUAAAAGAUGAACUUCAACUCCUGGAACAUCUCAUAUGCUCCAUGACGCUCAAAGCGACGUUGAAGUCCCGGUUCUAAGCCAUACAAGACUGCACAUUGAACUACUGAGUAGUCCUCCUUACGUGUUAACCAAGCGUUCUUAACAUCCUGGUCAGCCGUAGCGGGUGUUUCAUCUCCUAGCGCAACAUUAAGGACAUAAUCCUUCUUCCCAGCUUGUAAGAUUAGCUUAAGAUUACGAGCCCAGUCUACAAAGUUGCUUCCAUCAUCUUUCAACUUAGCUUUCUCUAGGAACGUAUUAAAAUUCAGGGUGACUGUCGCGUGAGCCAUGAUCUACAACACAAAUAUAUUCAAAGUGGACUUUAGACUAUGUUCAAGAUAAUUAGAGUUGAACUUAAUCAAAUUACUUGCUAAACUCCCACUCAAAAAUUACAUCUCUCUAGUCAUUUGAGUGGUUCAUGACCCACUUACACUAGCUCAAGUCCGAUCAUCACGUGAGCUGAGUAUAGUUUCAGUGGUAAGCAUCCCUAUGCUAAUCAUAUCAUCUAUAUGGUUCAUGAUCGACCUUUCGGUCUCAUGUGUUCCGAGGCCAUGUCUGCACAUGCUAGGCUCGUCAAGCUUAACCCGAGUGUUCCGCGUGUGCAACUGUUUUGCACCCGUUGUAUGUGAACGUUGAGUCUAUCACACCCNNNNNNNNNNNNNNNNNNNNNNNNNNNNNNNNNNNNNNNNNNNNNNNNNNNNNNNNNNNNNNNNNNNNNNNNNNNNNNNNNNNNNNNNNNNNNNNNNNNNNNNNNNNNNNNNNNNNNNNNNNNNNNNNNNNNNNNNNNNNNNNNNNNNNNNNNNNNNNNNNNNNNNNNNNNNNNNNNNNNNNNNNNNNNNNNNNNNNNNNNNNNNNNNNNNNNNNNNNNNNNNNNNNNNNNNNNNNNNNNNNNNNNNNNNNNNNNNNNNNNNNNNNNNNNNNNNNNNNNNNNNNNNNNNNNNNNNNNNNNNNNNNNNNNNNNNNNNNNNNNCGUUGAGUCUAUCACACCCAAUCAUCACGUGGUGUCUCGAAACGACGAACUGUAGCAACGGUGCACAGUCGGGGAGAACACAAUUUCGUCUUGAAAUUUUAGUGAGAGAUCACCUCAUAAUGCUACCGUCGUUCUAAGAAAAAUAAGGUGCAUAAAAGGAUUAACAUCACAUGCAAUUCAUAAGUGACAUGAUAUGGCCACCAUCACGUGCUCCUUGAUCUCCAUCACCAAAGCACCGACACGAUCUUCUUGUCACCGGCGCCACACCAUGAUCUCCAUCAACGUGUCGCGAUCGGGGUUGUCGUGCUACUCAUGCUAUUACUACUAAAGCUACAUCCUAGCAAAAUAGUAAACGCAUCUGCAAGCACAAACGUUAGUUUAAAGACAACCCUAUGGCUCCUGUCGGUUGCCGUACCAUCGAUGUGCAAGUCGAUAUUAUCUAUUACAACAUGAUCAUCUCAUACAUCCAAUAUAUCACAUCACAUCGUUGGCCAUAUCACAUCACAAGCAUACCCUGUAAAAACAAGUUAGACGUCCUCUAAUUUUGUUGUUGCAUGUUUUACGUGGUGACCAUGGGUAUCUAGUAGGAUCGCAUCUUACUUACGCAAACACCACAACGGAGAUAUAUGAAUUGCUAUUUAACCUUAUACAAGGACCUCCUCGGUCAAAUCCGAUUCAACUAAAGUUGGAGAAACCGACACUUGCCAGUCAUCUUGAGCAACGGGGUUACUCGUAGCGAUGAAACCAGUCUCUCGUAAGCGUACGAGUAAUGUCGGUCCAAGCCGCUUCAAUCCAACAAUACCGCGGAAUCAAGAAAAGACUAAGGAGGUCAGCAAAACGCACAUCACCGCCCACAAAAACUUUUGUGUUCUACUCGAGAAGACAUCUACGCAUGAACCUAGCUCAUGAUGCCACUGUUGGGGAACGUCGCAUGGGAAACAAAAAAUUUCCUACGCACACGAAGAUCUAUCAUGGUGAUGUCCAUCUACGAGAGGGGAUAUUUGAUCUACGUACCCUUGUAGAUCACACAGCAGAAGCGUUUAGUGAACGCGGUUGAUGUAGUGGAACGUCCUCACGUCCCUCGAUCCGCCCCGCGAACCGUCCCGCGAUCCGUCCCACGAUCUAGUGCCGAACGGACGGCACCUCCGCGUUCAGCACACGUACAACUCGACGAUGAUCUCGGCCUUCUUGAUCCAGCAAGAGAGACGGAGAGGUAGAUGAUUUCUCCGUCAGCGUGACGGUGCUCCGGAGGUUGGUGGUGAUCUAAUCUCGGCAGGGCUCCGCCCGAGUUCCGCAUAAACGCGAUCCUAGAGGAAAAACCGUGGAGGUAUGUGGUCGGGCUGCCGUGGCAAAGUUUUUCAAAUCAGCCCUAAAACCUCCGUAUAUAUAGGUGGGAGAGGGGGGACCUUGCCUUGAGGCUCAAGGAGCCCCAAGGGGGUCGGCCGAGCCAAGAGGGGGAAGUCCUCCCCUUCCAAACCGAAUCCAACUAGGUUUGGAAGGUGGAGUCCUUCUCCCCUUUCCCACCUCCUCUUUUUUUUUCUCUUUGAUUUUCUUCCUAUGGUGCAUAGGGCCUUCUUAGGCUGUCCCACCAGCCUACUAAGGGCUGGUGCGCCACCCCCAAGGCCUAUGGGCUUCCCCGGGGUGGGUUGCCCCCCCGGUGAACACCCGGAACCCAUUCGUCAUUGCUGGUACAUUCCCGGUAACUCCGAAAACCUUCCGGUAAUCAAAUGAGGUCAUCCUAUAUAUCAAUCUUCGUUUCCAGACCAUUCCGGACACGCGAUGCCGGCGGUGACCACACGCAGAGCGCGCCAAAUUGGUGCACCGUGGCCAGAGCCGUCGUUUGGUCACUUCGAGCAGGCCGAAGCUUGUCUUCGAGCACAGGGAAGCCCUCCACCGCACUCACGCGCCAUCGAGAACCCUCUAGCCCUCGCCAUGGACGCAUCUGCCGACCACCAGAGCACCGCCACCUCGCCAUGCCUCUCGGAGCUUCGGUCGCCGGCGAGAGAUGCCCAGAACCCUCCUCCCGAGCCUUUAAAUAGCCUCCCUGAGUCCCUCCUUUUCACCAGCAACCUCCUCGCCCCCUCCCUCGAGCCCCGGAGCUCCCUUCCCUCUCCAAUGGCCGAAGGCCGCUGCCGUUUCCCCUCAGCCUCCGCGACCAUUCUCUCUCUCCAGCCGUCCCCGGCUCCGUCCGAGCCCACCUAUGUACGCGUCAUGACCGAGGGACCUCGUCCCCACCUUCGCGUGCUCGUGAGGACUCCCCGGUCGCCAGAAUCCCGUCGGAGCCGAGCCGUCGUCGGCGCGUGCUGCUGCGCCACUGGGCCUCCCCACUGUCCGUGCGGCCCACCCCCAGAUGGGGAGCUCGCCGGUGCACCCGUCCAUGGCCUUGCCCCUGGCCGGAGUCCGCCCGAGUCUCAUGAGCCUGGCGCCGGCCACGCCGUGGCUCGCCUCCCCUGAUUCUAUUGAGAGAAAGAAGAAAGGGAGCAGGAGGAGAGAGAGAUGAGGGCCCGCGCGUCAGCCAGAGAGAGAGAGAGAGUCAACCCGAUCCAGUCACCUAAGUGGAGACCGAAUCCACUAUAAUACGUUUUCGUUGAAAGAAAGCGUAUUUCUGGACAAGGCGCCAGCGGCUGUGCUCACAGGGACCCGGUUAUAAAUAUUUUAAUUACACGAAGGUCCUUCUACUUCAAAGACCCAUAUCAUUUCGUCCAUAGCUCCGAUUGCGGUGAUUCCAACGCCCAUGUCUUCGCCUCGCCGAGCCCGUUCUGAUGGUAUCAUUUUCAUAAUGUUUACAAAUUAUGAAAAUGACCAUUUUGCCCUUGCCUCCAUUCAGCCCCUUCGAGAGAGAGCGGUAUCCGGCGUUCGUUUCCGCAGGCUUUCCGCACAUUUUCCCGGUGAUCCUUCACUACUAGGCAAGCCGACCAUCUGAUAUAUACCUUCAAGCUUUGAUCCGUGUUGUUCUUGCAUGUUUAAAUUAAAAUUCUUAUGUCUGAGUGCAUAGUAGUGUGUUGUAUGAGAUGCUGACGAACCCUUGCUCGGACCUUCUUUAAUGACGGCACCAUGCCUGAGUCUGAGCUUCUUUCGUCCGUCCGGGGUGGAUGUCGACUUUAUAUUUCUCUUGUCAGCAGCUCGCCCGUGUUCUAAGCUGCUUUUCGGCCGUUGCGGGCAGUUGUUGAAUUUCUUUUCGUAGCAGUGACCCUAUGCUCUGAGCUGUUCCUCGGCCGUCUUCGGGAACUGCUACAUUCUUCUUAUCAACACCGCCUCAUGCUCUGCGCUGCUUUCCAGCCGUCUUGAGCCGGGGUUGAGUUAUUUCGGUGAUGUCCCAGAUCUGUGUUGUAAAGACUGUUCUGGUUGGUACCGGUUUAUUUGCCAGUUUUAUACAAGGGUUACGAGGGUCUAAUUAUAGUUAGAACUUGUAAAGUAAUAACUUGCCAUUUACAUCCUGUCUUAUUAAUGACUCAUGAUAGGUUGUUGUACCGUUGCUAUCUCAUACAUCGUUAUCAUCAUGUUAAGUUAUAGUUGAUGAACAACCAUGCUUGAUAAAUAUGUUGUUAAAACCAAACGUAGUCAGUUGAUCUAGAGUCACCUGUCCGGGCUUACCCGUGCAACCACAUUUGCUGGUAUGGGACGGUCGUGACUUGGUCUGAUCGCAUGCUCUUUCACCGGUACCUCCAAAGAGGGAGGGUUAUGCACGUGUGCUACCCUGAUCAGGUAGGCGGUGAUAACCCUAUGAGCCAGUUGAGUUUGUUUGCACGCGGUCCCCGUUUGGGACACUUUUGUUUGGCCACGAUGGUGGCAGGUGUCAUGAGGACACAGGGGGCACCCAGGGCAGGACUCCGGGGGAGGAUGAAUGCUGAUGGUACGGUGGAAGAGUCACGGGUCAGGCAAUUUUCGUUGGAGCAACACUGGUCCACCCGAAUGGGAUUACGAGGUGAGUGCUCCAUGGUGUGGGUCAAGUGUGCAACCUCUGCAGAGUGUCAAAUCUAUUCGAAUAGCCGCGUCCAUGAUAUUGGACAGCCUGUCCAGACCUUAGUAGGUGGUCAACCGUAAUAAUGAUAAUAAUGAUGGAAGAACUAGUCUUGUGCAGACAUCCGAAGAUGUCAGGUAUAUGACAUGUUAGCCAUGGAUGGCUAUGAGAUGAGUGGUCGGAUGACCACAUGAAUUGGAUUGGAGUUGGAUCACAUUCAGAUUAGAUCAUGAGAGUAUUUGAAGUAUAAUUUAUUUUCUUAAUAUGCUUUACUGUAUUUAAUUUAGUAGUUAUCUUGCUGGAUAAUCCUAUUAUAUCAUGAUAUUUAAUCCUGCUAGAUAGGUAAGCUAUGCCAUGAUAAUUAAUAUGGCUCUAAUCACAAAUGCAUGCUUGAAUGCCAUGGAUUGCAAUGCUUAGUGUAUAUGUUAGUUUGGUUUGCUUGCAAGUACAUUCAAAAGUACUCAGCGGCUUUUAACAUGGCCAGGUUCAUAUAAGGAUCCGUCGUCUGUCGUCAAGGAGCCACAUCAUUUGCGGGCUAGGAGAGUAACCGAGUCAGAUCCGUGUGGAUUGGAGCUGCACCAGGACCAUGCUGCCUUAGAUAGAGCUUUUCCGCUGCCAUCACCCUUGUAGUAUAUCAUGUAAGACUAGUAUAUCCAUUAAUAGAAAUGCCUGUUUUCAUGAUACUUGUUGUAAACGUGCAUGUGAGAGUGAUUUCCUGGGCUGGUAUGCGCGGCGACCGUCUGGCUACAAUGAUAAUCAGGCGGGGUGCCACAACGAAGGGUAUCAGAGCAGCCAGGCUGACCAUAGGUUACCCUAGCCAGACUUCACUGUCUUGUGUUCAGUAGAAAGCCCAGAUGAAUUUCAGCCAUCUUUGCCACCUGGCACGGCUACUAUUGAUCAUAAGGCAACCCCAUAGGUUUUCGGCUCCACCGCACCCCAACUCUCGUGGCCCUUGCCCCGGUGUGAAAUGCUUGCACCCGACAACUACCCGUGAGCCCUGAAACCCCUAGGAAAACCCGAUAUCCUUACCCCUUCUUGCUAGCCAUGACAUUUCUCUUCUACUCUAGUUCCAUUUGGGAAACGCUUAUAAAUUCUAUCUCUCCUCGAUAACCUUAGGAACGUUGACUAAGCCACUUUGGCUAUGGUCCUGCGUCGAGUGUGAUGCUCCCUAAGGAAGUAGUAGGAGCUUGACAUCAGUACAACCAGGAGCAUUGUGUCAUUUCGCUUCUAAAUCCUUAGAGGUGCAUCGAGUGCGCUAUAAUAGUUAUACUAGUGGAUCCUUGGCCAUGUGUGUCAGGUCCGCAACACUUGAGCGUUAUUUGCUUUUUGGUUUUUCGUUGUUCUUGUUUCUUUUGUCGAUUCACUUUUUCCGCUCCGACUGGGUCCAUCUGCAAGAGUUGUCUAAGAAGGUCAGCAUACAACUUAGAUAAUACCAAAUAAUCCAAAUUCAGCAAGAGUCAAGCCAAGUAAACUGCCUGGUAUUCAGAAUAGCAGCACCGGAUAUGUGAGGAAUGAAGAAUGAGUCAAAGGCAGAAUAUAUGUGCAACAGACAAGGCCAGAAUAUACCUGAGAGAGUUUGCCUGAGAACAAAUCACGCCUAAGGAACAGGCAGAUGAGUUACCAAGAAUGAACAUCAGUAGGGACAAAUUAUUCAGUCCGCGAUACAAGGAUUAUUUCUGUCAGUAAGGUAAGCUGAGUCUUUACUCAAGGGACUCAAGAAUCAUUUAUUCCCCACCGAGGAGAUAUUCCAAGAAUGUGAAUGAGCCAAAAACAGCAACAAAACUCCGGUACGUUGGUACAAAUUUCAGAGCAUAUUUUGAAGUUCACCAAGUACAAAUACAAAGCUUUCUGGACACGGUGAACAAGGUUUGCAAGGAAUAUGGAUAGUUUGCGGUUGCCAAAAUCAAUGAUAACUUCACAUGCUUGGAAGCUCAGCUGAACCAAAUGGAAUUAUCUCCUAUUGGCAACACCUGGGUUGAAUACAAAGGGUAUUCUGAAUUAAUUGUCAACAUGAAGUCCACACUAGUUGUGCAACCUUUACAAGAACAAUGAGAAGACCAGCACAAGGACAAGCGAUGAGUGAUCAACGGAAAAACUCCAGUCAAGGUAUGGCCUAUAUCAAGUUUUGGCUCUGCUAUGGGUAAAAUUCCGGAUACCUCAGAAGGAAGCCAGAAUCAGCCAUAGAUCUGGCUACGUACCCAAGUCUGCCGGAAUAAGCAACCUAGCCUUCCUCCGCAAACUACUAAGAAGAGCUUACUGCCAAUCCUCCUCGGUACGCCAUUCGGUGAGAGAUCCUUCUCGGAUACGGCACUCCAAUCUUCCAUAGCGUGCUACCCUUGGAAAAUUUCCGAUAUAAGGAACCCGACCUUGGGCAGUAAGGCACAUGAAGGAAAACUUUUGAGGUAUGAUACCCACCCUUCUUCAGCACACUACCCCGGCAGAAGCUUUGAGCAGAAGGAAUUCAGCCUUCUUCAACAUGCCAUCGUGCCUGAAACAAGCUUGUGAGAAGUAAGAACUAGACAUAUUCGCCUCAGAACCCACUAGUUAUGAAAGGAUUUAUCCUACACCUGCAUAUGUUGCGAGCAUGCAGUCCAAUGGAUCAGUUCAUGCAAGCCACUCAUACACGGGAAUGACUGUGUCAAAGAAACAUCGGCCCGAUGUUAAAAGGAAGAAUUUGAGCAUAACAACCCCUACGAGAUAUGCAAGAUUAAGUUGUGAGAACAAGCCAACACACAGGAAAAACAAUCAAGGAAUAGUGUUGGGAGGACAUGAAAAGUACGUCAAAUGAACCUUCAAGAACCAAAGAAGUUGUGGACAAACAACCUCCGUGACGGUCAACAAGAUACAACUUCACAGACAGAGAGGUAUUACCAGUUCUUGUCAGGUUCUUGCAUAUGCGGCCACAACAAUGCCCUACCUAUAGCUACGAACAAUCUUGCCGCACUCAUCAUGAAUAUGGGCCAUCAACCUAGAUAAGAGGCUGUUGGGGCAUAGUUUAUGCCUAAGUAAUUUUGGUGAUUGAUGACAGUACCGUACAGGACUAACCGUGUGUGUUAAGGUUUCAGAUAACACACGUCAACGGCACAAGACGACACGUCUCCUCAUUCAUGGAACGGAAGCACGGCGCUCUCUAUGAUUCUAUUUAUUUGAGUCAUAGGAAAGCCGUACUAUUAAGAGGGGAUCCAUAGUGGAAAGGUUUGGGUGGAAUCUAUCUUUGCACGUGCACACUUCACAUUCUCCCUUUCCUUCAUCUUUCGAGCGGCCCCCGCCACUUUGGUUCUCGCUUCUUUGCAAAAUGGUCCCUAGCGGUAGUACCGCUGGCUCUAGCGGUAGUACCACUGGAUUGCUAGCGGUAGUACCGCUGCAGCCAGUGGUAGUACCGCUAGCUGGCGGUAGUACUGCCCCUAGUCAGCGGUAGUACCGCUCCAGGAGUUUUGUUCCACCUCCCUAGCGGUAGUUCGUGGACGGACUUUUUUGCGAAGACUUUCUUGGCGGUAGUAGUUCUUUUGCACUACCAGGGGGCCAGCGGUAGUACCGCUGGUGGCAGCGGUAGUACCGCAGGAGUCCCAGCGGUAGUACCGCGAGGCGGCGGUAUUACCGCCCCUGUUCAGCGGUAGUACCGCUGCAGCCAGCGGUAGUACCGCUGGAGCUCGGGCAGAGAGUGGGAAAACGGUCUGAUUUUUCCCCCCACUAUAUAAAGGGUUCUUCUAGCUGAGGAACCCUAUCUCUUACCUCUCUAAGCUCCAUUGUUGCGCCCCAAGCUCAAAAGUGCCCGAUCUCUCUCCCUAGCCAAUCAAACUUGUUGAUUCUUUAGGGAUUGGUUGAGGAGGCCUAGAUCCACACUUCCACCAAGAGAAAAGUUGAUUCCCCCACCAAUCCCUUGCGGAUCUUGUUACUCUUGGGUGUUUGAGCAUCCUAGACGGUUGAGGUCACCUCGAAGCCAUAUUCCAUUGUGGUGAAGCUUCGUGGUUUAGUUGGGAGCCUCCAAGCUUUGUGUGGAGUUGCCCCAACCUUGUUUGUAAAGGUUUGGUCGCCUCCUUCAAGGGCACCUAUAGUGGAAUCACGGUACCUUGCAUCGUGCGAGGGCGUGAGGAGAAUACGGUGGCCUUAGUGGUUUUUUGGGGAGCAUUGUGCCUCCACACCGCUCCAACGGAGACGUACUUCCUGUCAAAGGGAAGGAACUUCAGUAACACAUCCUCGUCUCCAUCGGUUCCACUUGUGGUUAUCUCUAUCCUUUACUUUGUAUUUGCUUAUGCUUGUGACUAUAUCUUACUUGCCUUAAUAGCUCUCGUUGUUAGCGUCUAUAGGGUUCACCUCAUUGUCGUAUUAAUUAUGAACCCGUAUGGUGUUUACCUUAACUUGCUAAGAUUAAUUAAAAAGUGGUCGUUGUCUAUUGACCCCCCCCUCUAGCCAACCAUAUCGAUCCUUUCAAUUGGUAUCAGAGCCACGUCUCUUUAUUAAGGUUUUAACCACCCGAAGAGUAUGGAAGGCGGAGAGGAAGUUAACCAUGGGCAACCCGAGGACAUGGACUUGACUUCGGUCACGAGGAACGACUUGAAUACGGCUAUGGCAGCCCUCAAGACGUCCUUGACGAGCGAAGUCAAAACCAUGCUUAAAUAGUUAAUUGAGGGUCUUAAAAGUUUAUCCGAACCGGCUUUAGUGGUUAAACCCACCUUCUCCGAUUUGGAGGCCAACUCCUCUAAGGAAGCGUCUAAAGGUAUGCGACCUGCUUCACCUCACGAAAAGGAUGGGACUGGAACAUAUGCCUCAGUUCCACCCCCCAUGGUCUAUGGAGGACCCGUUCCCGCACCUCGUCUUAAUCCUGUUGGUCCUCCUCCUAAGCUUGUGAAAGGUGACUUUGCUAACUGGGUAUUUUCUAUUAAGUCUCAUUUGAAUCACAGCUCAACAAACUUGUGGAGAAUUAUCGAGCAAGGAUAUUAUCCCCAUGACCCAAGCAACCUCACUCCAAGAGAAGAUGCAAAAAAUCAAUAUAAUCACUCUGCGUUGUUUAUUCUCGAGUCUGCUGUGCCACCUGAAGAUCUUCCCCACUUACGUCCCUUCACAUUGGCCAAGGAUUGUUGGGAGCAUAUUAUGGUGCUGUACAAGGGAAGCUCAAGUAUUCAACAAUCUAACUAUGAAGUGAUACUUGAUAAGGCCCAUGAGUUUCUGAUGAAGGAAGACGAGGAACCUCGUGAUCUCUAUCGGAGGGUGACUGCUAUUGCUGUGGCACUAAAGGAUCAUGGGAGUAAGGAUGUGGAUGAUACAUGGGUCAAGCGCAAGUUUCUCAAAGCCAUCAUGCCUUUCAACAAAGCCAUGUCAUCUGUCAUUCAUUAGCGGCCAGACUUCCACUCCUUGUCUUCUAGUGAAGUGUUGUAUGAGUUCAUUGCAAUGUCAAUCAUGAACGAAACAGCCGACAAUGCACUUGCUCGUGUUCGAUCAAAGAAAACUUCACCCAACCUUGCAUUGAAAGCAAGAGCAAUGCUUGAAGAAGAAGAAGAAGAUGAGGAAGAGGAGAUCUUCCCCGAAGACACAAAGUAUGCCUAUCAUGAGCACAUGGCUCUUGCAUCAAGGCAAUUCUGGGGCAAUAAAAGGAACUCAAGACCCACCUUCACCAAGAACAACUCGAGUGGAUUCAAACCCAAACAACGAGUAAGGACAUGUUAUAACUGUGGCAACGUGAGUCACUUCGUGGCAGAAUGUCCCUAUGAGAAAAGGGAAGACAACGGAGGCAAGCUCAUUCGUAGAGACAAAACCAAAUCAUUUCCAAUCAAGAACAACUUUGUGAAGAAACCUCACCCAAAAGGGAUGGUGGCCCUGGAAGAGUAUCCUUCCGAUGAUGAUGGUGAUGAUGAUGAUGCAGUGGCAACGGCAACUGUUGCUAUUGCCACUACCUCUUCCCAGAAGGUGUCUCUCUUCAACGCCCCCAACGAGAACCACAUCACCAAGUGCCUCAUGGCAAAAGUUAUCAAUCACGUAACUCCCAUCAUUAAGACCAACAUUGCUUCUGCUCCUUCAUUGUUAAAUUGUGUUGAAGAUAGUGAUGUUGGGGAACUUAAUGAGCAUGAUCUUGAUAAGUUUCUAUGCACUAUUAAGGGAGAACCCAAGAAGCACUUUGUUGCUCUCUUGGAACAACUGGGUGAGUCCACUGACCUCAUUGAGUCUCAUGAGGAGACCAUCUUCGAACUUCAGGGACAUAGUCGUGACUAUGCCGAUGAAAUUGCCGAAUUAUCUAGUGCUCUAGAAGAAGAGCGCACUCUUCGUUUGGCUCUUGAGGAGUCAUAUAAUGAUGACUGCGCUAAAAUGCAAAAGAAACUAGAUCAUGAUGUUGUUCUUACUCGCAUGCUUAAAUCUGAAAAGUAUGCUCUUGGGGUUGGCCAUGACAGACUCAAAGAGGAGUUUGACAUACUUGACAAGGCCCACAAAGCCUUGAAAGGUGCUCAUUUCUCUCUGAAAGAGUCUCAUGAUCAACUCCAAGCAAAGCUUACCAAGGAGAUCUCUACUUGUCCUCCCUUUGUGUUAAUUGAUAAUACUUGUGCAACUAACCCCUGUUGUGAGCAUGUUCAUCUUGUGGAGGAAAAUGCCAAGUUAAAGGAGAAACUUGAGAAGGGCCUUGUGGCAUGCAUACAAGGUAAGAAGAGUCUGAACAAUCUCUUGAGCACUCAAAAGGGUGUUGUAGGAAAGGAAGGACUUGGACUUACCUCCAAGUCAAAAGGUAAAAGGAAGAGCAAGAACAAACGAUCUCUCACCCUCAUGGACAUCUUUGUCAAAGAGGGUGAGGGGACUCAGAAGGUGAACAGGAACAAGGUGGACUGUGGGAACCCCAAGAAGGGCAAAACCAUUCCUACUAACACAGCCGGGAAACUCAAUUCUUCUUAUGUUUUGUGUUGUGCUAGUGAUGGGCAUGUUUAUGCCAGAUUUGUUGGUUCCUACGAUGAAGAUAUUGAAUGGGCUAUCUGGGUUCCUAAGACCCUUGUCUCUAACAUGAAAGGACCCAUUAAAAAAUGGGUACCUAAAACCAAGCCUUGAUCUAUUGGAGGAGUUUGCUUCCAGUGGGGUAUCAUGGUUGCUCGAUAGUGGAGCAACAAAUCAUAUGACCGGAAGAAAGGACUUAGUGGUGGAUGUGCAUCCUUCUCCAUCUAUGCCCACCCAUGUCCAAUUUGCCGAUGCAUCCUCUUCAAAGGUAUUGGGAUUUGGUAAGGUGGUCGUCUCUCAAGAUUUAUCUAUUGAGAAGGUCAUGCUUGUUGAGUCACUUGCCUACAAUUUACUUUCGGUUCGUCAACUUGCAAUUAUGGGUUUUUCCACAUUCUUUAAUAUUGACACUGUGGUCCUCCUAAGGAGCAAGACUCUUAAAGUAGCCUAUGUUGGACAUGUCGCAAAUGGUCUUUAUGUGGUGAACUUCUCAAAGUGACCCACUAAGACUGCGACAUGUUUAAUGGCUAAAGUUGACGUGGGCUGGCUUUGGCAUCGCCGUUUGGCUCAUGUCAAUAUGAGAUCUUUGCAAAGUCUUCUGACAGGGGACCAUGUUCGUGGACUAACAAAUGUGAGCUUUGCUAAAGAUCGUGUUUGCAGUGCUUGCAUUGAAGGAAAGAUUCAUGAAACUGCUCAUCGUCCAACGACUCUUAUCUACACUAAGAGGCCAUUGGAACUUCUCCAUAUGGAUCUGUUUGGUCCUCCAUCAUUUGAUAGUCUUGGAGGCAGAAAAUAUUGCUUAGUAAUUGUUGACGACUACUCAAGAUAUACCUGGGUAUAUUUCUUUAAAAGGAUGUCGGGACCCCGAUCCUAAACCAUAGGAAUCCAGCGUGUAACACAUCGCAUCCCUUUGCGGUCUCACGCACGGUUAACUCCACAGCUGCAGCCUUACCUUAGCCGGGACCGUUUGCGUCUUUUGACUCACGUAUGCAAUAGUGUCGCUAGCAUUCCAAAGUCAAAGAACCCGGAUCGACAUGUCUAGUCAUAAACCAAAGUGGCAGUACCGCACAAGGACAGUCAUACAUGACCCAACAAAGCAGGUGUCUGUCACCAGCGAGUGUAGACGAGUCGUAACAAGCUACAAGGACUCCAUUACAUCGUGUGACAUUUCCCCAAGAGGACAGACACAGCAGCUAAGAAGGACACAUGCCGGUCAACCAAUGUGUCCGGAGCAGUAGCGAGUUACCAAGGCUCGUUGGAUCACAAAGGGGCAUUUCCUUGUAAGGAAUGCUACUAAGGUUCACGACUAGGUAAUCGAACCCCAUACAUAUCAAGUACGACACACGUACGCAUGGCAUACCGAUAUGUAUAGAUACAUCGAUGGCAUCACAACAUAACCAUAAACAUACAAGCUUUAUUUAAGAGGCUCGGAAGAGCCACACACAUAAUAUUACACAUUAAGGGUCUCACGACCCAUAACAGCAGUCAUUCAGUUACAAUCCAGCGGAAGAGUUUAAACUGUCUGAGUACAGACAGGGCAACUAGAAGGCACAUGGCCUGACUAUACUACAGAUCCAACGUAGGGCCAGAUCGUAGCUGGGACACCAGCUACUCGUCGUCGUCGAUGUCUACGAAGAACCCUCCAUUAGGGUCAUUAGCAACCUCUGCAACAUUUAUUAAGCAAACAUGAGUACGAAUGUACUCAGCAAGACUUUAGGAUAACUAACUACUCAUGCAAGGUAUCAAAAAUGUAUUGUGGGGUUUCAUGCGGAAAGCCAGCAUCUGACUCGUGGCUAGACAACUUGCAUUUUAAAAAAUUUGACAACUUGAUUUCUCGUACACGAGUCCACUAACACCACAACAAUACACUAUCAUGGAAUCAUCCCGUCUCCAUACGGAAAUGCCGUCCAUGACACUCACGCUUAUCUUGGCAGUUUUAUGAGUAGCCAUUGAAGUUAUAUAUGAACAACAUAUGUCUCCAAGUAGUCCAUAUCCGCGGACGCGGCUAUUCGAAUAGAUCAUAACCCUGCAGGGGUGUACUUUGUCACACACGCUCUCGCCACUUAUCGCCAUGUGCACGUCAUGCACCUCGGCAACCUUCAAGCGGAAGCCCAGCGGGGAGUCGGCCACGACCGUUAACCACACUAGUACCUAGUCCAGGUUUAUCGCCUAUCUGAGAGUAACCCGUACGGAAGUCUGGCCGAGGUUUCCGCCACGACCUCAAACGAUGUGCGCAGGGUUCCCAAGCCCACCAUCCGGGUGCCACUUGGUACACCGUGCCACUGCCUACCGCAUCACGGCCCACCUCUCAGGUCAGCACCAUGCACGGCCUCCAGCAUUACUAUAAACACCAGAAACUACUUGCAACUCCUGGACCGAGUACUAAGCGAUUAAUAGGCCGAGCGGGGUCAUAUUUCAGGGCCCAGCAUGUGGUAGUAUCUAGUCUUGGAUUACAUACACGGAACUCAGUUCCUAUGGACGGUUCCAAUGAAACAACCCGCCAUGUACUCCUACACAGCCUUUCACCGAUACCUUUACCAAGUCAGGUUCAACACACAACCUUUGCUUACCGAACACAUUCUCACAAUUCUGUUCAUCUCCCAGAUGACAGACCAUACACAACUCUAAGCAUAGCAUGCAUAGCAGGAUAAGGCACAUCAUAGCUCAAGCAACUACCAGGUAUGCUAGGUUGCAAGGUUCGGCUAUUUACUGUGACAAGGUUAGGUCAUGCAAAGGAAGUGGGUUCAACUAACGUGGCAAAAGCAGUUGAAGCAUUUGAUCCUAAUACAAUAAAUAAGUGCAGGAGCAAGAUCAUGGGAAUUAUUGGGAUGAUCAAAAGGGUUGCUUGCCUUGUUGCUCAGAGGAGGGACAAUAUCCGUCAGACGGAUAUUCGGUGAAAUCCGGGGGUGCGGAGCCUACCGAAAAUGAAUGGCAACAAUCAAUAACAAUCAUAUGCAAGCAAGAUGAUGCAUGAGCAUGGCAUGAGAAUGCAAGGUGAUAAACUAUUAUAAUCAACAUGUAUUAGGUUUAGAGUUGAUUUGAAUCACAUUCGAAUAUCAAUUCAAACGAGGUAUUCUCGGAUACCGAUUUAAUUGAUUCGACCUGAUGCUCAGAUCAACUUGAUGUUAACAUGCACGAGAUGUCAUGUUAAGGUACUGAUUUGUAAUUAGGACAGUGUGUGAUCAUGUCAUUCAUAAUGAAAUUUGAAUAUUUUCCAAAUUCCAUUUAUAAAGUAAUUAUAAGAAUUGACUUAUUCAUUAAUCUACAUGUUUGGGUUCUGUAACUUUUUCAAACAUGCAUGAAAAUGCCAUAAUCAGAUUCCUUUGAUUUUUCUGAUACUUUUUCAUAUAUAAAUUAUUUUCAUCCGAGUUAUAUUUUAAUUUCUAUGAUUUUUACAAGUUUUAGUAAUUUCCUGGAUUUAUUUUAUAAAUAGAAAUACUAAUAUUGCAUCACUACUGACGUCAGCAGGUCAACUGCGCCUGGGCCAGGUCAAACCUGACCAGUGGGGUCCACUGGUCAGUGACCCAGGGGCUAACCCCGUGCUGACCAGCCCCUAAUUGGGGUUUGACCAGGCGUGGGGCCCUCUGGCAGUGACUGAGGGAAGGAUAAUUACGCCCUAAUGGUCGACCAAGCCCGCGACGGAGGGCUCGCCGGAGACGACCUAAACGGCGCUACACGGCACCAAAUCGAGCGUUGUUUGUAGCUACGGGACGCUGGCGAAGCAGCCGAUCUGGCAGGGGCAUCAGGAGAAGCUAGGGUCGCUGGGAGAGGCGCCGGCGACGAGCCGAAGCGGCGGCCGAAGCUCGGCCUUCCGCGGGUGAUGGCUCCAGGGCACGGGGAGGGCAGCUGAUGGGCUCAUCACAUUCCUGGCGGCUCCAGGAGCUCGAUCCCUAGCUCGAGCGCGUUGAAGAGACACCACAGCGACGGCGACGACAUGACCGGCGGCGAGGAGCUCUCGGCCUUGGUGGGGAACGGGGCUACGGUGCGCGGAAGAGCGUGGGGUGAGAGGGGAAAUGAUGACGAGCUCACGGCGGUACCGAUGGUGUUGUUGUAGGGCUCGGGGGUGCGCCAGAGGGAGCGAAUCGACGGAAGAGGUCCGACGGCCGGAGGUGGAGAAGAUGGCGGCGAGGCGAUGACAGGGGGCCUCCGGGCUUGAUUCCUUCUUCCAGGGGACGAGGAGGAGCACGGCGGGGCUUUGGGGCACAACAGCUGGGCUGGAGGGGGCUCGUGGCCACGGCUACGACGAUCGGCGGCGACAAGCAGGCUCGACCAUGGUGGGAGAGGGCGAGAGAGAGAUGGAGGGGAGCCAGAGAUGGGUGGAGAAGGGAGAGACGUGCACGGGGUACUCAUCCCCGCCAUCUACAUGGCUCGGGCAAGCAGGAGGUGGCCAGGGAACGUGGUCGCGCUCGCCGGCGCGUCGGCACGCAGCUGCUUCUCCUCCCGGCAGGAGGAAGAAGACAGCUGUGCCCCUGGUGGGCUGGGCCUGCACGGGCGACAGGUAAGAGUUUUCCAUUUUUUUCUGUUUUUGUUUCUGUUUUAGCUACUUCAAUAAUUUGCUAUUUAUUUCAGCUCCCAAAUAAUUUGUAAAAUUUAUUUGAGGCACCCUAGAAUAUUUGUUGGAAUAUUUCCAACCAUUCCUAAAGUUUUCAACAUUUUUGAAAGUUUAAAGUUUCUGAUUUCAAAUUUAAAAUUUGAAACCAGUAGCUUUUGCAUUAAUUUAAAAGCUUGAAGUGUCAAGAAAAAUGUUUUCUUCAUUGCUCAUUUACUUUCAUGAUUUAUCAGAAAGUUUGAACUUUUCUUGAGGCCAUUUUGGAUUCAUUGAUUUUAACUAGUUUGAGAUUUCCUUUAUUUAAAGUAGUGGCUAGGGUUUUGAGUUUUUCCUUUGCCACUUUCUUGUUCUUGUUGGAGAAUUUCUUAGAUGCAAUGCAAAGAAGACAUGAGCACAAGACUAACUUGCUUAAGGUGUCAGGGAUGUGACAAAGGAAGAGUGAAACUCAACAAACGGUCAUCAACUUUGCUAAUGAAGCGCAACGUCAACAUGAAGCAAAGAUCUUGAUGAUUAGGAGUGACAACGGCACCGAGUUCAAGAACUACACCUUAGAUGAGUUUCUAGGGGAUGAGGAAAUAAAGCACCAAUAUUUUGCACCAUAUACCCCUCAGCAAAACGGCGUGGCAGAAAGAAAGAACCAGACCUUGAUAGACGCUGCAAGGACAAUGAUGGCAGAAUUCAAAUCUCCAUAUAACUUCUGCGCAGAGGCCAUCAACACAGCAUGUCAUGCGUCCAAUCGGCUCUACAUCCGCAAAGACUUGAACAAGAUUCCGUAUGAGAUUCUAACUGGAAACAAACCCAAUCUCAAGUACUUCCGGGUAUUCGGUUGUAAGUGUUUCAUUCUCAAAAAAGGAGCACGGUUAGCUAAAUUUGAUUCUAGAGCACAUGAGGGUAUCUUUGUUGGUUAUGCUACAAACUCUCAUGCUUACCGUGUCCUCAACAAGUCCACCGGACUAAUUGAGGAGACGUGUAAGGUAGAGUUUGAUGAAAAUAAUGGCUCCCAAGUGGAGCAAAGUGGUCUUUGUGAUAUAGGUGAUGAAAUUCCUCCCGAAGCCAUAAGAAGAAUGGGGAUUGGUCAAAUACUCCCCAUUGAGGAACCCCUUGUGGCCGAAGGAGAAGGACAAUGCUCUACUCAAGUGGAGCUAUCACCCCCACAAGCCCCACACGCUUCCGAUGAACAAAGAGAAGACUCUCAACAAGUUGAACAAGCUCAAGGUCAAGAUCAAUUGCCUAACAAUGGUGAUGUGUCCCAUGAUAUUCGAGCACUACCCCAAGACUCCGAACCUGCUCAUGAUCAAGAUCAAGUGCAACCCCGAGAUCCAGACCAAGUAGAAGCACAAGAUCAAGAUCAAGAGCAACCACUAAUACAAGAUCAAACUAGUGAACCUGCUCAAGUCGAAGGACAAGAUGAUCAGGAGACUGUCUCACAAUUCCCUUCUGGAGCUCCAACAGCCGGCUCAAGACGCAAGGGCAAGCAAAGGAAACAAGUCGAUGCUCCCCUGUUAUCUAAUGAAGAACUCUUGGAGCGUCGAGCAGCCAAGAAUGCGAACAAACUGAGAGUCAAGUCACAUCUUAUGAAGAAUGUACUUGGCAGUUUAAAAAGGGGAGUAUCCACCCGUCAACAGCUUUGGAAUUAUUGUGAGAAUCACGCGUUUGUCUCGUAUUGUGAACCUCAAUAGGUACAGGAAGCGCUCGAUGAUGAGGAUUGGCUUAUGGCCAUGCAGGAAGAACUUAACAACUUCGAGCACAAUCAAGUCUGGGAUUUAGUGCCUCGGCCAACGGAGGAACAUAAUGUCAUCGGGACCAAAUGGAUAUUCAAGAACAAGCAAGAUGCCAAUGGAAUUGUGAUUCGAAACAAGGCAAGAUUGGUGGCUCAAGGCUACUCCCAAGUCGAGGGUAUCGACUACGGUGAAACCUUUGCCCCUGUUGCUCGUCUAGAAUCUAUUCGCAUGUUGCUUGCAUUUGCUUCUCAUCAUAACUUCAAAUUACAGCAAAUGGAUGUGAAAAGUGCAUUUCUUAAUGGUCCUUUGAAUGAGUUGGUCUAUGUCAAACAACCCCCGGGAUUCAAACAUCCCAAGCUCCCCAAUCAUGUGUACAAACUUAAUAAGGCACUCUAUGGCCUUAAACAAGCCCCACGCGCGUGGUAUGAGUAUCUUACUGAGUUGUUACAAGAUCGUGGGUUUGAAAUUGGGAAGAUAGAUCCCACUCUUUUUACUAAGAGGGUUAAAGGGGAUUUAUUCAUAUGCCAACUAUAUGUUGAUGAUAUUAUCUUUGGCUCUCCUAACAUUUCAUUCAAUGAAGAAUUUGCUGCACUAAUGACUGAGAAGUUUGAGAUGUCCAUGAUGGGAGAGUUGAAGUUCUUCCUCGGGUUCGAGAUUAGACAAGGUCUAGAAGGGACAUUCAUCAAACAAGCCAAGUACACUCAAGACAUGCUCAAACGGUUCGAGCUCGAAGAUGUCAAACCGGUCAAGUUCCCCAUGCCAACAAGAUGCAAGCUUGACAGUGAUCCCAAUGGUAAUGCAGUGGAUCAAAAGGUAUACCGCUCCAUGAUUGGAUCCCUCCUUUACCUUUGUGCAUCUAGACCGGAUAUUAUGUUGAGUGUAGGAAUAUGUGCACGGUUUCAAUCCGCACCAAAAGAAAGUCAUUACAUGGCUGUUAAGCGAAUCUUUCGAUAUUUGGCUCAUACCCCAAACUUUGGCCUCUGGUAUCCCAAAGGAGCAAACUUCAAUCUAGCUGGCUAUUCUGACUCAGAUUGGGUAGGAGAUUGUGUGGAGAGGAAGUCAACGUUUGGAGGAUGCCAAUUCCUUGGUCGCUCUUUGGUAAGUUGGUCUUCAAAGAAGCAGAAUUGCGUCUCCUUAUCAUCCACCGAAGCUGAGUAUGUGGCAGCUGCAAGUUGUUGUGCACAAUUGCUAUGGAUGAGGCAGACUUUAAAGGAUUAUGGUGUCACUUGUGACAAAGUGCCUCUUCUAUGUGACAAUCAAAGCGCUAUCAAGAUUUCCCUUAACCCAGUGCAACAUAGCAAAACCAAACAUAUUGAUAUUCGUCAUCACUUCAUUCGUGAACAUAUCAAGCUAGGUGAUAUUGAGGUUCGCUUCAUCCACACUGAAGAGCAACUUGCAGAUAUCUUCACUAAGCCUCUAGAUGAAGCAAGGUUCCGGGAGUUAAGGCAUGAGCUAAAUAUCAUUGAUUCAAGUAAUGUGGAUUGAAACUAGGCAUACUGCACCUCUCUUUGCAUUUCAUCUUGGUCUAGAUGUAGGCAUGGACAUAGGGGGAGUGUUGUUCUCUCAAUGAACUUUCCCUCCCCCCAUUAUGCAUAAAUCAAUCUAGUCUUUCACUUUAGCCAUUGUCAAAUGGCACUUGUGCUUUAAAGACGAGCAUUGGUCAUGAACCCAAGGUUAAUUCUUCGCGGUGUCAUACCAUUGUCUCAAACAUAGGUGGCCUCGGCCACCGUCCCCCCAUCCUUUCUUGCGUAUAGAAGAAAGGAUAUACAAUGACAAGUCAGUACUUUUUCCUAGAUGCUAUCUGUUUUUACUCACUUGUCAUGUGCCCAAGUUCAUCUCUUUUCCUUAGCCGCGUUGCGACAUUUACAGCGGUACUACCGCCACGGUAGCGGUACUACCGCCAGGACCCCAGCGGUACUACCGCCAGGGGUAGCGGUACUACCGCCAGGACCCCAGCGGUACUACCGCCAGGUAUGGCGGUACUACCGCUAGGAUUCCCAUCUAACACGACCGGCAAGGAAAUUUUUAGGGCUGCCUCAAGGGGGAGUGGUACUACCACCAGGGGGAGCGGUACUACCGCCAGGACCCCAGCGGUACUACCGCUGCAUCUGGCGGUACUACCGCUAGGCAGCGGUACUACCGCUAGGUCCUCAGCGGUACUACCGCUGGCCCGUACCCCUUGGGCUAUAUAAAGGACGGGGAGCCCAUUUUUCUCAGCCUGUUUCUUCUUCCUCGCGGCUCCUCCCUCCCCUAGCCCGAAAACUCUGUGUUUGGAUCUCGUUUCGUGGAGCUCCUUCUCCCCGUUGGUUUGGAAGGGUUGCUCCACCUCUCCUUCCUCCUCCAAGAGCCAUGAAUCCCGGUAAAGCUCCUCCCUUCUUCUAUUUGGUUGAUGUUCUUGUUCUAGGGAUAGGAGCAUUAGGGAUUGGAUCCUUAUCUUUGAUCUUAUGGCUAGUCUUGGAUGGCACGAAGGAGAUAUCUGAGGGGAGUAUAGGUCCUAUGGAUUGUUGUUGAUUAUGUUGCCAUGCCCUAGGAUUUACUUGUUUUAGAUCUAGCACUUGAACUAGGUUUGGAUUAGAUCUAAAACUUGCUCUCUCUUGCCUAGGCAUGUACUUAUUUCGGUGUUACUAGUGUUCCUCAUGUAAAGUAGGGCUGGGGUGGAGUUCUUAGUGUUCAUAUACAGCCCAUGCCCUCGUAACGAUCUUUAUCUGUCAGAUCUGAAAGUCAAACCCCAGCGGUACUACCGCCAGGGGUAGCGGUACCACCGCUAUAACCCCCAGCGGUACUACCGCCAGGGGUAGCGGUACCACCACUAUGACCCCCAGCGGUACUAUCGCCAGGGGUAGCGGUAGGACCGCUAGGCCCCAGCGGUACUACCGCCAGGGGUGGCGGUACUACCGCCAGGAGCAUUCACUGUAUAUUUUUUUGUGUUUUGUGCUUAGCAAUGAGUGUUUAUUUUUUCUGCGUUUUCAAGAUUCAUUGCCUUGACUCUUCUUGUCGCCUCUUUUCGCUGUGUGUUCUGUGUCACAGGUUGUUCUUCUCGUCGUUCGAACCCCCCACGGGACACGCAGUCAAAACAGUAUCGCAACCAAGAGGCGCCCGACGGGUCUGCCACCUCAGGUCUGCAACCCAAGAAGCAGUCCUUCAAGAAGGUCGCACACAAGGAUAAGAGGGUCAAUGUCCGAACGAUGUCCCCCAAGGACUUUCUGCAGUUUCGCACUUAGAACCACUAUCUCAACGAGAGGGCUGUGAUCAAGGAUGUUGACCAUGUCUGGGCAAGGGACCAGUGCAGGAUCUACCGUGAUGUUGUCGCGCAUUUCAAGAAAAACUAUGUCUCUGUUCAUUGGAUUGACCUGGCACAUCUUCAACGGAACAUGGACUAUUUUGGUGAUGCCCUCUCUCUGAUUGACAAACUGGGCAUCAAGGACAUCAUCACUUACAAGACAGAUUUUGAUCCCACUGCUGUUGCUCAGUUCUAUGUCACGGUCCACUUCUCUCCUGAUGCAGAGCGCUCCAUGGUGUGGAUGACUGGGUCAAAGAAGAUGACCGGUACCUGGCGUGAGUUCAUGCAAUUCCUCAACAUUGACUUCCAGGGAGCUGACACUCCUCUUGGGCUGUGUCCUCAUGCUGCAGCCCCCCCCGAUAGGCCCCCUGCAAACGACAGACUCCAAAAACUCUAUAUUAGGAAGGGGUGCUUCCCAAGCACCUGGACAUCAUGCACCGGAUCUUUCGCAACACCCUCUUCCCUCGAAGUGGUAACUUCGACGAGGUUCAUGGCUCCUUGGCUGAGAUGCUGCUGCUUUUUGAGGAGGCUAUGUCUCAGGAGUCUGCUCAGCUGGAUAUUUCUGAUGUGAUGUUCACGGAGCUCUGGAACUACAUCAUCAUGCGUAAGGUUCCCAUCUACGGGCCUUAUCUGUUCGCAUAUAUUCGCCAUAAGUGGCAAGAGGCUUUUUCGGAGGAGCUGCUCUAUGCUCAGUCUGACUACAUUGUGCACGAUCCAAUCAGGCUUCGCGUCAAAGACAAAUGGGCCAACCCAUUUACUUCCUCUCAGCACAUGGAUACUAACACAGAGACUGCUGCUGACAGAGGAACCGCCUCUCAGUCCCGCUCUUCUGCCAUGCCAUCUUGGGCCAUCAAACUGCAGGACAAGAUGAAGACUCUAUUCUGUAUGCAGGCUAAGGGUCUGUACUAGGCACACGUGGCUCAGAAGGAGAGCCGCCAGAGGCAUAAGCGCGUUCUCAGGACUCUUGAUGUGGACAUCUCCAGCGGAUCAGAGGACGACAUCACUCUAGAGGCUACUUGGAUGCAGGCUCAAGGAUACCAGUGGUCUGGCGAUGAGGCGGACGCGGAGGAGCAGGCCGAUCAGGAGGGGACCGAUGAGUCUGGCGAUGCUGAGGAUGAGGAGUAGCUACCUGUGACAUUAGGUGUGCCCCUUUUUGGUGUCUUGUGCCAAAGGGGGAGAGAGUCUAGGAGCUGGAUUUGCUUUCAUAUUCGUUCUUUGCGUUGCUUUGCUUUAUUUCGUGUGGUUUGCUUCGAACUUGGUUUGCUUCUAGUUUGCUAUCAUUUGUGAGACAUGAACUUAUGUGAGAGUCAUAUGCCCCGUAUUGUCAUAUAUCUCUAUCUUUUUGUUCUCAUAUUAUUCUCUGUGCAAAUCCGGUAUUGUCAUCAAUCCACCAAAAAGGGGGAGAUUGUUGGGGCAUAGUUUAUGCCUAAGUAAUUUUGGUGAUUGAUGGUAGUACCGUACAGGACUAACCAUGUGUGUUAAGAUUUCAGAUAACACACGUCAAUGGCACAAGACGACACGUCUCCUCAUUCAUGGAAUGGAAGCAUGGCGCUCUCUACGAUUCUCUUUAUUUGAGUCAUAGGAAAGCCGUACUAUUAAGAGGGGAUCCGUAGUGGAAAGGUUUGGGUGGAAUCUAUCUUUGCACGUGCACACUUCACAUUCUCCCUUUCCUUCAUCUUUGGAGCGGCCCCCGCCACUUUGGUUCUCGCUUCUUUGCAAAAUGGUCCCCAGCGGUAGUACCGCUACAGCCAGCGGUAGUACCGCUAGCUGGCGGUAGUACCGCUCCAGGAGUUUUGUUCCACCUGCCUAGCGGUAGUUCGUGGACGGACCUUUUUGCGAAGACUUUCUUGGCGGUAGUAGUGCUUUUGCACUACCAGGGGGCCAGCGGUAGUACCGCUGGUGGCAGCGGUAGUACCGCUGGAGUCCCAGCGGUAUUACCGCUGCAUCCAGCGGUAGUACCGCUGGAGCUCGGGCAAAGAGUGGGAAAACGGUCUGAUUUUCCCCCCACUAUAUAAAGGGUUCUUCUAGCUGAGGAACCCUAUCUCUUACCUCUCUAAGCUCCAUUGUUGCGCCCCAAGCUCAAAAGUGCCCGAUNAACCUUGUUUGUAAAGGUUCGGUCGCCGCCUUCAAGAUCACCUAUAGCGGAAUCACGGUACCUUGCAUCGUGCGAGGGCGUGAGGAGAAUACGGUGGCCUUAGUGGCUUUUUGGGGAGCAUUGUGCCUCCACACCGCUCCAACGGAGACGUACUUCAUGUCAAAGGGAAGGAACUUCGGUAACACAUCCUCGUCUCCAUCGGUUCCACUUGUGGUUAUCUCUAUCCUUUACUUUGUAUUUGCUUAUGCUUGUGACUAUAUCUUACUUGCCUUAAUAGAUCUCGUUGUUAGCGUCUAUAGGGUUCACCUCAUUGUCGUAUUAAUUGUGAACCCGUAUGGUGUUUACCUUAACUUGCUAAGAUUAAUUAAAAAGUGGUCGUUGUCUAUUCACCCCCCCCCCUCUAGCCAACCAUAUCGAUCCUUUCAGAGGCUAUGCCCUGAAAGAUACACCAAAUGAUAGCCAUAAUAUGCUCAGCUCAAUGAUCACAACAAGGACUACAGAGGCUAUAUAUACGAACAGAGCCAUCUCUACGAGCGAUAGAGUUUGAAACAAGAUAGAAUGGCUCAAGGUACAUCAGCAUCAACAUCUCGUAGACAUCAUGACAUCAUUGGAAUAGGAGAUUACUGCCUAUGAUUAUUUUGUGAUCAUGCCCGACACUCCAGUUCUCGGUCUUGUUGUUCCUGGAAUCAUGGAACACCUAGGACAAGGUUAGAAUGCCUAAGGCAGAGAGAAACAUCAACAUGGAACCCACAACUAGACUGGACAUUGUGACAUGGCUAAAGGGAAAGCCACUCCCAUUCACUCGAGGGCAGACGAGCAUGUGACCCUUGUACUAGGAAAGGAUGUAUUACCCAUGACAGUUAGGGUACAAAGCAUUACAAUAAAGCCCAAAGCAGAUACUUUCAGGCCCUGGAAACUAAGAAGUUUGUUGGUACUACCUGCUACCCCACCCCGCAACACCACUAUCAGAAUAAAGGGUACACCUGACAGGAAAGAGAAGGAUUCAAGAAAGAUAUGUGCAUAGACAACACCUGGUCCCUCCGAAGAGAGAGUUGAAGGGUCAGAGAACGAACAUAGACAAGACAACUGAUGGAUCCAAGUCGCACACAGGUAAGUUCCCCUUCCUCGGGAGGUAAGCUUGGAAAUCUCGAGGACGAUAUUUUCUUAAGGGGGUUAGGUUUGUAACACCCUCGUUUUCGCUCCUCGUUUUUUUCCUUUGCGGGAUUUGACUCCCGUCUUUUUCUCGGUGUUAUCGGAUUUCUCUAGCUCUUGGGUAUGCGAAGAUGGUCAUCUAGCCUUGCCUUCCUAUUCAACCAAAGAUUUUCUCCAGACCAACUUUGAUACCCAAAACCUAUUCUUAGGGUUUUGCUGUCAAAACCCUACCUUCCGAGUUAUCGGAAUGGAAACCCUAAGCCCUCCAGUUACAAAGGAACCCCAAUUUCCUUUGAUCUUUUGACUCCGAAACUUCUCCCAGAGACCAUCCCUUAUCUUUAAACCGUGGAUAUGUAAAAAUAUUGCCAAGUCAUUUGCAAUAUUUUUCAUGUAUAAUUAAUUCCUUGUUCUGUUAGUUGAAGGUAUUAAAUCCAGGAAAAUAUCUAUCCAUCUCCAAAGUUCAUGAAAACUUGUGGAGAUACUCUUUGUGAUCAUAUUGAGCUCCCAUAAAAUAUUGUUCAUUAUUAAAGGGGGAAAAUUGCAUUUUCCUAUUUAAAGCCAAUAUUGCAUUUUGGGCAAUUUCUAAAGGGACUACCAUUUUGGUAGCCAGGAAAAUCCCCAAAUAAAUAGUAGAGCUUCUCCUAUCCAUAUACUCCCCAUUCCCAUCAAUAUCCCAAGUUUCAUAGUUCAAAUUUUGAGCACAACAUCCCUUUGCAAAUUCUAUCCAGAUUUCCUGUUUGCAAAGGAAGUUCUUGAUUCCUUGAUCUCCUUGGGCUUAAAUUUUUUAGGGUGAUAGACUAUGAUAUAUUACUCUUGGACACCAAAAAUUAGCCCAUUCCCACUAGCCAAUCUUCCUGAGAAAAUUAUUCAAGUUUCUGUCCAAGUUGGAGCACUGUGAAGGAAGUACCAUUUCUACUUAUGCAAAUGGUAUGAAAUUUUUACAGUCACUUCAUAUGCCUAAAUCAUUGCUCACCACCAAAUUUGAGCCAAAUCCAUGCAACCAUUUGACCCCAGCUUCGCCAUCUUUAUUUUGUCCAGUAUGGUGGUUUGUACAACAAGUGCUUUCUACAAUCCUCCAUUUGGUUUGAAACUUGGUCACAAUACUCAUCUUAGUGUAAGUCAUAGCAAGGCAAAUCUCAGCAUCAAUCACCAGCUCAAUCUCCCCCACCCCACUCCAAAUACCUUGUUGUUACUUGCCUUCUCACGUCCAAUAACUCAAACAUGUCUCCAUUUCCCUCCAAACCUCUACAGGUCAACUCCAGAGACUUUCGUGCAUCUAUGUGACAUGUCUUGGAGUCAAAUGGGCGCUCUGGACAUGCGAUGUCGGCGGUGACCACACGAAGAGCACGCCAAAUUGGUGCACUGUGGCCACAACCAUUGUUUGAUCACUUCCAGCAGGUCGAAGCUUGUCUUCGAGCUCAGGGAAGCCUUCCACCGCACUCGUGCGCCAUCCAGAACCCUCUGGCCCUUGCCAUGGACGCAUCUGCCGACCACCGGAGAGCCGCCACCUCGCCAUGCCUCUCGGAGCUUCGGUUGCCGGCUAGAGACGCGCAGAACCCUCCUCCCGAGACUUUAAAUAGCCUCCCCGAGCCCCUCCUCUUCACCAGCAACCUCCUCGCCCCCUCCCUCGAGCCCUGGAGCUCCCUUCCCUCUCCAAUGGACGAAGGUCGCCACCGUUUCCCGUCGGCCUCUGCGGCCAUUCUCUCCCCGGCCGUCCUUGGCUCCGUCCGAGCCCACCUAUGGACGCGCCAUGACCUAGGGACCUCGUCCCGACCUUCACCUGCUCCCGAGGACUCCCCGGUUGCCGGAAUCCCGCUAGAGUCGAGUCGUGGUCGCCGCGUGCUCUUGCGCCACCGGGCCUCCCCCAUUGCCCGUGCGACCCACCCCGAGAUGGGGAGCUCGCCGGUGCACCCGCCCAUGGCCUCGCCCUGGCCGGAGUCCGCCCGAGUCGCCGGAGCCCAGCGCCGGCCGCGCCGUUGUUUGCCUCCCCUUCUUUUGUCAAGAGAAAGACUAAAGGGAGCGGGAGGAGAGAGAUAGAUGAGGCAGGGCCCGCACGUCAGCUAGAGAGAGAGAGAGAGAGUCAACCCGGUCGAGUCAGCUAAGUGGAAACGGAAUCCACUAUAAUACAUUUUCGUUGAAAGAAAACAUAUUUCUGAAGAAGGCGCCAAGGGCUGUGCUCUUAGGGACCCAAUUGUAAAUAUUUUAAUUACAGGAAGGUCCUUCUACUUCAAAGACCCAUAUCUUUUCGUUCGUAGCUCCGAUUGAGGUGAUUCCAACCCCCACGUCUUCGCCUCGUCGAGCCCGUUCCGAUGGUUUAAUUUUCAUAAUGUUUACACAAUUUGAAAAUGACCAUUUUGCCCCUGCCUCCAUUCAGCCCCUUCGAGAGACAGCGGUAUCCGGCGUUCUUUUCCGCGGGCUUUCGCACAUUCUCCUGAUGGAUCCUUCACUACCAGGCAAGCCGACCAUCUGAUAUAUACCCUCAAGCUGCUUUUCGGCCGUCGCGGGCAGCUGUUGAAUUUAUUUUCGUAGCAGUGACCCUAUGCUCUGAGUUGUUCCUCGGCUGUGUCAGGGAACUGCUACAUUCUUCUUAUCAACACCGCCUCAUGUUGUGCGUUGCUUUCUAGUCGUCUUGAGCCGGGGUUGAGUUAUUCCGGUAAUGUCCCAGAUCUGUGUUGUAAACACCGUUCUGGUGGCUACUGGUUUAUUUGCCAGUUUUAUACAAGGAUUCCGAGGGUCUAAUUUAGAGUUAGAACUUGUAAAGUAAUAACUUGCCAUUUACAUCCUGUCUUAUUAAUGACUCAUGAUAGGUAGUUGUACCGUUGCUAUCUCAUACAUUGUUACCAUCAUGUUAAGUUAUUGUUGAUGAACAACCAUGCUUGAUGAACAACCAUGCUUGAUAAAUAUGCUUAUUAAAGACAAAGCCAAGCCCUUCCGCAACAAGAACAACUUCUUCAAGAAAAAGCCCCAAAAGGUGUUGAUGGCUCAAGAGGAGUACCUCUCCGAUGAGGAUGAGGAUGAUGAUGCAAGUGGUGAAGUCAUGGGGAUGGCCACCGUGGCCAUUGCAUCCUCUUCGCCAAUCAAGGUGUCCCUCUUCAACUCCCCCAAUGAAAACUGCAUUGCCAAGUGCCUUACGGCCAAGACAUGCAAUAACAUCCAACAACAAAACUUCCAAUCUCAAUGCCACCAUUUCCACUACGUGUGUUAGUGGUGGUGAAAAGGAAGAGGUAGAGGAGGAGGAAAACUCCUUUGAUAAAUUCAUGAGAAAACUCAAGGGUAAAUCCUAGAAGCAUUUUGUUGCUCUCUUGGAACAACNNNNNNNNNNNNNNNNNNNNNNNNNNNNNNNNNNNNNNNNNNNNNNNNNNNNNNNNNNNNNNNNNNNNNNNNNNNNNNNNNNNNNNNNNNNNNNNNNNNNNNNNNNNNNNNNNNNNNNNNNNNNNNNNNNNNNNNNNNNNNNNNNNNNNNNNNNNNNNNNNNNNNNNNNNNNNNNNNNNNNNNNNNNNNNNNNNNNNNNNNNNNNNNNNNNNNNNNNNNNNNNNNNNNNNNNNNNNNNNNNNNNNNNNNNNNNNNNNNNNNNNNNNNNNNNNNNNNNNNNNNNNNNNNNNNNNNNNNNNNNNNNNNNNNNNNNNNNNNNNNNNNNNNNNNNNNNNNNNNNNNNNNNNNNNNNNNNNNNNNNNNNNNNNNNNNNNNNNNNNNNNNNNNNNNNNNNNNNNNNNNNNNGGUCAUAGUCGUGACUAUGGCGAUGAGAUUGCGGAUCUUUCUAUUGAUCUUGAAGAAGACCAAGGACUUCGUUUGACUCUUGAGGAGUCACAUAACAAUGACAUUGCUAAGUUAAAGAAAGAUCUUAAUCAUGCUCUUGUUCUUACCCAUGUGCUUCAAUCCGAAAAGAGUGCACUUGGGCUUGAUCAUGUUAGGCUCAAGGAAGAUCUUGCAACACUUGACAAGGCUCACAAGGCCCUGAAGAGUUCUCACGUCUCUUUAAAAGAGUCUUAUGCUCAACUCCAAGUAAAACUCACUAAGUAAAUAGCCACUUUCUCUCCAUUUGUUUUAAUUGAUAAUGUCCAUUCUAAUAACCCCUCUUGUGAGCAUGCACAUCUUGUGGAGGAGAACUACAAAUUAAAAGAGCAGCUUGAGAAAGGCCUUGUGACAUGCAUCCAAGGUGAAAAGAAUCUUAAUGACCUUUUGAGCAGUCAAAAAGAAGUGGUUGCAAAGGAAGGUGAAAGAAUAUGGAUGUCCCCUAGAGGGGGGGGGGNNNNNNNNNNNNNNNNNNNNNNNNNNNNNNNNNNNNNNNNNNNNNNNNNNNNNNNNNNNNNNNNNNNNNNNNNNNNNNNNNNNNNNNNNNNNNNNNNNNNNNNNNNNNNNNNNNNNNNNNNNNNNNNNNNNNNNNNNNNNNNNNNNNNNNNNNNNNNNNNNNNNNNNNNNNNNNNNNNNNNNNNNNNNNNNNNNNNNNNNNNNNNNNNNNNNNNNNNNNNNNNNNNNNNNNNNNNNNNNNNNNNNNNNNNNNNNNNNNNNNNNNNNNNNNNNNNNNNNNNNNNNNNNNNNNNNNNNNNNNNNNNNNNNNNNNNNNNNNNNNNNNNNNNNNNNNNNNNNNNNNNNNNNNNNCUAGAGGGGGGGGGGUGAAUAGGCGCUUUAAAAUAAUUAUGAUUUAGGCUUGAACAAAUGCGGAAUAAAACUAACGUUUAUUUUGUCAAGCCCAAAACCUAAAACAACCAGGCCCACCUAUGUGAACCAACAACUUAUGCUAAGCAAGAUACACAACUAAGUGAUAGCAAGAUAUAUGACACGAAACAAUAUGGCUAUCACAAAGUAAAGUGCAUAAGUAAAGGGUUCGGGUAAGAGAUAACCGAGGCACGUGGAGACGACGAUGUAUCCCGAAGUUCACACCCUUGCGGAUGCUAAUCUCCGUUUGGAGCGGCGUGGAGGCACAAUGCUCCCCAAGAUGCCACUAAGGCCACCGUAAUCUCCUCACGCCCUCGCACAAUGCAAGAUGUCGUGAUUCCACUAAGGGACAGUUGAGGGAGGUCACCGAACCCGUACAAACAAGGUUGGGGAAAUCUCCACAACUUAAUUGGAGGCUCCCAACAACACCACGAAGCUUCACCACAAUAACAUAUGGCUUCGAGGGGACCACAAAUGCUCGGGGAAAUCUCCACAACUUAAUUGGAGACUCCAACGCUUGCCCGAAGCUUUACACCACAAUGAUUGAGCUCUGAGGCACCACCAAGCUUCUUGGAUGCCAAAGCAUCCACGAAGAACAAUCUCUAGAGGUACCAAGUACCCAAGGGUAAUAAGCUUCUCAACUUCUCACUUCCAUGUAUCACCAUGGAGAACUCAAACCGAUGCAACUAAUGCAAUGGCAAGAACACACGAGGUGGUCAAGUCCCUCACACUCAAAUCACAACAACAAAGGCUAUGGAGAAAUAUGAUAGGAAGAACAAGGAGAUCACAAAGAAUCCCAAGAUCAAGAUCCAAGGGGUUCCCCUCACAUAGAGGAGAAAGUGAUUGGUGGAGAUGUGGAUCUAGAUCUCCUCUCUAUUUUCCCUCAAGAACUUGCAAUAAUCAUUGGAGGGAUUGAGAGUUAGCAAUCUCUAAGAAGUUCAACAAUGGGGGAAGAACACGAGCUCAACGGAUAGAUUAGGUCCAAUGGGGAAGAAGACCCACUUUAUAUAGUGGGGGAAAGAAUCCAACCGUUACCCCCACUCAUAGCCCGAGCGGAGCGGUACUACCACUGCUAGAAAGUCCGAGGGAGCGGUACUACCGCCAGAGAGCGGUAGUAAAAAACUACUACCGCUCCAAGAGCUGUACUACCACUCCAAGAGCGGUACUACCGCUGGCACCACGAGUCGUAAUACCGCUGGAUACUGAAACUGCCAUAACUUUCGCAUACGAGCUCCGAAUCGAGCAAACUCAAGCUUGUUGGAUUGAGGACGACAAGAGCUAUCAAAUACUAUCUUAAGAACAUGCAGUUGUGAAAAUGCCAAAGAUAUAGAGAUGUGAGAUCUCUAUGAAUGAAGAACCGACAAAAACUUCCAACAUUGAAAACAUCAUAGAAAAUGCAUAUGGACUCCAAACAAGAACCAACUCGAGCUUGUCAUAAGGAUGACCGUAAGGUCUACAACUCACACAGAGAAACACCAAACAAGAACCAGGAAAGAUGAUGCAAGGAUACAAAUGGUUUGAGCUCUCAACGAAUGAUACGAUCAAGCUACUCACUUGAGAGCCCCCCUUGAUAGUACGGUAAUCUAUCCUAUAAUAGAAAAACCUAUCAAGGGCAAACUUGUACCUUGCACCUAGUCCUCUUGAGCUAGAUGACGAUGAUCUUGGCUUCCUCAAGAUGGACCACCUUUCUUGAUUGCGUUGGUUUGACGAAGACUAGUUGAUUGCUCCCCCAUAUUCACUAUGGGUGAGCCACUCUUUGGCACAUCUUCACAAAUCCAUUACCACCACAAUGGACGACAAGCUUCAAGCAUGAUAUCUUCAUGAUGAUCAACUUGAACUUGCACACCGCAAUCUUGAUGAUGAUCACCACUUGAUAUCACACGAUCACCACUUGAUGUCAUCCUUCAUAGGUUGAAUGAGAUCUCCCUCUUGACGCAAACCUAUGGAAACAUACCUAACCACACAUAGAACUCUGAUGAAGACCAUGGAUUAGUACAUAAAAUCAUUAUGGACAAUGCUUAACAUACCAUGGGAUCACUUGACCCUUCUCACUACAUCUUAUACGCUUUGUGUGUUGAUCAUCAUGAUUUACUAUUUGCUUAGUCUGGAUCAACCUUGUGUCUUUACGACCAGUCUUUGGAUAAUACUUUGAAUACCACCUUGGUCAUCAUAUAAACUCCUUGAAACCAACAUAUGGACUUCAAGAAGUGCCUAUGGAAAAAUCCUUCGAAUAUAGCUUAAGGAAACAAUAGUCCAUAGGGAUUGUCAUCAAUUACCAAAACCACAUAUGGAGAAAUAUGCUCUAACAGAAGGAGUUGGGUUUGCACCCAAGUCCAAGAAGAACAAGAAGAAGAAGACCAAGAAACCUCCCCAGCUUAUGGAAACCUUUGUUAAAUCUGGGGAGGGUACUCAUGAGAAGAAAAAAGACCAAGCUAAAGGUGGUAAUGCCAUGAAGGGUGAUGUCUACGCAUGCUUCUAUUCUUGUAGACUCUAUUGGGCCUCCAAGCGCAGAGGUUUGUAGGACAACAACAAUUUCCCUCAAGUGGAUGACCUAAGGUUUAUUGAACUCAGGGAAGUAGAGGUUGAAGAUGGUCUCUCUCAAGCAACCCUGCAAUUAAGAAACAAGAAGUCUCUUGUGUCCCCAACACACCUAAUACAAUGGUAAAUUGUAAAGGUGCACUAGUUUAGUGAAGAGAUGGUAAAAUAUGGGUGAUAGGUGUGGCAAAGCAAGGUAAUAUAAAUCCGUAAUAAAAAUUAUAGCAAGGUAGCAAGUGACAAAAGUGAGCAUAAACGGUGUAACAAUGGUGAGAAACAAGGCCUAGGCUUCAUACUUUCACUAGUGGCAACUCCCAACAACAUUAACAUAGUCUAAUCACAUGAUAUUUCCACUAAAACAUGCAAUGGAGACGUACUCGGAGGUCAUUCCUUUGUGAUCAAGAGAGGACGAGAAUUAUGUAGGGCUACAAAACCACACCUCGGAGUUUGUAGUUCUCAUCUAUGGAUUUCCCAAUGUCACCGCGGCCAUCCAAAGAGAGUACCACAAUCACCACAACGUAUCUCAAUGAUAGUCAAAGACAAGCACCAAGAGACUCUCAAUCUUCAAUCAAUUCACAAAAGAGGAAAUCACUCAUGAAAAUAUUCUUCUAAUCCAUGUCCAAUAGACCGCUGUCACCAUGGUCUCGAGGAUUAUACUAGAUAAGAUCAAGUGAGUACAUCAAUCCAAUACAUAGAAGAAGGGGAAACAUCAUGGGAUCACCCUAGAUUAACAUAGCCUAUGAUCACAAUCAAGAUCACAUCAUGGGCGAGAGAAUUAACCAAAUAGCUAUUGUAGAAGACCUCAGCCCCGAGGAGGAACUACUCCCGCUUCAUUGAGAGAGGAAGCAACGUCGAUGGAGAAGAAUCUGGGGCACUUCCCCGUCCCGGCAGGGUGCCGACACAGGAAUUCUGGUCCCUCGAAACUUGUUGGCGAUGACGGCAGAGAUCGGAAUUGCUUCUAGAGAAAAGGGUUCCGGAAUCAGGGUUUCCUAUCGAAGAGGUAAAUAUAGGCCGAAGGAGGGCACCAGAGGGGGUGGGCCCCACCCAAGCGGCCCGGUGGCGCGGUCAGGAGGGGGGCCGCGCAGGGUGGCCGCCUGGGCGAGUCCUGGCUCCCCUCUGGCCCUACUUGGUGCUUCGUGAAGCUUCCGUCACGCUGAUUUUUAUAUAUUUUUCUCGGAAUUUUUGGGACUGUGUAAAUUGGGGUAAAAGUCCCUACAAAAAAUACAUCAGCAGACAGAAACUAGAACUGGGUGCACUGAGUUAGUAGGUUAGUCCAAAUAUGUGUAAAAAGGUAAUAAAGUAUAGCAAAUCAUAUAACAAUGUCACCCAAAAGAGCAUGUAAUAAACAUAAAUUAUAGAUACAUUUGGGACGUAUCAACAUCCCCAAGCAUAAUUCCUGCUCGUCCUCGAGUAGGUAAAUGAUAACACAAAUAAUUUCUAUGGUGACAUGCUAACACACAUAUAAGAACUUCAAAGUAAAGCAAGUAACAUAUGCAAUUCAAGUCAAGACAAUAACAAGCAAGAAUCUAUAUCUAGUAUUGAAAAUAGCAAAGUAAGAACAUAAAGGUGCAAGAGCUCUCGCUAUCCGUGACUCGAAUGUCUGCAAAUGGUGUUUGCGUGCAAGAAGUGGGAGAUGGGUUUAGAGAAUAACAAAUAUUAUAUAGUUUAAUUGAGAACUCAACCUACUAAACUUCACACUUGGUCUCCUUCAAAAUCUUAUUUUGACUCAUCCCAGACCACUAGUCAGGCACAAGUCAAAAUGAUCCUCUUCCUUUCGAAUUUGAGCACUCAUGCAAUGGAUGAGCGCGAGAAAGAGAUGUUGGCACUUAGCAUGGCAAAAAUAAUAGUGAAGGGGAAGGAAGAGAAAAAAGGUGUGAAAGGCUCACAUCAAUGAGGGCAAUCAUAGGCGAGAGAAAGCCAAACGAUAGAUAUGAUGUGAGGAGUAAGGAUUGCCAUGGAACGAAUGCACUUAUGAGCUAAGGUAAGCUCUCCAAUGGAACUAGUGGGGGUGCAUCCAACUUGUUUGCUCAUGAAGACCUAGAGCUCAUUUGAGGAGGCUCAUCAUUGGAAUAUACAAGCAAACUUCUAUAGUGUAAAGGUCCCCACAUAGUUAUGCAUGAAUGAUAAUCUCUAUGGAGUACAAUAUAACAAUGGAGUACGAGUGUGGAUCUUUCAACAUGAAUAGUAGUGUUGGCCCCUUCUCUCUUUUUUAUAUUUUUUUGUGGCCUCUUUGGCUCUUUCUAUUUAUCUCUCAUUUGUCCUCUUUGGGAUCUUUUCAUGUGUCCUCUUUUGGGAUCUUUUAGUUUGUCCUCUUUGGGAUCUUUUACUCACUUAAGGGCAACAUUUUAUAUUCUACAAGAAUAAAAAGAAGAUAAUCACACUUUAUAAGAAGUACUCAACAUAAAGACAAAUGAAAACUAUCAUGAUGUAUGCAAAUGCAUGUCUCUAAGAGUGUAAGAGGAUAUGCAAUGAAAGUAGCGCGUCAUGUAGCAAUAAUAAGGGCAAGGCCCAACUAGCAUGCGACUCCUCGAUCAAGAAAAAGCAUGUAUGACAUGAAGAUCAAGUCAUGAGAUGGUGGAUGUUGCAUGGCAAUGUAUCUCGGAAAGGCUAUGGAAAUGCCUUAAUAGGUAUGUAUUGUUGGGGAACGUUGCAUGGGAAACAAAAAAUUCCUACACCCACGAAGACCUAUCAUGGUGAUGUCCAUCUACGAGUGGAGAUUAGAUCUACGUACCCUUGUAGAUCGCACAACGGGAAGCAUUAAGAAACAUGGUUGAUGUAGUGGAACGUCUUCACGUCCCUCGAACCGUCCUACGAACCGUCCCGCGAUCCGUCCCAUGAUCCGUUCCGAUCUAGCGCCGAAUGGACCGCACCUCCGCAUUCAACACACGUACAACUCGACGAUGAUCUCGGCCUUCUUGAUAUAGCAAGAAAGACGGAGAAGUAGAUGAGUUCUCCGGCAGCGUGACGGUGCUCCGGUGGUGGUGACGAUCUACUCCUGCAGGGCUCCGCCCAAGCUCCGCAGAAAUCCGAUCUAGAGGUAAAACUAUGUGGAAUAGGCUAGAGUUGCACGUGGCAAAGUUGUGUCUCAAACCACCACUAUAUAUAGGAGGAAGGGGGAGGGGCUAGCCUUGAGGCACAAGGCCUCAAGGUGCGCCGGCCGCCAGGAGGAGGAGGACUACUCCUCCAAUUCGGUUUGGGAAGGAGGAGUCCUCCUCUUCCUUUCCACCUCCCUCUUUUCUUUUUUUCUCUUUUCUUUUGGUAUUUUCUUAUGUGGCGCCAUAACCCUCUUGAGCUGACUCCACCAGCCCACUAGGGGCUUGGUGCGCCACCCUAGGGCAUUGGGCUCACUCCCGGGUGGGUGGCCCCCUCCCGGUACACUGUCGGAAUUGCCCAAAACUUUCCGUUGACCAAAUGAAACAAUCCUAUAUAUCAAUCUUUGUUUCCAGACCAUUCCGGAAUCCCUCGUGACGUCUGUGAUCUCAUCCGGGACUCCAAACAACAUUCGGUAACCACACAUAUAACUCAACUAUACUAAAACAUCACCGAACCUUAAGUGUGCAGACCCUGCGGGUUCGAGAACUAUGCAGACAUGACCCGAGGCACUCCUCGGUCAAUAUCCAAUAGCGGGACCUAGAUGCCAAUAUUGGAUCCUACAUAUUCUUUGAAGAUCAUAUCGGUUGAACCUCACUGUCAAGGAUUCAUAUAAUCCCGUAUGUCAUUCCCUUUGUCCUUCGGUAUGUUACUUGCCCGAGAUUCGAUCGUCGGUAUCCACAUGCCUAUUUCAAUCUCGUUACCGGCAAGUCUCUUUACACAUUCCAUAAUACAAGAUCCUGUGACUUACACUUAGUCACAUUGCUUGCAAGGCUUGUGUGUGAAGUUGUAUUAACGAGUGGGCCCCGAGAUACCUCUCCGUCACACGGAGUGAAAAAUCCUAGUAUUGAUCCAUACUAACUUAACGGACACCUUCGGAGAAACAUGUAGAGGAACUUUAUAGUCACCCAGUUACAUUGCGACGUUCGAUGCAUACAAGGUAUUCCUCUGGUGCCAGUGAGUUAUACGAUCUCAUGGUCAAAGGCAUAAAUACUUGACACGCAGAAAACAAUAGCAAUAAAACGACACGAUCAAUAUGCUACGUUCAUAGUUUGGGUCUAGUCCAUCACAUGAUUCUCCUAAUGAUGUGAUCCAGUUAUCAAGCAACAACACUUGCACAUAGUCAGAAAACCUUGAAAAUCCUUGAUCAACUGGCUAGCCAACUAGAGGCUUGCUAGGGACAUUGUUUUGUCUAUGUAUCCACACAUAUAUCUAUGUUUUCAUUCAAUACAAUUAUAGCAUGGAUAAUAAACGAUUAUCUUUGUAACACAAAAUAUAAUAAUAACUAUUUAUCAUUGCCUCUAGGGCAUAUUUCCAACAGUCUCCCACUUGCACUAGAGUCAAUAAUCUAGUCCUCACAUCGCCAUGCGAUUUACAUUGUAAUAAAUCUAACACCCAUUCAGAUCUGUGUGCACUUUGCAAAUAUUCAUGUCCUCACCUUCGAUGUAGUCGCAGAUGAGGUUGAAGCAUCGUUUGAUGUGUCUGGUCUUCUUGUGAAACCUCGGUUCCUUUGCUAGAGUAAUAGCAUGAGUGUUGUCACAUAACAGAGUUACUGGAUUUAGUGCGCUCGGCACAACUCCAAGAUCCGUCAUGAAAUGCUCCAUCCAGACACCCUCCUUUCUUGCCUCCGAAGCAGCCAUGUACUCCGCUUCACAUGUAGAAUCUGCUACGACGCUUUGCUUGGAACUGCACCAGCUUAUCGCACCCCCAUUAAGAAUAAAUACAUAUCCGGUUUGAGACUUAGAGUCAUCUGGAUCAGUGUCAAAGCUUGCGUCGACGUAACCUUUUACGACAAGCUCUUCGUCACCUCCAUAAACGAGAAACAUUUCCUUAGUCCUUUUCAGGUACUUCAGAAUAUUCUUGACCGCCGUCCAGUGAUCCACUCCUGGAUUACUCUGAAACCUGCGUGCCAUACUUAUGGCCAAGCUGACGUCUGGUCUAGUGCACAACAUUGCAUACAUGAUAGAACCUAUGGCUAAAGCAUAGGGGACGGAACUCAUUUGUUCUCUAUCUUCCGCAGUUGCUGGGCACCGAGUCUCACUCAAUUUUAUACCUUGUAACACUCGCAAGAACCCUUUCUUGGACUGUUCCAUUUUGAACUUCUUCAAAACGUUAUCAAGGUAUGUGCUUUGUGAAAGCCCUAUCAGGCGUCUCGAUCUAUCCCUAUAGAUCUUAAUGCCUAGAAUGUAAGCAGCUUCUCCUAGGUCCUUCAUAGAGAAACUUUUAUUCAAGUAAUCCUUUACGCUCUCCAAAAACUCCACAUUGUUUCCAAUCAGCAAUAUGUCAUCCACAUAUAAUAUUAGAAACGCCACAGAGCUCCCACUCACUUUCUUGUAAAUACAAGAUUCUCCAACCACUUGUAUAAACCCAAAUGCUUUGAUCACCUCAUCAAAGCACUUAUUCCAACUCCGACAUGCUUGCACCAGUCCAUAAAUGGAUCGCUGGAGCUUGCAUACUUUGUUAGCAUUCUUUGGAUCGAAAAAACCUUCGGGUUGCAUCAUAUACAACUCUUCCUUAAGAAAACCAUUAAGGAACGCCGUUUUGACAUCCAUCUACCAGAUUUCAUAAUCGAAAAAUGCAGCUAUUGCUAACAAGAUUCGGACGGACUUAAGCAUCGCUACCGGUGAGAACGUCUCAUCGUAGUCAACUCCUUGAACUUGUGAAAAACCCUUUGCCACAAGUCAAGAUUUAUAAACGGUCACAUUACCGUCUGCGUUCGUCUUCUUCUUAAAGAUCCAUUUGUUCUGAAUAGCCUUGCAUCCUUCAGGUAGUACUUCCAAAGUCCACACUUUGUUUUUGUACAUAGAUCCUAUCUCGGACUUCAUGGCCUCCAGCCAUUUGUUGGAAUCCGGUCCCACCAUUGCUUCUUCAUAAUUCGCAGGUUCAUUGUUGUCUAACAACAUGAUUGAUAAGACAGGAUUACCGUACCACUCAGGAGCAGCACGUGAUCUUGUCGGCCUGUGAGGUCCGAUAGGAACUUGAUCUGAAGUUUCAUGAUCAUCAUCAUCAACUUCCUCCUCAACCGGCAUUGCAACGGCAGGGGUUUCCCCUUGCCCUACGCCACCAUCUAGAGGGACUAUAAGUUCGACAAUCUCAUCAAGUUCUAUCUUCCUCCCACUCAAUUCUUUCGAGAGAAACUCCUUCUCAAGAAAAGCUCUGUUCUUAGCAACAAACACUUUGCGCUCGGAUUUGAGAUAGAAGGUGUACCCAACUGUCUCCUUUGGGUAACCUAUGAAGACGUACUUUUCCGCUUUGGGUUCUAGCUUUCAGGCUGAAGCUUUUUGACAUAAGCAUCACAUCCCCAAACUUCAAGAAAUGACAACUUUGGUGUUUUUCCAUACCACAGUUCGUAUGGUGUCGUCUCAACGGAUUUUGAUGGUGCCCUAUAUAAAGUGAAUGCAGUUGUCUCUAAUGCAUAACCCCAAAACGAUAGCGACAAAUCGGUAAGAGACAUCAUAGAUCGCACAAUCUCUAACAAAGUACGAUUACGACGUUCAGACACACCAUUACGCCGUGGUGUUCCAAGCGGUGUCAACAGUGAAACAAUUCCACAUUGUCUUAAGUGAGCACCAAACUCGAAACUCAGAUAUUCACCCCCACGAUCAGACCAUAGGAACUUGAUCUUCUUGUUACGAUGAUUUUCAACUUCACUCUGAAAUUGCUUGAACUUCUGAAAUGUUUCAGACUUGUGCUUCAUCAAGUAGAUAUAUCCAUACAUACUCAAAUCGUUAGGGAAGGUGAGAAAAUAACAAUAUCCGCCGCGCGCCUCCACACUCAUCGGACGACACACAUCGGUAUGUAUGAUUUCCAACAAGUCACUUGCACGCUCCAUUGUUCCGGAGAACGGAGUCUUGGUCAUCUUGCCCAUGAGGUAUGGUUCGCACAUGUCAAGUGAAUCAAAGUCAAGGGACUCCAAAAGUCCAUCGGAGUGGAGUUUCUUCAUGCGCUUUACACCAAUAUUACCUAAGCGCGGUGCUACAAAAACAUGGUGCUAUCAUUGUUAACUCUACAUCUUUUGGUCUCAGUGUUAUGUAUAUGUGUAUCAUCGCUAUCAAGAUUCAAUAUGAAAAAUACUCUCACAUUGGGUGUAUGACCAUAAAAGAUAUUACUCAUAGAAAUAGAACAACCAUUAUUCUCCGACUUAAAAGAGUAACCGUCUCGCAAUAAACAAGAUCCAGAUAUAAUGUUCAUGCUUAAAGAGGCACUAAAUAACAAUUAUUUAAGUUCGUAACAAAUCCCGAUGGUAACUGAAGAGAAACUGUGCCGACGGCAAUUGCAUCAACCUUGGAACCAUUUCCCACGCGCAUCCUCACUUCAUCCUUUGCCAGCCUUCGUUUAUUCCACAGUUCCUGUUUCGAGUUGCAAAUAUGAGCAACAAAACCGGUAUUGAAUAGCCACGCACUACUACGAGAGUUGGUUAAUUACACAUCAAUAACAUGUAUAUCGAAUAUACCUGAUUUUUCCUUAGCCGCCAUCUUAUCAGCCAAAUACUUGGGGCAGUUGCGCUUCCAGUGACCGAGUCCCUUGCAAUGACAACACUCUGUUUCAGGCUUAGGCCCAACCUUGGGUUUCUUCGUUGGAUUGGCAACAGGCUUGCCGCUCUUCUUGGAGUUACCCUUCUUUGCUUUGCCGUUUCUCUUGGAACUAGUGGUCUUAUUGACCAUCAAAAAAUUGAUGCUCUUUUCGGAGUUCUGACUCUGCGGCUUUGAGCAUCGCAAAUAAAUCGCCGGGUGACUUGUUCAUCCCUUGCAUGUUAUAGUUCAACACAAAGAUCUUGUAGCUUGGUGGCAGUGAUUGAAGAAUUCUGUCAAUGAUAGCUUUUUGCGAGAGUUCAAUCCCUAGCUCAGCUAGACGGUUUGAGUACCCACACAUUUUGAGCACAUGUUCACUGACAGACAAAUUGUCCUCCAUCUUGCAAGCAUAGAAUUUAUCGGAGGUCUCAUACCUCUCGAUCCGGGCAUUCUUCUGAAAGAUAAACUUCAACUCCUGGAACAUCUCAUAUGCUCCAUGACGCUCAAAGCGACGUUGAAGUCCCGGAUCUAAGCCAUACAAGACUGCACAUUGAACUACUAACUAGUCCUCCUUAUGUGUUAACUAGGCGUUCUUAACAUCUUGGUCAGCCGUAGCGGGUUGUUCAUCUCCUAGCGCAGUAUUAAGGACAUAAUCCUUCUCCCCAGCUUGCAAGAGCAACUUAAGAUUACGAGCCCAAUCUACAAAGUUGCUUCCAUCAUCUUUCAACUUAGCUUUCUCUAGGAACGUAUUAAAAUUCAGGGUGACUAUUGCAUGAUCCAAUUACAAAGUGGACUUAGACUAUGUUUAAGAUAAUUAGAGUUUAAUUAAUCAAAUUACUAAUAAACUCCCACUCAAAAAGUACAUCUCUCUAGUCAUUUGAGUGGUACAUGAUCCAAAUUCACUAAGUCAAGUCCGAUCAUCACGUGAGUUGAGAAUAGUUUCAGUGGUAAGCAUCUCUAUGCUAAUCAUACCAACUAUACGAUUCAUGCUCGACCUUUCAGUCUCAUGUGUUCCGAGGCCAUGUCUGUACAUGCUAGGCUCGUCAAGUUUAACCCGAGUGUUCCGCGUGUGCAACUGUUUUGCAACCGUUGUAUGCGAACAUUGAGUCUAUCAGACCCGAUCAUCACGUGAUGCCUCGAAACGACGAACUGUCGCAACGGUGCAUGGUGACAUGCAACUAUUCCUGACUUGAUGCCUCCACGGCAACGACGUGAGAAAAGAGCUUCCCCCCAGUUGCUCAACAAUUAGCAAUUGUCUUGCAAUGGCCCACCAGCGCGUGGGAUCGCGGCAGUUUUCGAGGGUAGAGUAUUCAACCCAAAUUUUUUGGUUCGACACGAUGGGAAUGAAAGGAUAUUCUCUAGUAUUAGCCGUUGAGGCGUCAGCUCAACCACACCCAAAAGAUUAGUAUCUACAAGCAGGAUAUAAGCAGCAAAGGUAGUAUGAUAGCAACGGUGCCAGAAACGAUAUGUUGACAGGGCAGACUAUUCCUAACUGUUGUAUCAAUGGCGCCAGAAAAGUAUUGUAGCAGGUAGCAGCAGUGUAACGAGUAACAACAGUGGCAAGGAACAGCAGUAGUGACAGCAGUAGCAAGUAGAAGCAGUAGCAAGUAGAAGCAGUAGGAAGUAGCAGCAGUAGCGAGUAACAACAGUAGCAAGUAACAGUAGUAGCAACAGUAGUGGCAGCAGCAGCAGGACAAAGCAAGUAACAGCAGAGCAAGUAACAGUAGCAGCAGCAGAGCAAGUAACAGUAGCAGCAAGAAACAGUAGCAGUGGGACAAACUCGUAGGCAAUGGAUCGGUGAUUUGCUGGAUGACAUUCGUCAUGCAACAGUUAUAACACGGAGAGAUAUGUGGCUAGCUCCUGUUCGUCAAUGUGAUGUAGGCAUGCAUUCCGUGUGUAGUCAUAUGUGCUUAGGGAAAAGAACUUGCAUGACAUCUAUUCUCCAUCCCUCCCGUGGCAGCGGGGUCCAAAUGGAUACUACAGGUUAUUAAGGUUCUCCUUUUAAUAAAGAACCGGACCAACGCAUUAGCACUUGGUGAACACAAGAACUCCUCAAACUAUGGUCAUCAUCGGGAGUGGUUCCGGUUACUGUCACUCCGGGGUUGCCAGAUCAUAACACAUAGUAGGUAACUACAACUUGCAAGAUCGGAUCUAAAACACAUAUAUAUUGGUGACAACAAAAUAAUUUCAGAUCUGAAAUCAUGGCACCCGAGCCCUAGUGACAAGCAUUAAGCAUGGCAAAGUAGUAGCAACAUCAAUCUCACAACAUAGUGGAUACUAGGGAUCAAUCCCCGUCAAAACUAACUCGAUUACAUGAUAGAUCUCAUCCUACUCAUCACUGCCCAGCGAGCCUACGAAUAGAUUACUCACGAACGAUGAAGAGCUUCAUGGAAUUGGAGAGGGAAGAAGGUUGAUGAUGACGAUGGCGACGAUCUCCUUCAUCCGGAGCCCAAAACGGACUCCAGAUCUGCCCUCCAGGUGAAGAACAGGAUGUGGCGGCGCCUAUGGAUCGAAAACGCGAUGAAAUCUUCUCUCUUGAUUUUUUCCGGGAUGAAAGGGAAUAACUAGAGCUGAGUUUGGGGGUGGCAGAGCCACGUGGGCCCCACAAGAUUGGUCGCCGCGGCCAGGGGGGAGGCCGCGGCGACAGGGCUUGUGGCCCACUGGCCCGUCCCCUCCGGUGGAUCUUUGCGCACGUAUUUUUCAUAUUUUCCAGAAAUAUUCUCCGUAAAUUUUCAGGACAUUCCGAGAACUUUCAUUUCUGCACAAAAACAACACCAUGGCAAUUCUGCUGAAAACAACAUAAGUCCGGGUUAGUUCCAUUCAAGUCAUGCAAAUUAGAGUCCAAAACAAGGGCAAAAGAGUUUGGAAAAGUAGAUACGAUGGAGACGUAUCAACUCCCCCAAGCUUAAAACCUUGCUUGUCCUCAAGCAACUCAGUUUAUAAACUCAAAGAGAAAGAAAAACUUUGACAAACUAUGUUUGAUCUUGUUGUUGCAACUAUGUCUAACUCAUAACCAGAAUUUCAGCAAGAUCACAAGUUAACCACAUAAGCAAGUGACACAAAGGUCUCACGGUAAACUAAUAUCAAUGGCAUAAUCAGCGAGCGAGCAAAUAAUAAUGAGUUUCAGAUACCAACAAUUCAAUCAAAACAAGCAUGCAGCAAUAAGAAUAGGUGGUAUCUCGCUAGCUCUUUCUGAGACCGCAAAACAUAAAUGCAGAGAACUUUCAAAGAUCAAGGGCUGACUAAACAUUGUAAUUCAUAGCAACGAAGAUCCAGUCAUAGUCAUACUCAGUAUCAAUCAAAAGCAAACGCAUAAAAAUGACAGAGGUGCUCUCUAAUUGGUGCUUAUAUAAGAAGAGGAUGACUCAACAUGAAAAUAAAUAGACAGGCCCUUUGUAGAGGGAAGCAUUGAUUUGCGGAGGUGCGAGAGCUCAAGCUUUGAAAGCAGAGAUAAUAAUUUUGGGUGGCAUGAUUUCAUUGUCAACGCAAUGACCAAGAGUUCUCAACAUCUUCCACGCUAAACAUGCUAUAGGCGGUUCCCAAACAGAAAAGUAAAGUUUUAACUCCGCCACCACCAAUCAAUCACACUCCACGGCUAGCCGAAUCCUCGGGUACCGUCCAUACUAACAUCAAUCCGGGGGAGUCUUGUUUUACAGUUAUGUUUUCGAUUUAAGCAUGGAACUGGGCAUUCCACUUAUCGGCCCCUUUCUCGUGAAUGACAGUGAAUAAACACAUGUCGAGGAUAACACGCCUAACAUGGAAGAUACCAAUAGCCCCCUGUCACCACAUGAGCGGUUCGGGCAUGCAAAACAGAUUAUUUCUUGAAGGUUUAGAGAAUGGCAUGUGCAAAUUUACUUGGAACGGCAGGUAGAUACCGCAAAUAGGUAGGUAUGGUGGACUCUCAUGGAAAAACUUUUGGUUUAUGGAAGUGGAUGCACAAGCAGUAUUCCGCUUAGUACAAGUGAAGGCUAGCAAAAGACUAGGAAGCGACCAACUAGAGAGCGACAACAGUCAUCAAGAUGCAAUGAGUUUGACUAACAUUGAGUGCAAGCAUGAGCAGGAUAUAAAUCACCAUGAACACGAACAGCAUAGAGGCUAUGUUGAUUUUGUUUCAACUACAUGCAUGAACAUGCGCCAAGUCAAGCCACUUGAAUCAUUCAAAGGAGAAUACCAUCCUAUCACACUACAUCAUAGUCAUCUCAAAAUCUAUGUUGGCAUUCAAGACAAACCAUUAUAAGCUCUUAGCUAAUUAAGCAUGGCAUCAGAACUAUGAUCUCUAAGUUGUCAUUGCAAACAUGGUUCUCUCUCAACAAAGCUGAAUCUGGGAUGACAAGCUAGUCAUAUUUACAAAAACAAAAUAGAUAGAGUUCAUACCAGCUUUUCACUCUCAAUCACUUCAUCAUAUAUCAUCAUUAUUGCCUUUCACUUGCACGAUCGAACGAUGUGAACAAUAAUAAGAGUGCUCGUGCAUUGGACUAAAGCUAGAAUCUGCAGGCAAACACAAAGGAGAAGACAAAGUAAUAUGGCUCUUUGAAAGCUAAACAGGUAUGCAUGCAAGAGCCACUAAACAUUGUAACCAAUAUCUUCUACCUUGACUCAAAGAAAAAGAAAACUAUUUACACGGGAAAGCUCCCAACAAGCAAAAGAAGAAAGGAAAAUCUUUUUGGGUUUUCUAAAAAGGACACAAAACAAGAAAACAAGAAAACAAAAAUAAACUAGCAUGGAUAAUAAAGUGGCAAAGUGUAAACACCGACUAACAAAGUGAAAGCAUAAGCAUGAAUGUAAAGUUGGUGCAAACACGUACUCCCCCAAGCUUAGGCUUUUGGCCUAGCUUGGUCUACUCCCAAGGACGGUCCUGGCGAAACCCAAAAUCAUAAUCGGGGUUUUACGGGAGCGCUGCAGCCACUGCAUGAAUAGCUGCCUCACGGAGACGAGCAGCCGUCGCCUCCCUCUCAUACUCCUCUGCCUCUCCUCUGGUUAUGUAGUAUCUCCGUUUUACCUGAAAGUCAAAGAAAACAGGAGCAGGAAGGGUAAUAUGGAAAACACAUUGCCGGUUAAAUAUCAAUCGGUAUAGGAGGGAUUCAUCAUCCCUGUCAAGGAACUGGUAGGGUGUCAUAGUGACGCGGUCAAGGAAAGCUGUAUGGAGCGGGGGAUCUCCUACGCGGAUGGGUACUCCAAGAAAAUUUGCUAUGCGAGUGGCAUAGAUGGCGCCAAAGAAAUCCCCAUCAAUAGCAUUCUUAUUCAUCCUCCUUGCUAUAAUAGCUCCCAUGUUGAAGCUUUUGUCACCCGUCACUGCGCUCUUAAGGAUACUAAGGUCGGAUGCGCAUAGGUGACAAUGUUCAACCUUGCCGUUAAUGCAUCUACCUAUGAAGAUGGCAAAGUAGUGCAAGGCAGGGAAAUGAAUGCUUCCUAUGGUAGCUUGCGUGAUAUCUCUAGUUUCUCCAACAGUUAUACUAGAGACAAAAUCUCUAACCGAAGACUUAGCAGGAUCUUUAAGACUACCCCCAUCGGGUAUCUUGCAAGUCCUAUUGAAAUCCUCCAAAUCCAUGGUGUAGGAUUUAUCAUAUAGAUAAAAUAGUAUGGAUGAGUCACGGCCAACUGAAAAUUUAAAUCUACGCAUGAAAGAGGCAGUGAGCAUAGCAUACUGUUCACAUUUAUCUGAGUGGAAUUAUUCUAACCCGGCAUUGCAGACAAGUGUAUCAAACUCAUCCUUGAAGCCUGCUUCGAUCAUGAACUCAUCGGAAGGCCAUUCACAUGGUUGUACCGGUGCGUCCCUUAGUUGAUAAGGAUCGGGCUCCCGAAUAGAAAGACGGGGACCCUUCUUACUUGAGGAACCACCAUGAAACUUCCUCCUGAACAUAAUUUCUUUUUGCAAGGAGUAAUUUCCCCAAAACGGUUCGGAGAAUGGUGCUUUGAGCAAGGAGAUCGAAAAUCACAGCCAAAUGAGCAAGAACAUGGGUUUGAGCUACGAAAAGAUUUUUUCUGGAGGUAGAAGAAGAGGAUGGGAGCUGGAAUGAGUGGAGGGGGUCCCUGUGGGCCCCACAAGCUUGGUGGCCGCGGCCAAGGGGGGAGACCGCGGCGUCAGGGCUUGUGGCCCACUGGUGUGGCCCCCAGGCCAGCUCUCAGUCCCAGUAUUUUUCAAAUAUUCCAGAAAAAAUCAUAUUUGAUUUUCACAGUGUUCGGAGAACUUUUAUUUUUGGGUACUUUUCGACCGGACGCUAAAACAGAAAACAAGGAAAACUAAACUGAACCUAUCAUUUUUAUUCUAAGCAACAUAAAGUGAAAUCUUAAAACAAAGGUAUGUGACUCCUUGGUUCAUCCAUUUCAUGGUCAUCGAAAGAAAUCCGUCAAUGGGGUUGAUCAAAUCCCCUCGACAAAACUUUUUCGAAUCGCAAAAGGAAACGGAGAAUUAUCGAAUAGCCACUAAGUCACCUCAAUGAGGAUAUGAAUCUCCCCAACAAGAAAAUCAUACUUCAUGUUGACACGAGGAAUAGGGCAUUCAAAACUCCCAAUAAGAAUCGAUGAAGUUUUUUGAUAGCAUUGAUGCAAUGUACUUGAUAUCGUUUCUUCGGAAAGUGCAUUGUAUGCUCAUUACCGUUGACAUGGAAAGUGACAUUGCCUUUGUUACAAUCUAUAACAGCCCCUACAGUGUUUAAAAAGGGUCUUCCGAGGAUGACAUCCAUUGCAUCGUCCUCGAGAAUAUCCAAAAUAACAAAGUUUGUUAAGAUAGUGGUGUUAGCAACCACAACAAGAACAUCCUCGCAAAUGCCGGCAGGUAAAGCAGUUGAUUUGUUGGCCAUUUGCAGAGAAAUUUUAGUGGGUGUCAACUUAUCCAGUUCAAGUCUACGAUAAAGAGAGAGAGGCAUAACACUAACACCGGCUCCUAGGUCACAUAAGGCAGUUCUUAUGUAGUUUCCUUUAAUGGAGCAAGGUAUAGUGGGCAAUCCGGGAUCACCUAGUUUCUUCGGAAUUCCACCCUUGAAGGUAUAAUUAGCGAGCAUGGUGGAAAUCUCAACUUCAGGUAUCCUCCUCUUAUUAGUCACGAUAUCUUUCAUGUACUUGGCAUAUGGAGACAUUUUGAGCAUAUCAAUUAAUCGCAUCUGUAGAAAGACGGGUAUCAAAAUUUCAAUAAAGCGCUCAAAAUCCUCAUCAUCCUUUUUCUUGGAUGGCUUAGGAGGAAAGGGCAUGGGUCUCUGAACCCAUGGCUCCCUUUCUUUACCAUGCUUCCUAGCAGUGAAGUCACUCUUAUCGUAUCUCUUAGGUUGUGGGUUAUCAGGAUUAACCGUAGGUUCAAUCUCCACAUCCUUAUCGUUGCUAGGUUGAGCAUUAUUAUGAACAUCGCUGUCCAUAUUGUUACCAGGUUCAUGUUCAUCACCAGAUUGUGUUUCUGCAUCAGACGCAGAAAUAUCAUUUGGUUCUUCAGGUGUGACAGUAUUCGGUGAACUGACAUGUAGGUUUCUAUCAUCCUUCUUCUUCUUAGGAUGACUGGGUGUGUCGGCAUUAAUUCCUUGAGAAUCUUGAUCAAUUCUCUUAGGAUGGCCUUCAGGAUACAAAGGUUCCUGAGUCAUUUUGCCUCCUCUAGUAAUGACUUUGACAGAGUUGUCAUUUAAUUCAUUGAGAAAGUCAUUUUGAGCUUUAAGUACUUUCUCUACCUGAGUAGUAAUCAUAGAAGCAUGUUUACUCAGAAGUUUCAGAUCAUUGACAUUUCUGUCUACACAAGCACUUAAAUGACUAAGCAUACGAGUACUUUGUUCCAAUUGUCUGCUAACAUAAUCAUUGAAACUCUGUUGUUUGGCAACAAAGUUGUCAAAUUCAUCAAAGCAUAGGCUAGCAGGUUUAUCAAAAGGUAUAUCACUCUCAUCAAACCUACGCAGAGAAUUUACUUCUACUACCUAUAUCGGGUUAUCGAGACCAUGGAUCUCUUUGAUAGGAGGUAGAUUUUUGACAUCUUCAGAUUUAAUGCCUUUCUCUCGCAUAGAUUUCUUGGCUUCUUGCAUAUCUUCGGGACUAAGGAAUAGAAUACCUCUUUUCUUAGGAGUUGACUUAGGAGGUGGUUCGGGAAUAGUUCAAGCAUUAUCGUUGAUCAAGAUGUUAUUUAGUAGAGCCUCAGCUUGUUCUAUAGUUCAUUCCCUAAAAACACAACCGGCACAACUAUCUAGAUGGUCUCUAGAAGCAUCGGUAAGUCCGUAAUAGAAGAUAUCAAGUAUCUCGUUCUUCUUAAGAGGGUGAUCAGGCAAAGCAUUCUGUAGCUGGAUGAGCCUCCCCCAAGCUUGUGGGAGAAUCUCUUCUUUGAGUUGAGCAAAUUUGUAUAUUUCCUGUAAGGCAGCUUGCUUCUUAUGGGCAGGAAAAUAUUUCUCACAUAAGUAAUAGACCAUAUCCUGGGGACUACUCACACAUCUAGGAGCAAGAGAAGUGAACCAGGCUUUAGUGUCAUCCUUUAGAGAGAAAGGAAACAGCUUAAGGGUAUAGUAGUAGCGGAUCUUCUCCUCACUAGUGAAAAGGGUGGCUAUAUCGUGUAGUUUGGUAAGAUGGGCUACGACCGUCUCAGACUCAUAACCAUGGAAAGUAUCAGAGUCGACUAGAGAGAUUAUCUCAGGGUCGACAAAGAAUUCAUAAUCCUCAUCGGUGAUAAAGAUAGGUGAAGUGGCAAACUUCGGGUCGUAUUUCAUCCUAGCUUUCAGAGAUUUUUCCUUCCACUUGAGAAGUAAUUUCUCAGCGUCAUAGGCAUCCUUACACGCAAGAAAAUCCUCAGCUAUCUCUCCCUCCAUAACAUAACCCUCAGGUAUAUCAGACAAUUCAUAUCUAGGAGAGCUAGAUCUAGGAGGAGCAAAAGCAGGUUCUAUCUCGAUAGUAUCGACAGUUUCAGAAGCAUCACGAGCAUUGGCAGUAACUCUAGCAAUAUGAGCAUCAAGGAAUACCCCUAGUGGCAUAUCAGGCAAAGUAGUAUCUCUAGCAGUAUCAAGCAUAGCAUCAUCAGGCAAAAUAGCAUCUCUAGCAUCAUCAGGCAAAGCAGUAUCAAGUAUAGCAUCUCUAGCAGUAUCAAGCAUAGUAGCAUCAUAAGCAUCAUCAAGCACAAGAGACAUAUCAAGAUUUCUAGCAGGAGGUGGUGUCGCAAACUUACUCAUAACUGAAGGUGAAUCAAGUGCAGAGCUAGAUGGCAGUUCCUUACCUCCCCUCGUAGUUGAGGGGAAAACUUUGGUUCUUGGAUCUUUCAGAUUCUUCAUAGUGAUCAGCAGAUAUAAAUCCCAAGUGACUCAGAGAAUAUAGCUAUUCUUCCCCGGCAACGGCGCCAGAAAAAUGCUGUUGACGUGCAACUAUUCCUGACUUGAUGCCUCGACGGCAACGACGCCAGAAAAGAGUUGCUCCCCAGUUGCUCAACAAUUAGCAAUUGUCUUGCAAUGGCCCACCAGCGCGUGGGAUCGCGGCAGUUUUUGAGGGUAGAGUAUUCAACCCAAAUUUGUUGGUUCGACACGAUGGGAAUGAAAGGGUAUUCUCCAGUAUUAGUAGUUGAGGCGUCAGAUCAACCACACCUGAAAGAUUAGUAUCUGCAAGCAGGAUAGAAGCAGCAAAGGUAGUAUGAUAGCAACGGUGCCAGAAACAAUCUGUUGACAGGGCAGACUAUUCCUAACUGUUGUAUCAAUGGCGCCAGAAAAGUAUUGUAGCAGGUAGCAGCAGUGUAACGAGUAACAAAAGUGGCAAGGAACAACAGUAGUGACAGCAGUAGCAAGUAGAAGUAGCAGCAGUAGCGAGUAACAGCAGUAGCAAGUAACAGUAGUAGCAACAGUAGUGGCAGCAGCAGCAGGACAAAGCAAGUAACAACAGAGCAAGUAACAGUAGCAGCAGUAGAGCAAGUAACAGUAGCAGCAAGUAACAGUAGCAGUGGGACAAACUCGUAGGCAAUGGAUCGGUGAUUUGCUGGAUGACAUUCAUCAUGCAACAGUUAUAACACGGAGAGAUAUGUGGCUAGCUCCCGUUCGUCAAUGUGAUGUAGGCAUGCAUUCCGUGUGUAGUCAUACGUGCUUAGGGAAAAGAACUUGCAUGACAUCUAUUGUCCAUCCCUCCCGUGGCAGCGGGGCCCAAAUGCAUACUAUGGGAUAUUAAGGUUCUCCUUUUAAUAAAGAACCGGACCAACGCAUUAGCACUUGGUGAACACAUGGACGCCUCAAACUAUGGUCAUCACCGGGAGUGGUUCCGGCUAUUGUCACUCCGGGGUUGCCGGAUCAUAACACAUAGUAGGUAACUACAACUUCCAAGAUCGGAUCUAAAACACACAUAUAUUGGUGACAACAUAAUAAUUUCAGAUCUGAAAUCAUGGCACUCGGGCCCUAGUGACAAGCAUUAAGCAUGACAAAGUAGUAGCAACAUCAAUCUCAGAACAUAGUGGAUACUAGGGAUCAAUCCCCGUCAAAACUAACUCGAUUACAUGAUAGAUCUCAUCCUACUCAUCAUCGACCAGCGAGCCUACGAAUAGAUUACUCACGAACGAUGAAGAUCUUCAUGGAAUUGGAGAGGGAAGCAGGUUGAUGAUGACGAUGGCGACGAUCUCCUUGAUCCGGAGCCCAAAACGGACUCCAGGUCUGCCCUCUAGGUGAAGAACAGGAUGUGGCCGCGCCUCUGGAUCGAAAACACGAUGAAAUAUUCUCUCUUGAUUUUUUCCGGGACGAAAGGGAAUAAAUAGAGCUGAGUUUGGGGGCGGCAGAGCCACGUGGGCCCCACAAACGUGGUCGCCGCGGCCAGGGGCGAGGCCGCGGCGACAGGGCUUGUGGCCCACUGGCCCGUCCCCUUCGGUGGAUCUUUGGGCAGGUAUUUUUCAUAUUUUCCAGAAAUAUUCUCCGUAAAUUUUCAGGACGUUCCGAGAACUUUCAUUUCUGCACAAAAACAACACCAUGGCAAUUCUGCUGAAAACAACGUCAGUCCGGGUUAGUUCCAUUCAAAUCAUGCAAAUUAGAGUCCAAAACAAGGGCAAAAGAGUUUGGAAAAGUAGAUACGAUGGAGAUGUAUCAGUGCACAGUCGGGGAGAACACAAUUUCGUCUUGAAAUUUUAGUGAGAGAUCACCUUAUAAUGCUACCGUCGUUCUAAGAAAAAUAAGGUGCAUAAAAGGAUUAACAUCUGAUGCAAUUCAUAAGUAACAUGAUAUGGCCAUCAUCUUGUGCUUCUUGAUCUCCAUCACUUAAGCGCCAGCAUGAUCUUCUUUUCACCGGCGCAACACCAUGAUCUCCAUCAUCGUGAUCUCCAUCAAAGUGUCGCCAUCGAGGUUGUCGUGCUACCUCUUCCUUUACUACUAAAGCUACGACCUAGCAAUAUAGUAAACACAUCUGCAAACACAAACGUUAGUUUAAGGACAACCCUAUGGAUCAUGCCGGUUGCCAUAGCAUCGACGUGCAAGUCGAUAUCAACUAUUACAACAUGAUCAUAUCAUACAUCCAAUAUAUCACAUCACAUCAUUGGCCAUAUUAUAUCACAAGCAUACCCUGCAAAAACAAGUUAGACGACCUCUAAUUUGUUGUUGCAUGUUUUAUGUGGCUGCUGUGGGUAUCUAGUAUGAGCGCAUCUUACUUAUGCGAAAACCACAACGGAGAUGUGCAAAAUGCUAUUUAACCUCUCCAAGGACCGCCUCGGCCAAAACCAAUUCAACUAAAGUUGAAGAAACAUGCACCCGCCAGUCAUCUUUAUGCAACGAGGUUGCAUGACAAUCGAUGAAACCAGUCUCUCGUAAGUGUACGAGUUAUAUCGGUCCGGGCCGCUUCAAUCCAAUAAUACCGCCAAAUCGAGAAAAGACUAAGGAGGGCAGCAAAUCGAACAUCACCGUCCACAAAACCUUUUGUGUACUACUCAAGAUAACAUAUACGCAUGAACCUAGCUCAUGAUGCCACUGUUGGGGAACGUUGCAUGGGAAACAAAAAAUUUCCUACGCACACGAAGACCUAUCAUGGUGAUGUCCAUCUACGAGUGGAUAUUAGAUCUAUGUACCCUUGUAGAUCGCACAGCGGGAAGCGUCAAGAAACGCGGUUGAUAUAGUGGAACGUCUUCACGUCCCUCGAACCGUCCCACCAACCAUCCCGCGAUCCGUCCCACGAUCCGUUCAGAUCUAGCGCCGAAAGGACGGCACCUCCAUGUUCAGCACACGUACAGCUCGACAAUGAUCUCGGCCUUCUUGAUCCAGAAAGCAAGAAAGAGAAAUAGAUGAGUCCUCCGACGGCGUGAUGGCGCUCCAGUGGUGGUGAUGAUCUACUCCUGCAGGGCUCCGCCCGAGCUCCGCAGAAAUCCGAUCUAGAGGUAAAACUAUGUGGAAUAGGCUAGAGUUGCACGUGGCAAAGUUGUGUCUCAAAAAGCCCUAAACCACCACUUUAUAUAGGAGGAAGGGGGAGGGGCUAGCCUUGAGGCACAAGGCCUCAAGGUGCGCCGACCGCCAGGAGGAGGAGGAAUCCUCCUCCAAUUCGGUUUGGGAAGGAGGAGUCCUCCUCUUCCUUCCCACCUCCCUCUUUCCUUUUUUUUCUCUUUUCUUUUGGUAUUUUCUUAUGUGGCGCCAUAGCCCUCUUUGUGUGACUCCACCAGCCCACUAGGGGCUUGGUGCACCAUCGUAGGGCCUUGGGGUCACUCCCGGGUGGGUGGCCCCUCCCGGUGAACACCCGGAACCCAUUCGUCACUCCCGGUACACUUUCGGAAUUGCCCAAAACAUUCCGGUGACCAAAUGAAACCAUCCUAUAUAUCAAUCUUCAUUUUCGGACCAUUUCAGAAACCCUCAUGACGUACAUGAUCUCAUCUGGGACUCUGAACAACAUUAGGUAACCACACAUAUAACUCAACUAUACUAAAACAUCACCGAACCUUAAGUGUGCAGACCCUGCGGGUUCGAGAACUAUGUAGACAUGACCUGAGGCACUCCUCGGUCAAUAUCCAAUAGCGGGACCUGGAUGCCCAUAUUGGAUCCUACAUAUUCUCCGAAGAUCUUAUUGGUUGAACCUCAGUGUCAAGGAUUCAUAUAAUCCUGUAAGUCAUUCCCUUUGUACUUCGGUAUGUUACUUGCCCGAGAUUCGAUCGUCGGUAUCCACAUACCUAUUUCAAUCUCGUUACCCGCAAGUCUGUUUACUCGUUCCGUAAUACAAGAUCAUGUGACUUACACUUAGUCACAUUGCUUGCAAGUCUUGUGUGUGAUGUUGUAUUACCGAGUGGGCCCCGAGAUACCUAUCCAUCACACGGAGUGACAAAUCCCAGUCUUGAUCCAUACUAACUCAACCAACACCUUCGAAGAUACCCGUAGAGAACCUUUAUAGUCACCUAGUUACGUUGCGACAUUUGAUGGACACAAGGUAUUCCUCCGGUGCCAAUGAGUUAUAUGAUCUCAUGGUCAUUGGAAUAAAUACUUGACACGCAGAAAACAAUAGCAAUAAAACAACACAAUCAAUAUGCUACGUUCAUAGUUUGGGUCUAGUCCAUCACAUGAUUCUCCUAAUAAUGAGAUCCAGUUAUCAAGCAACAACACUUGCACAUAGUCAGAAAACCUUGACUAUCCUUGAUCAACUAGCUAGCCAACUAGAGGCUUGCCAGGGACAUUGUUUUGUCUAUGUAUCCACACAUGUAUCUAUGUUUUCAUUCAAUACAAUUAUAGCAUGGAUAAUAAAUUAUUAUCUUUGUAACAGGAAAUAUAAUAAUAACUAUUUAUCAUUGCCUCUUGGGCAUAUUUACAACAGGUAUGGUGGCCGUUUUGAGGAUGGAUAUAAUGAGGCUUAUGAUGACAGAGCGUAUCAUGCCAAGGGUUUGGAUGCACCGGCGAAGUAUGCACCGACUCUCAAGAUGAGAAAGGGUAAUGCACGGUACCGAAGAGGCUAGCAAAAUAUGGAUGGUGGAAGUGCUAACAACCGAAUACUCGCAUUAGUCCGAAGAACUCAUGCAUUUGUUAUCGGUAACUCUCUAUCUAGUCAGGAGAGUCACAAAUAGACAAGUACACCAAGGAGGAGUGUUUGGGGGUUUGGUUAUCCUUGCGCAUCCUCGACCCAUGAUAACGUGAGGGUACUCUAUAUAUUCCAACCCCUCCAGGGGUUAGCGAUCCAUCUAGUAGCUAGAGUUCUCAACUAAUUAUUUGUAGUUUUUGGAAAUACACACGGAUUUCCCAAAAUACGACACCUAUCACUAAUAGGCUCAAGAUAUUGACACCAAAAGUCCAAAAUUACUCAAAUCAAUACCUAAAAACUAUUGCAAGUUACUACUAUACUUAAAUAACAACCUCAAUUAUCUACUCAUGCAAGACACACAACUCAGUGCAACAAUCCAACUCUCUAAAAAAGAUAAGCAUGAUAACCCAACAGAGUUCCAAAAGCAUCUAAAUAAAAGCUCUUAGAAAGAUAAAGCAUGAAAACUAAAAGCUAAGCAUGACAACAGCUAUGAAAAGAUAAAGAACACACAAAAAGAUAAACAUGAAAACCUAUGUUUUGUUCUAGGGUGGAGUGGAGCGUGUUUCUCUCCCAAACAAAGAAGGCUAGGGUCCAACUUGUUAGGAACAUCAAGAAAAACUAAAACAAACUAAAAAAGUAAAGAGCGGGACGCUCCAAGCAUAGCACAUAAUAUAUGAAGUGAUAAAAAUAUAGCAUAGAGAAGGACGAACUGAUGAUUGUUGAUGGAGAAGGGGAUGCACGGGGGCAUCCCCAAGCUUAGAUGUUUGAGUGUCCUUGAAUAUUUAUUGGGGGUGCAUGGGGGCAUCCCCAAGCUUGAGCGCUUGACACUCCUAGAUCUUCUUUCAUCAUCUUCCAUCGCAUACUUGAAAACUCCCUUCAUACGAAACUCAUCAUAAGCUGAUUAGAGUGGUUACUACCCAUAAUAAAAUAUAUUUUUCUCCACUAGAAACAAAGAUUUUCAUGAAUAGCUACUGUUUCUCAAUAUUGGCAAAAAGGUUUUGCAAAGAAAAUGCAAGUUUAAGAUUUGCAAAGCAAUGAAAACGCAAAACGUGGCAGAAUCUGUGAGAAACAGACCAGCAUGUAGUAAAUAAAUUUUUCAGGGUACUUAUACAACUCAAAUCAAAAACCUCACAACAGAUGUCAGAAAGCCAAUCGUAUAGAGCAUACUGUCAAAACAAAUCAGAUCAUAAAGAUGAUUUGGUGAUUUUUGGUGAAUAUUUCCCUCAAGCAGACAUAAUCUGUUUCUGGACAGCAUGUCAAAACUUUUGAACUUUCUUGCAAUCGGAGGCUAAAACUUAGCACAAAGCUUAAAAAUAAAGAUACAAUGAUGUUGCUACAGUAGUAACACACAUCAAGAACACUAAAAACUAAAAGUAAAAACUCAAAAUAAAUAUAACAAGGGUUGUCUCCCUAGAGCUCUUUCUCUAUAGCCAUAAAGAUAGGCUUAAGAUUUUAAUGAUGCUCUCGUAGGAAUAAGAGUUGUAGAACAAAAGAGAGCAUCAAGAAGCAAAUACUAAACACUUUUAAGUCUAACAUGCUUCCUAUGCAUAGGAAUAUUGCAAUAGAAUAAUUCAUUGAAGCACAAAGCAAUAAGCAUAGGAAGGCAAAACAAGUGCAACUUCAAAACCUUCAACUUAAAGAGAGGGAACUUGAUAUUAUUGAAAUAUCUAUAAGCAUAUGUUCCCUUCUCAAAAUAAUUUUCAGUGGGAUCAUGAAUAAACUCAACAAUAUAAGUAUCACAUAAAGCAUUGUUACCAUGAUCCAUAUGCAAAAAGGCACUCUUACUCUCCACAUAAGCAUAAUCUUUCUCAUUGGUAAUGGUGGGAGUAGGACUAUCAUAAACAAUUUGAACACUAUAGAUUAAUUGUGUAUUGGGGAAAUGGUGUUCAGCAAGGAAGUAAUUCCCUCCAUGAUUAUGACCAGUUUCAUAUGGAUAAUUUCUCCUUAUGUCAUAGGUAUCUUUACAAUCACUAUAGAUAGGAGUUAUAACAUCAUCAUGGUAGAGAAGAGCAUUAUUAUUGCUAGCAACUAUAUUUGUAAACAUGUUGUCUUUAUUCUUACUAGCAAAAUAACUAUCAACUAUCACAUCACUAAUGGGUAAAGGACUUGCAAUCCUAUCAUUCCCAAGCUUAGAGCUUUCCAUAUCAUCAUUUUCAGAGUUAGUACCAAAAAGAUUUUCAAGAUCAUAAGUAGCAUUAUCAUCAUAUUCCCAAUCACAAUAAGUAACAUGCAUAUCAUAAUCAAAAUCAUCUUCAAUAGUACCCACGACCUUAUCAUCAAGAUAAUAAUGAAUGCAAUCAAGCUCACCAUCCUCCAUAAAUUUAUGUCCGUUAGGAUAAAAGUUGAUGCGAGGAAUAUGCUCAGGCCAGGUUGAUACCCAUUCUUCUUCCUUCUUGUUCCUCUUCCUCCUCUUCUUUUCCUUCUUAUUCACCUUAGGAGGGAGUGGUUGGAGAGGAAGCUUAUCCACAUAUUCUGGUUUAUCAUUAGAAACAAUAGGGGAAAGUUGGGAGAAACUCUCCUUUUUAUUAGUGGAAAAAUGAGAGACAUUUUUAUGCUUUGGUAAAGUUCCCUCCUUUCUAAUCUUACUUAUGUAAUCAUUCUCAUGGCAAUUAACAACACAAUAGAGAUGGCAUUUUUGCAAAGUGUUGUUUAUUCCUAAGGCAUUAUCAUCUAGCCGAGAAGUUUUUUCUGAUAACUCUUCACACAUCAAAAAUAAAAUAAGUUCAUCAUAAAGACCAGAAGUGAUCAUGUUAUCACACAACUGGUUAACAGUUAUGUUUUGAAAGUACAUGCAUUGGAAAUUAAAGUGACCCUCUAUACCACAAAGUUCACAAGUAAAAGGAGAAAGAUCACACAAUUCUCUAGCAAUUUCAUUUAAAUCUCUAACCCAAGUGAUUGUUCUUUCAUGCUUAUGUUGCUUACAAUACUUCUCUUCUUCAAUCAUAGGCCUUUCUCAAGGUCUAUCCACUCCAAAAAAAUAACAUGUUUAUAUAAAACUUCAUUUUCAGGAAUUGGAUCAUGCAUGUUGCAAUUAUCAUUAACAAUCUCAUUUUCUUUGCAAAUCUAUUUAAAAGGUUCAUGAUGCUUGAUCCAAUUCUCCUUAGGCAUAUUAAGAUGUGAAGCAAGAGAUUUGAGGAAAUCAAAAAGGAGUUGAGAAUCAAGCCCAAACUUAGCACUAAACUUAUUAAAACUUGCAGUUUCAACAAAGGCCUUAAUGCAAUCAUACUCAUAAUUUAUACCUCACUCUUUACCUUUGUCGAUCUCCCAAUCUUCAGUAUUGCGUUGAAUUAUUUCAAGGAGUUCCCAUUUAGCAUCAAUCCUUUCGUUUGUGAAAUAACCCAUAGAGGAAGCAUCGAGCAAGUCUUCAUCUUGUCGAGAGAGCCUCACAUAGAAAUUAGUAAUAAUCAUAUCUUUGGGGAGCCCAUGGUUAGGACAUUUUAGCAUUAAAGUUACAGUCUCCCCCAAGCCUGAGCUAUGCUCUCUGUGUCAUGAGGAUAGAAAUUAUAAACAUAAUUCCUAUUCUCAUGGACUUCAUGAAGAGGAUAAAACUUUGUGUAAAAGAGAGACUGGAUCUUUUCCCAAUCCCGUAGGUGAGAAUCAUCUAGUAGCCUAUACCAUUCCAAUGCUUUUCCUUUCAGUGACAAGGCAAAUAAUUUCCUCAUGACUCCAUCUCUUGUCAAACCUGAAAUCUUAAACAACUCACAAAGUUCUGUAAGUUUCAACAAAUGUAUUCGAGGAUUGACUGUUCCAUCUCUUGCAUAACGAUCUUUCCUAAUUAUUUCAAUUAUCCCAAGUGGUAUUUCGAAUGGGAUACAUUCAGUAGGUGAAGGACACUUCUCUACCAGGAGUGUGGUAAAGCGGCCUUCCCCAAGCAGCGAACUAAGAGUGCAGUUUCCAUAAGCCUAACUAGUGAAAAUAAAAACAAGAAACGAAAAGAUUUAAUUGCAAGAUCUAAAGAUAUACCUUCAAGCACUCACCUCCCGGGCAACGGCGCCAGAAAUAGCUUGAUGUCUACGCAUGCUUCUAUUCUUGUACACUAUGUUAGGCCUCGAAGCUCGGAGGUUUGUAGGACAGUAGCAAUUUCCCUCAAGUGGAUGACCUAAGGUUUAUCGAACUCAAGGAAGUAGAGGUUGAAGAUGGUCUCUCUCAAGCAGCCCUGCAAUUAAGAAACAAGAAGUCUCUUGUGUCCCCAACACACCUAAUACAAUGGUAAAUUGUAUAGGUGCACUAGUUCAGCGAAGAGAUGGUAAAAUAUGGGUGAUAGGUGUGGCAAAGCAAGGUAAUAUAAAAAUGUAAUAAAAAUUACAACAAGGUAGCAAGUCACAAAAGUGAGCAUAAACGGUGUAACAAUGGUGAGAAACAUGGCCUAGGCUUCAUACUUUCACUAGUGGCAACUCCCAACAACAUUAACAUAGUCUAAUCACAUGAUAUUUCACUAAAACAUGCAAUGGAGACGUACUCGGAGGUCAUUCCUUUGUGAUCAAGAGAGGACAAGAAUUAUGUAGGGCUACAAAAGCACACCUCAGAGUUCGUAGUUCUCAUCUAUGGAUUUCCCAAUGUCACCGCGGCCAUCCAAAGAGAGUACCACAAUCACCACAACGUAUCUCAAGGAUAGUCAAAGACAAGCACCAAGAGACUCUCAAUCUUCAAUCAAUUCACAAAAGAGGAAAUCACUCAUGAAAAUAUUAUUCUAAUCCAUGUCCAAUAGACCGUUGUCACCAUGGUCUCGGGGAUUAUACUAGAUAAGAUCAAGUGAGUACAUCAAUCCAAUACAUAGAAGAGGGGGAAACAUCAUGGGAUCACCCUAGAUUAACAUAGCCUAUGAUCACAAUCAAGAUCACAUCAUGGGAGAGAGAAUUAACCACAUAGCUACUGUAGAAGACCUCAGCCCCGAGGAGGAACUACUCCCACUUCAUGGAGGGAGGAAGCAAUGUCGAUGGAGAUGAAUCCGGGGGCACUUCCCCGUCCCGGCAGGGUGUCGGUACUGGAAUUUUGGUCCCCCAAAACUUGUGAGGGAUGGCAGCGGAGAUCGGAAUUGCUUCAGGAGAAAAGGGUUCUGGAAUCAGGGUUUCCUAUCGGAGAGGUAAAUUUAGGCCGAAGAGGGCACCAGAGGGGGUGGGCCCCACCCAGGCGGCCUGGUGGCGCGGCUAGGAGGGGGGCGCGCAGAGUGGCCUCCUGGGCGAGCCCUGGCUCCCCUCUGGCCCCACUUGGUGCUUCGUCAAGCUUCCAUCACGUUGAUUUUUAUAUAUUUUCUCAGAAUUUUUGGGACUUUGUGAAUUGGGGUAAAAGUCCCUGCAAAAAAGACAUCAGCACACAGAAACUGGCACUGGGUGCACUGAGUUAGUAGGUUAGUCCAAAUAUGUGUAAAAAGGUAUAAACGUGUGGAAAAACAUAUAACAAUGUCACCCAAAAGAGCAUGGUACAAACAUAAAUUGUAGAUACGUUUUGGGACGUAUCAAAGGGCAAUACCCCUCUACCCAACACAGCCGACACUUUAACCCCUCUUAUGUUUGUGUCGUGCGAGUGAUGGGAAUGUUUUUCUAGGUUUUUUGGUUCUUAUUGUGAGUACAUUGAAUGGUCUAUUUGGGUUCCUAAGACCCUUUUUACUAACCUAAGAGGACCCAUUAAAGAAUGGGUACCUAAAUCCAAGCAUUGAUCUUAUGCAUGAGUUUGCUUCCGGUGGGGUGUCCUGGUUGCUUGAUAGUGGAGCAACAAAUCAUAUGACCGAAAACAAGGACUUGGUGGUGGAUGUUCAUCCCGACCUAUCCAUUGCCACCCAAGUCUCCUUUGGUGAUGAUGCAAUUUCAAAGGUAUUGGGUCUCGGCAAGGUGGUAAUUUACCCGGAACUUACCAUUGAAAAUAUUAUGCUUGUUGAGACCCUUGCAUACAAUUUACUUUCCGUUCAUCAACUUGCACUUAUGGGCUUUAGUACCUUCUUUGGCAUUGACUUGUGGCCCUUUUGGGGAGCAAGACUCGUAAAGUACCCUUUGUUGGGCAUGUCGAGAACGGUCUCUAUGUGGUUGACUUUUCAGAGUGACCCACUAAGAUCGCGAAUUGCCUAAUAGCUCAAGUUGAUGUGGGAUGGCUCUGGCAUCGCCGGCUAGCCCAUGUCAAUAUGAGAUCUUUGCAAAGUCUCCUCAAAGGGGAUCACGUUCUCGGACUAACAAAUGUGAGUUUCACGAGAGAUCAUGCUUGAAGUGCGUGUACUUAAGGAAAGAUUCAUGAGACAGCUCACCGCCCCACGACUAUCAUCUACUCAAAAAGGACCUUGGAACUCCUCCACAUGGAUCUCUUUGGAACUCCAUCCUAUGAUAGUCUUGGGGGAAGAACAUAUUGCUUGGUGAUAGUGGAUGAUUACUCAAGAUAUACAUGGGUAUACUUUUUCAAGAGAAAGAGUGAGACUCAAAAAACCGUCAUCGACUUUGCUAAUGAAGCUCAACGCCAACAUAAUGCAAAGAUAUUGAUGAUUAGAAGUGACAAUGGCACUGAGUUCAAGAAUUACACCCAUCAAUUUCUAAGUGAUGAAGGAAUCAAGCAUCAAUACUCUGCACCUUAUACUCCUCAACAAAAUGGUGUGGCGGAAAGGAAGAACUGGACGUUGAUGGAUGCGGCUAUAACCAUGAUGGCGGAGUUUAAAUCUCCGUAUAACUUUUGGGUCGAAGCCAUCAACACCGCAUGGCAUGCAUCCAAUCGGCUCUACCUUCGCAAAGGCUUGAACAAGACUCCAUAUUAAAUUCUUACCGGCAACAAGCCCAACCUCAAGUACUUCCGGCUAUUUGGCUGUAAGUGUUUCAUUCUUAAGAAAGGUGCUCGAUUGUCUAAAUAUUAACCUAGAGCACAAGAGGGCAUAUUUGUUGGUUAUACUACAAACUCUCGCGCUUACCGUAUCCUCAACAAGUCCUCGAGACUCAUUGAGGAGACGUGUAACAUGGAGAUUGAUAAGAAUAAUGGCUCCGAGGUGGAGCAAAGGGGUCUUUGUGAUAUAGGUGAUGAAAUUCCUCCCCAAGCCAUAAGAAGAAUGAGUGUAGGACACUUCCUGCCCAUUGAGGAACCCCUUGUGGAUGAAGGAGAAAGACAAUGUUCCACUCAUAUGGAACCAUAACUGGCGAAGACCCACACGCUUCCGAAGAACACUCUGAAGGCCCUCAUCCCCGUGAUCUCGAUCAACGAGAAGAUCAACCUCAGGAUGGUCCUGCACCAAGUGAUGUCCUUGAUCUAUCUCACCCAUGUGAGGAUGCUUAAGAUCAAGAGCAAGCUCAAGAUCAAGACCAUGUUCAAGAUCAAGAUCAAGCGCAAGAACAAAAUCAAGCUCAAGAUCAAGGGGAAACUCAAAAAGGUAGUAGAAGUCUCAAACAGGCUCCUCAGCUUACCCCUAUGGAGAUUCGAGAAAGACGUGCAACUAAGACUGCCAAAAUCCUCAAAAAUAAUUCUCAUGUGUUGGAGAAUGUCUACGGCAGCUUACAGAGAGGGGUAACCACACAUCGUCAAUUAUCAAACUUUAGUGCCCAUCAUGCGUUUGUUUCUUUCAUUGAACCACUAAAGGUACAAGAGGCUCUCGAAGACAUGGAUUGGAUUGAAGCCAUGCAUAAAGAACUCAACAACUUCGAGCACAACAAAGUGUGGAUACUGGUGCCAAGACCAAAGCAGAACCACAAUGUCAUUGGGACAAAGUGGAUCUUUAAUAACAAGCAAUAUGCGAACGGUGUCGUCACUCGGAAUAGGGCAAGAUUGGUAGCACAAGGCUACUCCCAAGUCGAGGGUAUCGACUACGGUGAAACCUUUGCUCGUGUCGCUCGCCUUGAAUCUAGUCGCAUGUUGCUGGCAUUUGCUUCCCAUCAUAACUUCAGAUUGUACCAAAUGGAUGUGAAGAGUGCAUUUCUUAAUGGUACCCUUAAGGAGUUGGUUUAUGUCAAGCAACCCCCAGGGUUCGAGGAUCCCAAGUUCCCUAAUCAUGUGUAUGUUCUUGAUAAGGCACUCUAUGGCCUUAAACAAGCCCCACGUGUGUGGUAUGAGUACCUUACCAAGAUGUUACAUGACCAUGGAUUUGAAGUUGGGAAAAUUGACCCCACUAUUUUUACUAAUAAGGUCAAGGGGAGCUUGUUCAUAUGCCAAUUAUAUGUUGAUGAUGUUAUCUUUGGUUCUCCUAACAAAUAUUUUAAUGAAGAAUAUGUUGCACUAAUGACUAAAGAGAGUUUGAGGUGUCUAUGAUGUGAGAGUUGAAGUUUUUCCUUGGAUUCAAAGUCAAGCAACGAAGUCAAGGAACCUUCAUCAAUCAAGCCAAAUAUACUCAAGACAUGCUCAAAAGGUUCAAGAAGGAUGAUCUAAAACCAACCAAGGCCAACACUCUCAUGCCUCUCAACUGCCACCUUGACCUCGAUCCCAAUGGUAAAGUCGUGGAUCACAAGGUAUAUCGCUCUAUGAUCGGUUCUCUGCUUUACCUUUGUGCAUCUAGACCAGAUAUUAUUUUGCGUGUGGGAAUUUGUGCACGAUUUCAAUCUGCACCUAAGGAAAUCCAUUAUGUGGCAGUCAAGCGAAUCUUUCGAUAUUUGGCCCAUACCCCAAACUUUGUCUUACGGUAUCCCAAAGGUGUUUCACUUGAUCUCAUAGGAUAUUCGGGCUCGGAUUGGGCGGGGGACCGUGUGGAUAGGAAGUCAACUUCCGGAGGCUGCUAGUUCUUUGGUUGCUCUCUGGUAAGUAAGCGUUCAAACAAACAAAAUUGUGUUUCUCUCUCGUCCACCGAGGCCGAAUAUGCAGUUGUUGCCAGUUGUUGUGCUCAAUUGCUCUCAAUGAGGCAAACUUUAAAGGAUUACAGUGUCACUUGUGACAAACUGCCUCUUUAUUGUGAUAAUAUUAGUCCUAUCUCAAUCUCCAACAAUCCUAUCCAGCAUUGCAAGACGAAACAUAUCAGUAUUUGCCACCAUUUCAUCCGGUAGCAUAUCAAACAUUGUGAAAUUGAUCUCAUUUAUCUGAACACUAAUGAUCAACUUGCAGAUAUAUUCAUGAAGCCUUUGAAUGAAGCAGGACUUCGUGAGUUAAGGCAUGAGCUAAAUAUCAUUGGUUUGAGCAAUGUGCAUUGAAAUCAGACACAUCCCACCACUCUCAUCAUUCUAUUAUGUUUAGAUGUAGGCAUGAAUUUAGGGGGAGUGUAGUUCUCUUAAUGAACUAUCCCUCCUCCUAUUAUGCAUAAAUCGAUCAAAUCUUUCACAUUCGCCAUUUUUUAUGGUAUUUAUGUCUCAUGGACGAGUUUUGGUCAUGGGCCCAAGGUUAAAAUCUUCGCGGUGCCAUACCAAUGGACCCAAACAUAGGUGGUCUCGGCCACUGCCCUCUCCUAGUGAGGUAUAUGCCUUUGGUGUUCCGUAGAAUUGCAUCUUUUUGGUCCUUAUUUGUGCUUCUUGUUUGCUUAAGUCUUAGGUGUGGGUAUCCUUCACGGUUUGUGUUUUGGUGUUUCUUCAUGUUCACUUUGGAGCUUACCCACCAUACUCCUGAGUCUGAUCUCUGUCCCAAGCUCUCCUCACCUCGAAACCCCUAAAAUUGUACGCAUUGAAACUUUCAUGUUGGUGACCAUGACUGGGCGGUACAACCGGUGCUUAUGGUGGUACUACCACUAAUCAUCUGUUGUCACGCUCCAGCGGAACAACCGGUCCGGUUAUGUGGUUAAACCGCUAACUCCGAGUCUAUUCCAGGCCGGUACAACCGCCCUUCAUAGCGGUACAACCAGUAGUGGCAACCGGCACCUAAAGGGAGGGCCAGGCCAAAGGGGUACUCGGUUUCCCCCUUCAUGCCCAACUCCCCCCUCGGUGCCCUAGCCGCUAGCCACCGUCACCACCAUGUCAGAGUGCCUCUGGCACCCCGGAUCCGCGGCCUCCCUUUGGAUCCACUCCGUGGAGGCCCUUCCUCCCUUGACCUCCUCCCAUGGACACUGGUAAUGCCCUCUUCUCCUCUUGUUCUUGGAUUUCCUCCUUUGAAUCCUCUUUUCGUAGGGAAUUGCUAGGAUCCCGCGUUUUUGGUCAAAACUAUUGGUAGUAGGAGGUCAUAUAUGUGCUUCUUGAUUAGAUGUGAUCAGUAGGAACUGGAAUCAAUGGUGUAUGUCUCAGAUCCGAAUGGACUGGCCUCCCCUAGAGCAGCGGUACAACCGCUUGCACCUGCGGUACAACCGCUCGGGUGACGGUUCAACCGGCCUUCCUGACUCCUACGCCACAGAUUCUUAGUUCUCCUGUGCAUACCUAAUCUAUUCCUUCUUUUGCGUAAAAUCUCUCAUCUUUUCUGGGUUUCUUGUGUGUGUCUGCAGGAGGCUCUGGUUCUCGUUCUGUUCCUCAGAAGAAAUCCAAGAAACGUGCUCAUCGGUGUGGGCUCGUUGAUGACCCUCAUCAAGAGGAAGUUGUGAUCACUACCAAUCCCUCUCGCUGUGCAAAGUCCUUGGCCGCCAAGCAAAAAUUUGCCAAGCCAGUGCACUCCUAGAAGCAAGCUGAUUGGGAGCAGGUUCAUUUUCAGAAUCCUUAUGUGGUCCCCAUUGCUCACAACUAGACCACCCCUCAGUUCCGGAAUAAGAUUCAGAUGCGGAUCAUGCAUGAGCUCUGUGACCAUUACAAGAACAAGUUUGCCAAGCAAUGGACAAUUGGCAUUGAGCACUGGAAGAAUAACAUGGAUUACUUUGGAGAGGCAUAUACUCUAUGUGAAGAAUUUAACUUGUUCAAGCUCAUGACUCUCAACUGUCCCUUUGAUGUGCAACUCAUUCACCAGUUCUAUGUCACUGUUCACUUUGGCACUGAUGAUGCUCGUACCCUUACCUUCAUGUGUCGUGAUGAGAUUUUUGAGGUCCCGUGGCGUGCCUUCUCCAAUGCUCUUGGGUAUGAUGAUAAUUGUCUCAAUGGGAAUGGCGACAUCCGUCCUCAUGAUCGGGCUAAUUCUAUGGAUAAGGUGAAGUUAGCCCCCUUGUACAUUCCUGAGCGUGGGAUUCCUGGAUCCUCUAAGGACCUGUUGUCGGUAUAUGAUAUUCUACAUCAUGUUUUUCAGAAUGUUCUCCUACCCAAGGUUGGAAAUCAAGAUGAGAUUCAUGGAUACUUUGUUGAUCUGCUUGUUUCUAUGCGGGAUGAUGUUGGCUCUGGGCUACAUUUGAUGCUUCCAAAUGGUUGUGGGAGGAGCUCUACUCCACGGUCUUCUACAAAAAUCGGUCCCCAAGUAUGCUCCGUUCAUCAUGUGCUUCCUCAACUCUCUGUGGGUAGUUCAUAGGCCUGGCGAGCCUCUCUCUUCUCCUUAGAACCUCACUGAGCAUGAUGUCAAGCAACUCAGGAAGAAGAAGCAUCUUGCACCUCGCUUCCCCGAGGGCGAACCCGAGGAUGUUUUUGCUACUUCCAGUGACAGUGAUUUUGAGCUUCCUGCAGGAGCCAAGCCAUCUUGGGUCUCCAAGCUCUGAGAUAAGUUAAAGAAGACCUUCUGCCUCCAAGAUCAUGUUCACAAGAAGCUCAAUGAUGCCCAUGUCAACGAGAAACUUGCCAGACGCAGAAAGAUUCAGAUUAUGUGGGCUCUCGAGCUUGAGGCAGCUAGUGGUUCUGAGAAGACCAUCACCCCUGAGGAGCAGUGGAUCUAUGGACAUAGCACUUGGACUGAUGAUGAGGUCUCGGGUCAGCCUGCUACCUGCUCUGCUGCUGCUGCUGCUCAUGAUGAGACUGAUAGUGAUGAUGGUUAUGGUGACGAUGAGUCUGCUAGUGGUGAUUCCGAGGAGUCUGAUGGAUAUGAGGAGAUCUACUGAGCACCGGGGCGAUAGCAUCGCUCUUUUCCUUUUUGGUGUCCUAAUGCCAAAGGGGGAGAGAGAUAUAUCAUGACGGGAUUUGCAUGGGGGUAUUUGGUUGUCGUAACGUUGUUUCUUUCGUUUUUCUUUCCAGUUGAACUCUUAUUUGCUUGUUAGUCGGUCAUGAACCUAUCUUAUGUGGAGACUAUUUGAGUUUCAGUAGAGACUAAGUUUAUUAUUAUCCUUGUCUUUAAAGGUCUACUUUUUAUCUCGUACAUACGCUCCUUAAUGUUAUUUCAUCUAUGCACCGAGUGGUUGGUCUGUAAAACCAAGGGGGGGCUCCAAUUCAUGUAACUCUCCUCUGGGGCAUGCAGUGAGGGGGAGCUCUGCUUUUACUUUAUAGACCAUCGAUGUAAAUAAUGUUGUUGUCAUCAUCCACCAAAAAGGGGGAUAUUGUAAGGGCAUUCUCCUACCUUAAGUGUUUUGGUGAUGAUGACAACUCACUAUGUUAUCUAACCGGAUGUCAAGUGUGCACGUAUCAUAUGUAAAACAUAAGACAGUUAGGUAUUCCCUCCAAAUGGAAAAGAUCAAAGACUUGUUCCCUACGUGUUUAUUCUCUUUGGUCAUAGGGACCCCGUACUAUUAAGAGGGAAUCCACAUUCGAAGUCUAUGGGUGAAUCAACUCUUAUCACACUCUUUUGCACCCAUCUCGUUCCAUCGCAUCAUUGAGAGAGAGUCCCCUGCUUUCUCACUGAUCGGUUGUACCGCUGCCUAGGGCGGUUGUACCACUCAAUCCCUGUGCGGUUGAAUCGGCCCAGCACCAGUCCACAACCGAACACGGCUCUGUUUAGCUAUGGUUGUUGGGCAGUGGUGGCCCGGUUGUACUGCUAUAUUAGUAUAGCCGGUACUACUGGUGUUCCAAGCGGUUGUAUCUCUUGGGACUUAGCCACGCCCAGCAGCCCUGGAAGGUGGAACCUCGAGCCAACUCUCUGUUUUGGACCGAUUGUUUGGCGGUGGCUGGGCUGUUGUACCGCUAAAUUAGACAGCCUGGUUGUACCACCCUAGCAACCGGUUGUACGGCUGUUGUGUAAAAACGGUUGUAACGGUUAGAAAGUGGGGGCCGAUAUGUCUCCAACGUAUCGAGGAUUUAUGAAGUAUCCAUGCCAUAUUUGCCUAUGUUUAUAAUAACUUUAUAUGGUAUUAAUGCACUUUAUAUGAUUCGUUUAGAACUAACCCAUAUUGGUGUUGUUUUCAGCAGAAUUACCGUGGUGUUGUUUUUUAUGCAUAAAAUGGAAGUUCUCAUAAUCGCCUGAAACUUUUUUAUGAUUUUUCUGGAACAUAUGAGCAACGUUGGAGCAAAGAACAACCAUAGGAGGGCUGCCACGGAGGCACAAGCCAAUAGGGCAUGACCCGGGCCUUGGUCGCACCUUGAUGUCUUGUGGGGGCCACGUGCCUCCGUUGCACGUGAUUCCAACGCUGAAAAAUCCUAUAAAUCCGAGAAAACCCAUAAAUGAAGAGAAAACUUCUGCUCCGCCCCUGCAACUCUCUGUAUUGCUGAAAAACCAAUCUGGAGCGAUUCCAGUACCCUGUCGGAGAGGGAAAACCAUUACAGGUGGCCAUCUUCAUCAUCCCGGUGGAGGCCAUGAUGAGGAGCGAGUAGUUCACCCUCGAGGCUGAGGGUAUAUACCGGUAUCUAUGUGUUAAAUCUCUCUCUCUCUAUCUAUCUCUCUCUCUCUCUCAUGUUCUUGAGAUGGCAUGAUCUCAAGAACACGGGCUUUGUUAAUAAAGUUGGAUCAUAUGAUGUAUUUCCCUUACCAUCUAGUUGUGAUGAAUUGAGUCUUUUCAUUUAAGAUCUCGUCAUGUUGGAUUGAGCAUAUUGGUAUGACAACACUUGAUAUAUGUUGAGGCAUCAACUUGCAGGUUCCGGUGACCUUGGGGAUCUAUGCAUAGGGGUUGAUAGCAUGUUCUCAUACCAUGUUCUCCGAUAGAAAUCUUGGGGUGCUCCUUGCACGUUCUUUGUGUUGGAUUUAGUAUGAUAUCUUUGAAACUGUUUUAUGCAUGUCACAUAAUUUACCCAUGGAUACUUGAGGUGGCAUUGGAGUAUCUAGGUGACAUUAGGGUUAAUUGAUAUGUAUCAUUGGUGUUAUUCUAGUAUGAACUCUUAGAUAGAUCGAACGGAAAGGAUAGCUUGAUGUUAUCUUAGUACGAACUCUUGAAUAGAUUGAACGGAAAGGAUAGUUUGAUGUUGUCUUAGUACGAACUCUUGAAUAGAUUGAUCAGAAAGAAUAACUUUCAGGUUGUUCUACUACCUACACCAAUUUCAUCUUAUUGUUCUCCAGUAGAUAGGAACUUUGGAGUGAUUCUUUGUUGCACAUUGAGGGAUCCAACUAUGUUAGCAUUGUUGAGAGAUUGCACUAGUGAAAGUAUGUACCCUAGGCCUUAUAUCCAAGCAUUAAUACAACAUUUUGCUCGCUGUUUGCCACUUGUUACAUUGCUGAUUUUAUAUUUUCAUAUUACAAAAACCUAUAUUUACCAUCCAUGUUGCACUUGUAUCACCAUCUCUUUGUCGAACUAGUGCACCUAUACAAUUUACCAUUGUAUUGCGUGUGUUGGGGACACAAGAGAUUUCUUGUAUUUGAAUGCAGGGUUGCUUGAGAGAGACCAUCUUCAUCCUACACCUCCCAUGGAUUGAUAAACCUUAGCUCAUCCACUUGAGGGAAAUUGCUACUGUCCUACAAAACUGUGCGCUUGGAGGCCCAACACGAGUCUACAAGAAUAAAGUUGUGUAGUAGACAUAAGGCUAUUUUUAGGCACCGUUACUGAGGAGGUGAGUGCUUGAAGGUAUAUCUUUAUAUCUUACAAUUAAAAAUUUUAGUUUCUUUUUUUUCACUAGUUUGGUUUUAUAAAAUAAAAGUACAAAAAAAUGGAGUUUACAUUGCCUCAAUGGUCUAGUCUUUUUAAUGUCUUUCAUGAAAAUAAUGGUUUGGAAAAUUGUGCUCAAUUGUUAGACGAAGAAAUUGUGAGAAUAUUUAAUGAGAAUUCCUUGAAUGAUGUGCAUGAUUGCAAUGUUGUUAGUUUGAAUUAUCUGAAUGUCCAUGAUUUUGAUGAUAUGCAAAGUCACAAGCUUGGGGAUGCUAUGUUUGAUAAAGAUGAUAUUUUUAGUCCCCCAAGUUUUGAUGAGCAAAUUUAUUAUGAUGAUGGCAUGCAUCCUAUUUAUGAUGAUAACAUGUAUGCUAUAAAGAGUAAUGAUAACCAUGAAACUUUUCAUCAUGAUUUUAAUAUUCAAUUUAGUUAUGUUAAUCAAUUGUCUCAUGAUAGUUAUUUUGUUGAGUUUGCUUCCUCUACUAUGAAUGGGGAGAAAAUUACUUAUGUGGAGAGUAAAGAAAAUUCUAUGCUUGUGCAUCAUGAAGAUCAUGCUUUGUGUGAUAGUUAUAUUUUUGAAUUCCUUCAUGAUGCUACUAAAAAUUGUUAUGAGGGAGGAACUUAUGCUUGUAGGAAUUGCAAUAAUGUCAAGUUUCCUCCCUAUGUGUUGAAAAUCUUGAAGUUUUGCUUGUUUUUCCUUCCUAUGCUAGUUGAUUCUUGUUUCCAAAAAUUGUUUUCGCACAAAAUUCCUAUGCAUAGGAAGAUGGUUAGACUUAAAUGUGCUUGUCAUAUGCUUCAUGAUGCUCCCAUUGUGUUCCACUUCAAUAUUUUUACGUGAGCAUCAUUGAAAUCAUCAUGCCUAGCUAAAAAGGCUUUAAAGAAAAGCGCUUGUUGGGAGACAACCCGACACUUUUACCUUCUGUUUUGAUGUGUUCACAUGAUUAAGCUACUGUACUAAUCAUGUUUUGUGUAUUUUAUUUCAAUAAAGUGCCAAGUAAAGCCUUUGGGAUAGUGAGGAAAUUUGUUAGUUUGAAUGUGUGCAAAAACAGAAUCUUUUGCCUCUAGUAUAUGAGUUACGUGAUUUUACUGGAAAGUCAAAAAAUUCUGAAAUGUUUACACAGUUUUUAUAUUCAAAUUCUAUGUGUUUUCCUAAUUUUUCAGAAUUUUUAGAAUCACGUAAGUAUGGUGUUCAUUCAGAUCUUGACAGACUGUUCGGUUUUUGACAGAUUUUGUUUUGCAUGCAUAGUUUGCUUGUUUUACUGUUUAUAUAGCUUAUAUUGAGUGAUAUAAAUGUGAGGACCCCGAUCCUAAGCCAUAGGAAUCCAUAACUAGUCAUAAACUCAACUGGCUCAAGUGCACAGAGACAGGCAUACAUAACCCAGCAAAGCAGGUGCCGGUCAUCAGCGAGUGUAGACGAGUCGUAGCAAGCUACAAGGACUCCAAUACACCAUGUGACAUUUCCCCGUAGGGACAGAGACGGCAGCUAAGAAGGAUACAUGUCGGUCAACCAAUGUGUCCGGAGCAGUAGCGAACUACCAAGGCUCGGUGGAAACACAAAGGGGCAUUUCUCUGUAUAGAGAGCUACUAACACUACUAUGAAAAGGGCUAUAGAUGAUAUAGAUACUAACGGCGCACCACACAAGCAGUGCGCCACUACUAUAUAGUAAUGGCGCACCAUGUGAGAUGUGCCAUUAGUGUGGUGGAUACUAAUGGCGCACCACACUCUCGGUGCGCCAUUAGUAACCUGCUUACUAAUGGCGCAUCUGUAAGUAGUGCGCCACUACUAUAAUUUUUUUUGUUCUUUUUUGCAAACUACUAAUGGCGCACCACAGCUAGUGCGCCAUUAGUAACCAGUGUUACUAAUGGCGCAUCUGUUGGUGGUGCGCCACUACUUUUUUUUUGCAGAACUACUAAUGGCGCACCAGAGGAGGUGCGCCAUUAGUAACCAGGGUUACUAAUGGCGCAUAUGUAGGUGGUGCGCCACUACUAUAAUUUUUUUUNAUUACUAAUGGCGCACCUCUCUGGGGUGCGCCAUUGCUAUCCAAAAAAAAGAUUACUAAUGGCGCACCUCUCUGGGAUGCGCCAUUACUAAUGGCGCAGCUCUCUGAGAAGAAAAAUUUCCAGAUCCAGCCCAUAAGCCCACAACCGACCAGCACACCCUCACGCCUCUCUAUCCCGAAAACCUAGCCAAGUCCCACAGCCGCCUCCUUCUCCCAAUCCUUCCCGACCACCCCUCUUCGGCCCCUCCAGAUCCCACCUCGUCGCCGCCGCGACCCAUCGCCGCCGCCAUCCAUGGCUUUCCGACGCGCCAUCGUGUCCCUCGCCGUCCACUCCCAGGCAUCAUAUUGCCUCCACCGCGCCGCCGCCUCGCGUCCCACCCUCAAGCCGCCUCCGCCCCCGCUGCCCACCUUGAGUUGCCCGGUCACCGUCCCGUGCUGCUCCUUCGCCGCCCCGCCCCAUCACGUACGUAUCCUCCCUCCCUCCCCCCUCUCCUCCAUCGCCCUAGAUUCUCUUCCCCUCACCCCCUUUUCGAUUUCGGUGCUCGGAAGGUCAAGGAGGUGUUCAAGGACAACGAAGACGACGCCGGCCCCUGACUCAACAACGACAUCACCACCAUAUUCCUUAGGCUCAUCACCGAUGAAGGUGCUGACGAUCCCACAUCCCACCCUUCUCCUCCUCCAUUCACCAUUCGGAUGCUGAAUAUAUGUUUUGUUCCAUUUUUGCAGGGCAUGAUGUUAUCCCCACGUACAAGGCGCUUCAGAUAGCUGUCAGGAUGGGCUUGGACUUGGUCGAGCUACUGCAUGUUUCCUUCAGUUUUUCGGUUGUUUGUGCCCAGGUGCUGGCAAUUUUCAUUUCUCAUGGUUAUCUCGCCACCCGCACAGAUCCACCGGAAAUCAAACCGUUCAGGUAUACAAUCAUUUGUAUGAGCCGUGGUUCACUAAGUCGCAAGCACAAAAUGAUACUUAAAUUGUAUACAAUCUCAUUUGUAUGAGCCGUGGUUCACUAAGUCGCAAGCACAAAAUAUCUUUUCUGUCCAAAGUGUUGUUCGCCCUAGUAUAAAUACUAAACAAAUGCAUAGAGUGUCAACAUCAUAUCAAAUUACUAAUCAACUUGCUGUAUAUCACGUGCAGCACCCGUUUUUAUUUGUUCAAGAGAGAUUAUCCACAUCCCGAAAGAGAGAGAGAGGGAGUUUGUCCAUGGUCCAAUGCGUAGCAGGGGAUGCUGCAGAAAGGAAACGUACUAGGACUUUACAUACUGCUAUGACGCUUGCACGCGGGGCCGCUGGAGGUCAGAAAACCAUAUUUCAGUGAGUUAGAGCGCUGUGUCCGCAUCCAAAACUAAUAUAUCGCCCGCAAUAGCAGGCUGAGAGAUGCAAUAGCGGACACAUUAUACCAAAGCCGCUAUAUACAAACGCAACGCAAAAGACAUAGCGUUAGAGGUGCGCUAUCGCAAUAGUGGACGCAAUAGCGGGUGUAGCGAACGCUAUUUAAAACCUUGCCUCUAGACAUAUGGUUAUUGUGAGACUUAAAUACAUAAUAUUCUCAUGUCAGUAGGGUAGACAUAAUAUUCUCACUACGGCUAUCGUUGGUGCCUCCUGUUUAGAUACAAUUAAGUUUUCAUGUCUCUCACUUGAGCUGUGUGUGAUACGGCCUUUGAGCAGGUUUGGUUUGGCAUGUCGACCAUAUUGGAUAACAUAUCGCUUCAUUGAUUGGUGCUUGUUCUGUUUGCUGACACUUGGAUGUUCGUAACUUGGUUUCUCGAGCUACGAAUUUAUCACUUGUAUCACAUUUCUAUCACAUGUUAAACUGAUGGUUUUGCUACAACCCUCCAUUCAAAUUAAUAAAACCGUUGGCAUUGCACUUUGCUUGUAGAGUAUAGAGUAGAUACCGAACGAUGCGCUUAGAAAGUACGAUACAUAUCUUCUUUUAUUUAUUUUUCUCUCCUGAUUUUACCAUGUUCCAUACCAUUGGACCGCCUUUUCCAGUAUCUCUACAGCUAAUCAUUCCUGUAGUUUCAUUAUCUUGCAGUUUUACUUUUUUUUCAUCUCUUUACUCAACAUUGUUUCUUUUGGCGUAAUGCAGUGGGAUUGUUAACCCUUUCAUUUGCUUAGCUCCCGAGUAGAAUUUACAGGUUUGACUGAAUUGUGGAGAGGAAUGGCGAUUCGUUGCUGGUGCAGAGUGAGGAGUGCUUGGAGAAGGUUGCCAAGACGGUCUCCUUCCUCGCGCAGCCUGAAGGCUCAUUCCUGCUGUUGCUCACAGGUAAUUUAGUUCUGAUGCAUCUGUUCUAAUACUUUUAUGGAGUUAUAUAUAGGGGCUGCUGAUUGUGUGCGUUUACUAGUUAGAUUUUUUUGCAAUCAAGGGUGAACACUAUGAUCAUAGUAUCAUCUCCCUGACUGGAAAGUUUGUGCCUAUACCAUUGCUUCUUUCCUUCAGGCUUAAACAUUUGGUAUCACAUCUCAUUAGAGCGAGCGUGUGACCUAUGUAGCUGGGAUUACUUUGGAUUCAGCGCAACAUCGGCAGCUUAUAUUUAUAAUUUGGAACCAAACAUCAUGUGCUUAUUCUUGUAUGUGAAUGUUCUCUUGAAAAUCUUAGUUGUAUUCUUUGGAGCUUAUGUGUAUAUAUCUCUGUGUGUGUGUGUGUAGUCGUCACUAGUUGACAAUUUAAGUAUCUUGAUACCUCCUAAAUUUUGUAACAAACAUUGCUGGUGUUGUUAUGUUAGAAGUCAAUAUGUAUCAAAAUUUGUAAUUCUGAAUCAUCUAUUUUCUUUCUCUAAUGCUUUUGAUCCAUGCUUCUUUUGCGAGGGGAAGUUCAAAAGGACCGCGUGCUGGAGCUCCUAAACGUGUGCCCCUUCUACUUCGUUUACUUAUGUGGCGUGAAGACAUAAAGCAAACCUUUGGAGCCAUAGUUGUCUUUUUUGUCAUCUAAAAUAAUAAUGGUAACAUAUUAAUGCAAACAAAAUAAUAUUGUAGCUCAAAAAAUUAUAUGUGAAUAAUGAAUGGAUGUUAUGGAACUAUAUUUGUUAUGGAGCUAUGUAUGUAUGGAUGCUAUGGAACUAUAUGUAUAUAUGGAUGCUAUGGAAUUUUGGAUGUAUGCAUGCUAUGGAGUUUUGAUAUAUGGAUCAUGAAAUUUGUUAUGCAACUUUGCAUAUAUGUUAUGUGUUGUGGAUCAGUAAAAUUAUUGGGCACAUAUUAUGUGUUAUAUAUUUCAUAUAUAUGUUAUGUGUUGUUGAAUUUGUGGUUUUGAAAAAAAACAUAUAUAUGCUAGAAUACCAGAUACUAAUGGAGCACCAUGGGCUAUACUAAUGGCACACCUGGGAGGCAUACUAAUGGCGCACCUGGGAGGCAUACUAAUGGCGCACCUCGGAGGCAUACUAAUGGCGCACUAGGGAGGCAUACUAAUGGCGCAUCUGAGAGGAAUACUAAUGGCGCACCUGGGAGGCAUACUAAUGGCGCACCUGAGAGGCAUACUAAUGGUGCACCUGGGAGGCAUACAAAUGGCGCACCGUGAGCAAUACUAAUGGCGCACUACCUGGUGUGCCAUUAGUAUACCAGAUACUAAUGGCGCACUUGUGGUGCGCCAUUAGUAAAAAAAUAUAAUGGCGUGAUGCUAGUGGCGCAACUAUAGUGCGCCAUUAGUAGCAAAAAUAGGUGCGCCAUUAGCAAGCCUUUUCCUAGUAGUGUAAGGGCACACGACUAGGUGUCGAAUCCCAUACAUAUCACAGUGCAUCACACGUACACAUGACAUACUCGAUAUGCAUAGAUACAACAAUGGCAUCACAACAUAACCAUACAACAUCACAACAUUUAUUUACAAGACUCGGAAGAGUCUUGCAUAAUAUGUUCAUACAGGUAGGGUCACAUGACCCGACACUCAAGUCAUACAAGCAGAGUCAUACAAACCAAGCGGAAGCAUAAAAGUUGUCUGAGUACAGACAGUUGAAAGGAAAAGGCAUAAAGCUUGACUAUCUACAAAUCUCUUCUGAAAGAGGCCAGGUCGUAGCAGGGACACCAGCUACUCGUCAUCAUCGAUGUCUAGAUAGAACCCACCUGUUGGCUCGUGGGUAUCCUCUGCAACAUUUAUUAAGCAAACAUGAGUACAAAACUACUCAGCAAGACUUUAGAACAGAUCUAUCUACUCAUGCACAUGUAUCAAUAAAGGGGGUUGUGGGGUUACAUGCAGCAAGCGAGCUUUGACUCUUGGCUAGACUAAACUAUAAUUUUAAAUGGUUUUAACAACUUUGAUAAGUCGUACACGAGUCCACUACCACCACAACAAUACACUAUCAUGGAUUACUUUUCGUCUCCCUACGGAAAUGCCAUACAUGAUACUUACACUUAUCUUGAUACUUUUAUGAGUAGCCAUUUAAAGCUAUCUAUGAACAACAUAUGUAUCCAAGUAGUCCAUAUCCGCGGACGCGGCUAUUCGAAUAGAUCAUAACCCUGCAGGGGUGUACUUCUUCAAACACGCUCUCGCCACUUAUCGCCAUGUGCGCGUCAUGCACCUCGGCAACCUUCAAGCGGAAGCCUAGCGAGGGAGUCAACCACGACCGUUAACCAUGCUAAUACCUAGUCCAGGUUUAUCGCCUAGUUGAGAGUGAACCCGUAUGGAAGUCCGGCCGAGGUUUCUGCCACGGCCCCAAUCGAUGUGCGCAGGGUUCCCAAGCCCACCAUCCGGGUGCCACUUGGUACACCGUGACACUGCCUACCGCAUCAUAGCCCACACUAAGGUCAGCACUAUGCACGACCUCCAGCAUGACUAUAAACACGAGAAACUACUUGCAACUCCUGGACCGAGUACUAAGCGAUUAAUAAGUCGAGCGGGGUCAUAUUUCAGGGCCCAACAUGUGGUAGUAACUAGUCUUGGAUUACAUACACGAAACUCAGUUCCUAAGGACGGUUCCAAUGAAACAACCCGCCAUGUACUCCUACAUAGCCUUUCAUCGGUACCUUUACCAAAUCAGGUUCCACACUUAUUCUUUGUCACUAGAACACAUUCAUCCAUUCCCGUUCAUCACCCAGAUGAAACAGACCUGACACAACUCUAGGCAUAGAAAGCAUAGCAAGAUAAGACACAUCAUGGCUCAAGCAACUACCAGGUAUGCUAGGUUGCAAGGUUUGGCUAUUUACUUUGACAAUGACAGGUCAUGCAAAGGAAUAGGUUCAGCUACCGAAGUAAAGCAUUUGAAAUAUUUUUCCUAAUGCAAUAAGUGGGAGGAGGAGCAAGAACAUGGGAUUAUAUCGGGAUGAUCAAAAGGGUGCUUGCCUUGUUGCUCAGCAGAAGGACUAAAUCCGUCAGUCGGAUAUUCGGACGUAUCCGGAAGGGCAGAGCCUACCGAAAUAAUAACGACAAUCAAUAACAUUCAUAUGCAACAAUAUGAUGCAUGAUCAUGGCAUGAAAUGAAAUGUAGCAUGAGCUAGUGUGGCUAUCAAACCUUUGGGUUGAUGUUGAUUUGAAUUCAAAUUCAAAUACCAUUUAAAAUGGGACAUUUAUUAAAUUCCUUUAAUUGAUUUGACCUGAUGUUGUUUCAUAACUUUGUUUGUCAUGCAUGAAAAUAGCACCAUUGUGUUCAUUGAAUUUUUCUAAUCAAUUUGCAUAUAUUAUUUGUCAAGUUUGGAGUUUUAUUUAAUUUUCUAUGAAUUUCCAAAGUUUUGCACUUAUUCUGGAAUUAUUAUAAAUUACAUAAUUAGUAUUAUUGCAUCAGCAUGACAUCAGCAGGUUAGCCUGGCCAUUGAAAGUCAAACCUGACCAGUGGGACCCACUAGUUAGUGACUCUGGUUAGAUUUUAAUCAAACUUUAAGUUAAAUAGUUAAUUAACAGAGACUGGCCCACAUGUGAGUGACUGAUUAGGGUUUUAUAACUAAUUAUUUUUAUUAACUAAAACUUAAUUAGCCAGGGGCUGGCCCCACCUGUCAUAGGCUCAGGAGAGUCAACCCACCGGCGCUGGGGGUCAAACCCACCGGUGUUGAGCCGUCGGUGGCUCCAGGGACGGCGGAGGGCAUCGGAAAUGCUCCUUCGGCGAACAAAUGAGCGGCGGAUGGCACUAGAAGAACGGCCACUCGUCCGCGCGUCCAUUUUUGCUAGUCUCAGGGGUUGAAACGGUCGGAGAUGACGCCGGCGACGAGCUCGGCGGCUGCCGGAACUCGGGCAACAUCGAGAUCAUCGGAACAGAGGGCAAUAGGGGCGGGGAUUGGUUCCUACAGCAUCUACACAACGCACUGAAGCUGAUGGUGGUCUCAGUUGGACCAACCCAUCAUCGGAACAUCACCGGCGACGAGCUCCCGCGGCGGAUCUCAUCGGGCUCCGGUGGAAUCGGGCGCUAGGGCACGGGAUCGAUGGGGAAAAGAAGGGGUAAAUGAUACGUCUCAAACGUAUCUAUAAUUUUUGAUGGUUUCACGCUCUUAUCUUGUCAACUUUGGAUGUUUUGUUUACCUUUUAUAUCUUUUUUGGGACUAACUUAUUAACUCAGUGUCAAGUGCCAGUUCUUGUUCUUUCUAUGUUUUUGACUCUUUUCAGAUCUGAUUUUGGAACGGAGUCCAAACAGAAUAAAAUCCCCAAAAUGAUUUUUUCCUGAACGGAAGAAGAUCAGGAGGCUUGAGGGCCAAGCAAGUGGGCCCACAGGGAGCCCACAAGCCCUAUUGCCGCGGCGAGGGGGGAGGCCACGACAACCAAGCUUGUGGCCUCCCUGGCGCCCCCCUGCCCUAGGUCUUUGGCCUAUAUAUUCCCUAAAAAUCCAGAAAAAAUCAGGGCAGCCACGAAAACACUUUUCCGCCACCGCAAGCUUCCGUUUCCGCGAGACCUCAUCUGGAGACCCUUCCUGGUGCCCUGCCGGAGGGGACUUUGGAGUUGGAGGGCUUCUUCAUCAUCAUCAUCGCCCCUCCAAUGACUCGUGAGUAGUUCACUUCAGACCUACGGGUCCGUAGUUAGUAGCUAGAUGGCUUCUUCUCUCUCUUGGAUCUUCAAUACAAAGUUCUCCAUGAUCUUCAUGGAGAUCUAUCCGAUGUAAUCUUCUUUGGCGGUGUGUUUGUCGAGAUCCGAUGAAUUGUGGAUUUGUGAUCAGAUUAUAUAUGAUAUAUAUUUGAGUCUUCGCUGAUUUCUUAUAUGCAUGAUUUGAUAUCCUUGUAAGUCUCUCCGAGUCUUGGGUUUUGUUUGGCCAACUAGAUCUAUGAUUCUUGCAAUGGGAGAAGUGCUUGGUUUCGGGUUCUUACCGUGUGGUGACCUUUCCCAGUGACAGUAGGGGCAGAAAGGCACACAUCGUGUAGUUGCCAUCAAGGGUAACAAGAUGGGCUCUGUCGUAGAUAUGAGAUUGUCCAUCUACAUCAUGUUAUCUUGCUUAAGGCGUUACUCUGUUCUUUUGGACUUAAUACACUAGAUGCAUGCUGGAUAGUGGUCGACGUGUGGAGUAAUAGUAGUAGAUGCACAAAGUAUCGGUCUACUUGUGUUGGACGUGAUGCCUAUAGAUAUAAUCAUUGUUAUAGAUGACGUCACGACUUUGCGUGGUUCUAUCAAUUGCUCGACAGUAAUUUGUUCACCCACCGUCUACUUGCUUUCAUGAGAGAAGCCACUAGUAAACACUACGGCCCCCGGGUCUAUUCACACCUAUCGUUUACACCUUCAAUUUUACUUUGCUUUGUUACUUUGUUGCUUUUAGUUCUCACUUGGCAAACAGUCUAUAAGGGAUUGACAACCCCCUUCAUAGCAUUGGGANNNNNNNNNNNNNNNNNNNNNNNNNNNNNNNNNNNNNNNNNNNNNNNNNNNNNNNNNNNNNNNNNNNNNNNNNNNNNNNNNNNNNNNNNNNNNNNNNNNNNNNNNNNNNNNNNNNNNNNNNNNNNNNNNNNNNNNNNNNNNNNNNNNNNNNNNNNNNNNNNNNNNNNNNNNNNNNNNNNNNNNNNNNNNNNNNNNNNNNNNNNNNNNNNNNNNNNNNNNNNNNNNNNNNNNNNNNNNNNNNNNNNNNNNNNNNNNNNNNNNNNNNNNNNNNNNNNNNNNNNNNNNNNNNNNNNNNNNNNNNNNNNNNNNNNNNNNNNNNNNNNNNNNNNNNNNNNNNNNNNNNNNNNNNNNNNNNNNNNNNNNNNNNNNNNNNNNNNNNNNNNNNNNNNNNNNNNNNNNNNNNNNNNNNNNNNNNNNNNNNNNNNNNNNNNNNNNNNNNNNNNNNNNNNNNNNNNNNNNNNNNNNNNNNNNNNNNNNNNNNNNNNNNNNNNNNNNNNNNNNNNNNNNNNCCGCAGCAGCAGGAUUCCUUGCGCCGUACCAGGGAAGGUCUGUUGUCGUAGUAGAAGUAAACAAUCCUGACCUCACCGGGGUUGCAGAGACAUCGAGAGCGGGCUCGGGGACGGCUUGGAGAGAGAGAACGACGGCGGCGAGCUUCGGCNGAGGGAAAUACUUACCGCCGCUGUGCUACAUCACCCUUUCCGCUUCGAGGGAACACCAACGCAAGGCUCCAAGUCCACGGGGGAAUCCUUUGCAUAUUUGCCUAGGAAGUCCCUAAAGGCGUAGCCGCAGCAGCAGGAUUCAUGGCGCCGUACCAGGGAAGGUCUGUUGUCGCAGUAGCAAGAAGAAUUUCUGGCGUCGUUGCCGGGGAAGGAGAGAUCUAUCCAAGUUGGUCUCACAAACUCAUCUCUUGCAUUUACUUUUUUUUGCCAGUUGCCUCUUGUUUUCCUCUCCCCCACUUCACAUUUGCCGUUUUCAUUUGCCUUUCUCCUUUGCCUUUUUCGUUUGCCUUUCCUUUGCUUGAGUGCCAUGUGCCUUCAAUAUGCUUGCAUCUUCGCUUGCUGAAAUCUAUUGAUAUGGAUCAUCAUCCACUAGCUAAUCUCUUUAAGAGAUCCACUUAUGUGGAACCAAUCCGUAGUGAGUUGAGUGCACUUGACUUUCUCUAUGGAGUUUUGCUUGAGAUGCGUGAAUCUGAAAAUCGUGAUGAAGAAAUUCAUGAAGUGAUUCACGAGGGCUUCUUGGAUGAAAAACAUGAUUGCAAUGGUUCCACUAUAAAUUCUAUUAGUUACAAUCAUGCUAAAAUUAUGCAAAACCCUAAGCUUGGGGAUGCUAGUCUUGCUAUGACCACUACUUUUUGGAAAGGUCAUGAUUGGGGUGAUGAUUUUUCUUUUGAUCUUGAAAAUUUAUUCAAGCCUCAAGAUGAAUAUGAUAUUUGCAAUAUCAUUGAAAGUGGGUUUGGAGAAGUCAUGACUUUAGAUGAUAAUCCCACUAUUUUUGAAGAGCGUCAACUUUGCAUGCAUGUGGAUCAUGAAAAGAAUAUCCUAUGGGAAAGCUAUAUUGUUGAAUUUGAAUAUGAUCCCACAUGUAAUUGCUAUGAGAGAGGAAAAUAUUUUGGUAGAAACUUUCAUGUUACCAAAUUACCUCUCGUUAUGUUGAGAUUGGUAUUGUCUCUUUCUUAUUCCUUGCAUUUGGUAACUAUUGGUUGUAUUGCCAAUUUGUUCCCCUAUAAAAUACCUAUGCAUAGGAAGUAUGUUAGACUUAGAUGUGGUUUUCACAUGCUUUAGGAUGCUCUCGUUGUGUUUCAAUUCUUGUCUUUUGUGAGAGCAUCAUUCAAUGCCUAGCUAAGGGCGUUAAACACUAGCGCUUGUUGGGAGGCAACCCAACUAAUCUAUCAUUUUUAUUUCUGUUUUGAGUUUUCCACACUUUCAUAAUUCUGUUAUGAUUGUGUUUUUUGUGUUUCUUUUUGCAUUUGUGCCAAGCAAAACAGUUAUGAUUAGUCUUGGGGAUGAUCGUUUGGUCAUGCUGGAAAACACAGAAACUUUCUGCUCACGAAAAGAAUUUUCAUUUCUUUUCUAUAAGAGAUUUUGAGUUGAUUCUUCUUGCUGCUGAUUCAUAUGCAAAUGCUUCAUACUGUCAUAAUUUUUCAGAAUUUUGGAAGUACCAGAAGUAUACGAAGUAUAAAGAUUGCUACAGAGUGGUCUACUGUUAACAGAUUCUGUUUUUGUUGUGUUGGUUGCUUAUUUUGAUGAAACUAUGGAUAGUAUCUGGGGGUAUUAGCCAUGGAAGAUUCAAAAUACAGUAACCCAACAUCAGCAUAAGUAGAAUUUAAUUUUGCUACAGUACCUAAGGAAGUGGUGGUUUGCUUUCUUAUACUAAUGUUAUCACAAGUUUCUGUUUAAGUUUCGUGUUGUGAAGUUUUCAAGUUUUGGGUGAAGUUCUUAUGGACAAAAAGAUAAAGAGUGGCAAGAGCUCAAGCUUGGGGAUGCCCAAGGCACCCCAAGAGAUUCAAGGAUGUCGUAAAAGCCUAAGCUUGGGGAUGCCCCGGGAAGGCAUCCCCUCUUUCGUCUUCAAUCCGUCGGUAACGUUACUUGGGGCUAUAUUUUUAUUCACCACAUGUUAUGUGUUUUUAUUUGAGCAUCUUGUAUCGUAGGAGUCUUUUAUUUUUCUUUUGUGACAAUCAUCCUUGCUGCACACCUAGAGAUAGUGAGACAUGCACUCACCGUGAUUUUGUCGAGCUUCACUUAUAUCGUUUGGUAGACAAUUCAGCUCACAUAUGCUUCACUUAUAUCUUUUGAGCUAGUUGAUUUUGCUCUAUGUGCUUCACUUAUAUCUUUUAGAGCACGGCGGUGCGUGGCUUGGUAGUUGAUCUAUGCUAUGAAAGUAGUCUCUAAAGGGAUAGUUAUCCAAAGGGAUACGAAAACUUCCACCUUCAUGUGCAUUGAAUAGUUAGAGAAGUUUGAUUCAUCUCAACUAGUUUUGAGUUGUGGUUAUGGUAAUAUUGAAGUUAUAUUAGUAAGAUGUUGUGGAUCUAGAAAUACUUGUGUUGAAGUUAGUGAUUCCCGUAGCAUGCACGUAUGGUGAACCACUAUGUGAUGAAGUCUGAGCAUGAUUAGUCUAUUGAUUGUCAUCCUUUGUGUGGCGGUCGGGAUCGCGCGAUGGUUUAUACCUACCAACCCUUUGUUGGAAAUAUGCCCUAGAGGCAAUAAUAAUUAGUUAUUAUUAUAUUUGUUUGUUCAUGAUAAUCGUUUAUUAUCCAUGUUAUAAUUGUAUUGCUUGGAAACACAAUACUUGUNNNNNNNNNNNNNNNNNNNNNNNNNNNNNNNNNNNNNNNNNNNNNNNNNNNNNNNNNNNNNNNNNNNNNNNNNNNNNNNNNNNNNNNNNNNNNNNNNNNNCAUGCGACGUUCCCCAACACGGUCCGCUUGGCACGGUCCGUUUGGCCAGGUAUAGUUUGAGUAGGCUGAUUUGCAAGUUGCGGAUGUGGACGCUGUAAGGAGUCAUGGCCGCCCGACCGGUCAACCUCCCUAAUCACUUAUAUUAAAGGCGAGCUGAAGUUGCCGUUCCCUCGAUCCUUCUACCCGCACCUUCAAGCGGGGCUUGUAUGGAGUAUUUUUAUUAACUUGAUUGAGUCACACGAAGUUCCAUCAUUAUGUACAACCUGCCUCGCCACAACCUCAACAUCAGGUUAGUUGGUGUACAGUAUACUACACCAGAGGUUUGAUGUCCAGGAUUAUUGUAACAGCAGUAUCCUGCACUAGGUUGAGGGGGUGUUUGUUUCCAGGGACUUUUUGAUGUAGGGAUUAAAAAAGUCUCUUUUAGUUUCAUGUGAAACAAACAGGGGAGACUUUUAGGGACUGAAAGGGGGUAUUUGAGACUAAAGGAAGAAGUAUCUAUGGAAGGGUCUUUUUGGACUUUUUGGACACUUUUUUCAACAAUGUCUGUACUUUUAAUAUGUCAUUUAAUAACUUCUAGUACAUCAUUAGAGGUAACAUGAUUUUUUUGCAUGUCAUUUAAUGACCUCUGGUCUCUGUUUAGUCCAUGGAAACAAACGGAUAGGGACUAGAGACUUUUUAGAUGGAACAAAAAAAGUUGUGGGACUUGUAAAACAAAUAGGGCACUAUCCUUAAAAAAGAAAGGGAAUCAUUGUAGCAUCACAUGGAUAUCCCUUUUUCUAUGCAGAUCUCAUACUCAAUUGACGCGCAUCAUCUGAAACCGAAUUCUGUAAACACUCUCACACACAUAUGGAGUACAUUUUUUUAGAUCUUCAGAGGGAUUACAUGAAAAACAUUUGCACAUGGGGUGUAAUUACAAUUACAAAAGAGAAGAUGGGGGNNNNNNNNNNNNNNNNNNNNNNNNNNNNNNNNNNNNNNNNNNNNNNNNNNNNNNNNNNNNNNNNNNNNNNNNNNNNNNNNNNNNNNNNNNNNNNNNNNNNNNNNNNNNNNNNNNNNNNNNNNNNNNNNNNNNNNNNNNNNNNNNNNNNNNNNNNNNNNNNNNNNNNNNNNNNNNNNNNNNNNNNNNNNNNNNNNNNNNNNNNNNNNNNNNNNNNNNNNNNNNNNNNNNNNNNNNNNNNNNNNNNNNNNNNNNNNNNNNNNNNNNNNNNNNNNNNNNNNNNNNNNNNGGGGGGGGGGGGGGCAAUCCUAAAACCAGAUCCCUCCCGUAUGCAUCUCCUCCGUGAUAACAGCACGACCAGAAGCAUACUAUAUACAAACGCACUGAACAGCAGUUGUUCUCCUAGGUUGAGCGUGCGAGGCGGGACGCAAUGGCAGAGUGGUACAUGGCGUCGUGGAAGCUGUCCAUCUCCGACAUCCUCGCCCGCAGCUGUCGCGCCUUCUCCUCCGUCAGGCCCACGAACGUCCUCCCCUCCUCCUCGACCACCGGCGUGGGCGCCGCGGCCUCCAUGUAGUCCGCCCGCCCGGACCACCCGACCAGCGGCGCCCACCACUUGCCUCCCUUGGGCGCCCCGGCGCGGACCCGCCCACCGGCCCCCGCCGAGGCGGAGGCGGCGCGUGGCUGGAGCGCGGCGGACGGGCGGGCGGAGAAGGAGACGACCGAUGCUGACGGUGCCAUCGCCAUUGAUUUGCUCUGCCUGUUGCUUCGCUAGACGCUCGUGAGCUUCCGCUGGUUUGCUCGGAGUCCAAUGAACGGUGAGACGAGACAAGAUGAGAUGUGCUUCUGAGGUCUGUGUUGCGAUGUGACGGAGUGAGAUGAGUUGUUGGUGCGAGG
rnacentral:lncRNA from 1 species